rnacentral:lncRNA from 1 species
CAUCUUCCCACUCCAAAACAAAAGCAUUGGCUGAUUAAGAAUCAUGAAGCUGUGAAAGUCAAUUUUGAAAAUUUAUGGGUUAUAACAAAGUUAUUUGCCUCAUAUGACUGAAAAUUGAUCCAUAAGAGGUUGGAAGCUCUUUUCCAAUAAAAAAUUGUUAUAAAUCCUUUAUAUGAUGAGCAUGCCCUCAUUUGCACUGACCAAGGAUCAACUUUAGAUCUCAUCCAUGAGGAAGGAAAAUUGCAAGCAUGAGAGAAUUUUCAUCUCAAUUUCGAAAGAUGGGAUAACUUUAAACACAGCCGGCCACUUGUUCAAAAAGGCUAUGGCAGUUGGCUCAAAAUUAAAAACCUUCCCUUGGAUUAUUGGUGUAGAAGUACCUCAAAUCAUUGGGGAUCAUUUUGGAGGUCUCUUAGAUGUAGCCUCUGAAACUCUGAAUUUAAUUAAUGUUAAUGAAGCUCGGAUUCAAGUUAAGAAGAAUGUUUGUGCUUUUGUGCCGUCCACGGUUGAACUGCUCCCUAGCCUACUUUACUAUCAGAGUUGUUGUUCGAGCGGAAUCAACGUAUCUUCCAUGAUAAAGCAAGACAUAGGGCAGAAAUUAUGCGUGCAGUAGAUCUUAAUGCUACAGCUUGGUGUUCCUUAAAAAAGGAGUUCGCUAAUUAUUCUAUUCAAGAUAUUUACCUCAACUAGAAUGCCUUUCUUAAUCAAGCCUAACCAUUGCUGGUUCUUCUUCUUUGCAUUGCAGUUUUUACUAACCAAAGUUUUGGAGCUUUGAAGUCUUGACCUUCUCUUAUCUUUGUGUUGUAUUUUUGGGUUUUUUCUGAAAUAUUUUGUUCAUUGUUUACAGUUUUUUCUGAACCCUUGUAAUAGGCAGAUUGUUUUAGGUUGGCGCUAUGGGGUGUCAACAUAGUUUAGAUGUCCGGAUGCACCUCCUGAUACUUUAGGUUUCCCCUUGCUAUUUCUUCUUUAUUGCUCUCUUUGUAUAAAUCUCUUGUACUUAAAGUUUUGAUUAAUAAAAAAGUUUUUCUCCAUUUCAAAAAAAUAUAAUAAGGAAAGAAUUUAACUCUCUCAAAUUUAAGUGAUUUAUGUAGGACCAUUUUAACUUUUUUUCCUCCGUUUUUAACGGAACUAACUGUUGUCGAAGCCGAUGGACAAUAGCUGGUAGUAUACCUUUCUCAUAUACUAUAGAAGCAAACUUUUUAUUUUUUGUGAAUCUUAAGAACUUGUAUUGAAGAGUGGAUAUAACCAAAUUUACCUAGCCACUACUUAUAUUUUAAGUUGAUUGGUGAUUUAAUAUGGCAUCGAAGUAGAAGAAGUCCUAUAUGUGAUCUUCUGUGAUAUCAUUUAUUUGGUUUCCAAUUAUUGUUGGCUUCCACUUUUUGAAAUGUUGGUUAAAUAGACAUUUACCGUGACACAUUAGUUUAAACUUUUAGGUUGAUCAAUGAUUUAAUAACUUGAAUACAUCAGUAUGACUUUUAGAACCAUGACAACAUAACGCAAACAAUUUACUGGAGAGAUUAAGAAUACACUAAAAUCAUCGUGAUAAAAAUAUGAAUAAAGCACACAAUUGAUCUUCACCUUGGUACAUCUUCUAGCAUGAAAAUGCGAAGAGGCUUUAAUUCUGAAGGCUUCCACUUGAAGAAUUCUUGCCGCCAAUUAUGCAACACAUUAACAGGGGUAACAAUAAGUGCUGUUCGUAAACCCAAGUCCGCACUUCUCAUUGCAGUGUAUAAGAAUGCUAUAACCUGAGAUCAUAGUUUAAUUCAGCAAAAAUAAUAAUCACAAAUCAUCAUAAACAAGUUAGAAAUGACUUACAACUCAGAAUUGCAGUAAUAAAAGUAGGCAAAAGGACUGUACUUAUGCACCAGCUAGUUAGGAUAUUUCUAAAUAACUACCUUUCUUUGGUUGAAAAAGUGUGGCGGUCAUGAUAUCUCCUAGGGGGUGUUUGUGGUAAGGGAUUGACUAGAGAGGAGUAAGGAGUUAUGAUGUGUAGUAAGCUAUGAACUCUUGGGGCCCACAGUUUAAGACGUUAAUAAGGUAUAAAAUUGAUGUUUUUAGCAGCGGAACUCAUAAACUCCUUAGGCCAAACAAGAACUAGAAUUCACAACUCCCUACUUCCAAUCUCCUUGGAUCAAGCCAAGAAGUUGGGAAGCAUAAAGUUGUGAACUUCAUACCUAGUUUAGCCCAAGGAAUUCAUGGACCCCACAACUAAAAUACAUCAAUUUUAUGCUUAUUACUUUACGUUGUAGGUCCAUGGAGUUCACAUCUCCACUUCUUGUCCCCUAAACACCCCCUUAAAUUCUUUUCUAAAACUGAAACAUAACUUUUCAUUGAUAUAAUGAAAAGAGAUUAAAUCUCUUAGUACCCAAACGUCUCGUUAAUUCUUAUUCUUUAAAAAAAAAAAAACUAUAUUUAUUCUUCAUUCACUUCUUCUAAAUUUGUUCAAGACUGCAUAAAAGAAAAAAUAUCUCAAGUGCAAACCCUUGUGACAUGCAAUGUGGUAUACCCAAAAGUGAAGAGACAAUUAUUUUUCAAAAGAAGAAGGGCUAAUCAAUAGAGUUAGUUUAGAAGGGUAAUUUUGAGAUUUCCUUAAUACCUUGUACUCUCAAUUUAUCCAUAAAUACAAUACCUCUUCUCUCAUUGAGGGAGAUAUUCUCUUGAAUAAAAUUUCAGAAUUUGGUUUACAUCAAAUAUUGGUAUCAGAGCAACUCCAAGAUUCGAGACCGAUGACCGAAAAAAGAGCUAAUCAGCCGAUCAAGGAGAACAUUAGUGUAGAAGAAACCACCACCCUCUCAACACAACACUUGCAGUCUAUUGAGUAUUCUUUAGAGGGAAUUUACGUGACACUAACCACCCUUUAGAAGACUUAAAGCUUUGAAGGAUUGGCUUGGUCUAAAUUUUUAAUUUUGAGAUUGUAUUAUUGGGUUUUUUAUGUUUUAUGUUUCUAAAACAUAAAACAUAAAAAAAAAAAAUCUGAAAAACAUUGUUUGCGACUGCUUUUUCAAAAACUCAGCUGAUGCCAAAAGAGGAUGUGCUGGAGGUUUUCUCCCUCUCCUUUAUGCAAUGCCCAAACUCACUAUUUCCAACACUCCCCCUCAAGUUGGAACGUAAAUGUCAAAGAGACCCAACUUGCCAAUACAUGAAUCAAAGUUUUGUAUGAGGAGCCCCUUUGUGAGCAUAUCAACAAAUUGCUUGCUUGAGGGUAUGUAAAGAAUGCAGAUGCUACCAUUGUACAAUCUCUCUUUUGAUCAAAUGUCUAUCAAUUUUUACAUGUUUAGUUCUAUCAUGUUGGACCGAGAUAUUGGCAAUGCUAAUAGCUGUCUUGUCAUCGCAUAAUAGUUUCAUAGACACCUCAUAGUUCUUACGAGGAUCAGACAACACCUUCCCAUAAACCAUGAGAUUUGUCGAUUCAACGAAGUUGUUAAAAUGUCGCAAUCCUUGUGUGUUCCUACAGAAAGGAAAACAUUCAAGUGCCAAAUGAGUAAUGUUAAAAUCUCCUCCCAUGAACCAUCCUUCAACACAAUAGUCCAAAAGGGAUAGAAGUUCCAGCCAGACAAGCCGCAAGUCGUGGAGCAUUUUACUGACAAAGAAAACCUUCCUUUAAUGGUUCCAACAACAGACACCUUGCUCAUAUCCCACAUAGUCAAAAUUCAUUCGGAUAGGCCAAUUGGUUCCACAAAAUCUUAGUUGAUUUCCUUAGAACUCCUCAGUUAUGAAAGCAUAAUCGAAACUCUCCAUCUUUGAUUCUUGAAUCAAGACUACUUCUGGGUGAACCUUUUUAAGAAAUCUCUUGGUGGCUAAACGCUUAGAUGGAUCCAUUAGGCCCCUUGAAUUCCAAGAUAUAACCUUCAUUUGUGAACAAUCUGUUUAUGACAAUUGAGAGGUAAAACAAGGAAAAUUGAUCGGACCAGGAUUACACCAAAAUCAUUAACAAUGGAAACCAAAUGGUCAAGCAAUUCUGAGGAUUUUAAAGGGGAAGACCAAAGAGCAUUGUUUGCCAAAAAUCUUGAAUCAGAUUCAGCUAUAAACAGUGCCUUCAGGUUCACAUUGUCAAUUUCCUUAACAAGCUUAUUGUCAUGGGAGCUUUUCAAACCUAUAGAUUCCUCACCCCUUGUACUGUACUGCAUGGUCUUUUUGCACUAUUUCUUUUCCUGUUUUUCUCUGGUUGUUUAGUUUUGCUGCACUAGGUUGAAUUUCAUUCCCAUUGUAUUUUGUUCCUUACUUCUAGUCUUAAUUGGGAUAUGAUGUUUUGGUGCUAAGGGGGUGUCAACCUAGUUGAGAUGUCUGGGUGCACCUUCUGAUCCCCUAGUUUUUUUUUCGUUGUUUAGACUUUUUUAUUACGUUCAUUGUAUAAUUAUCUUGUACUUUGAGUUCUUAUUAUUAAUAAAGAAGUUUGUCUCCAUUUAAAGAAAAAACUGUAGAUUCCUCACUACUGACACUGAAAGGCGAAUCAUGUCAGCUUCUUCCUCCCUUUUGUUGGAAACGAUCAGAUGACAUGUUGAGCCUCCCAUGAAAGUUAUCUUUGUGUUCAAAGCAGUGAAGCUUGUAUAGUUGAAAGACUUUGGAGCUGCAAACCUACAAGAAAUCCGAAUUAUCUUUUGUGAGUGUAGACCUAAAAGGAUACUUCCCCUGAGAAUGCUUCUCUUGAGCCUUGAUGGAACAGACUCCUACUAAAGUGUAGAGCAGUCCAAGCAUGGUUGAAGGAUGUCUUUUUCCUGAUAAAGUGCUUCAAGAGCUUUUUUAAAAAAAAAAGGAGACAAGUGCUUCAAGAGCUUUGGGCUGCAAGAAUUCUUUUUUACUUGGCUAAAACAGCUUGACGAGGAGGGAGCAUUAAUUGUCAUCUUUACUACACGAGUUAUUAGAUAGCACAAUGGUCAGGGAAGAAGCAAGGGUGCCAACUGUUGAUGUACCAUGAAAAGAGAGACCUUUGGAAAUCAGAAUAGAUGAUGUUGGCUUGGCGUCGUUAUUCUUUAUAAUAAAAAUGCAGCUGCUUUUGAUAUUAAUGAUGGGUGACUUUUGCUUCUCUUUUUAUGACUCUUUGCAUACGAGAUUUUUAAAACUAGGAACAUUUGGCAGGGGGAACAGGGCCCACUAAAUCAUUAGUACAAUUGUCUUCUACAAUCUUAUCUUUUCUUUGGUCGUGACUCUUCAUUAUCUGAUGAAUUGAAUGCAUUUUCAGACUGAACGGCAGCCUCUACCUUUUUCUCCGACGCUGAUGAGGAGUUUUUAAUAUGUUUCAAAGCGUCAAAAAGGUUUCUUGUGAAUGGAGGACAUUUUCUUCGAACACAGGAUUGAUAAAAGUUUUUUUUUUAAAGUAAAUUUCAAACAUUUUCUGAAUCUCUUUCCAAUCAUCAAAAGCAAAGAGUCUUGUACCAAUCCAAAGGUGGUCAAGCUUUUCUCGGAUGACUUCAGUAUUCUGUAAGGCCCCCAAUUGUCCACACAUAUAAAAGAAGGGUCAAAAGGGUAAAUGUACAACCAGCUAAUGAUGAGGGAAUGAUGGAAAAGAAUCGUGCAAAUGGGGCCCAUGAGCAGGUCCAAUAUUAUCUUUUUGUAAAAGUCGGCUGCUGUAGCCUGCGGAAAGAUAUUCAGCUAGCAUAUGGGAGGCUGGGUAUGUUCUUCUAUGUUUUCUUCUGCUAUUCUGAGUCUUUUGACUCCUGUAAUCGUUUUUGGCCUAUACAUAAAUAAAGUUUAGCAGAGUACCGCGAUCUGUUUUGCCAUUGUGUGUGUGGGAACUUUAGUAUUUUAUCAGUAGAUUCUCUACAUAUUCUUUAUCAGCCAGUGACAGUUUUCCUGUCUACAAAACAGACGAAGGCUGAGAACUUCCUCCUUCCACUCUGAUGUCAGUCUGAUUGCCAACUAUGUGGGCGCCCACAUUUUCUUUCUUUUUAACAAUGGUUGUGUUAUCAUUUGAUUCAACCCUAUCUGCAUAGCUUGAACUGUUAGCUUGUGAUGAAAAUUGAGCCUUGGGACUGUUGCAUGAAAACCAUUUUACAUAUUCUACUUUUGACAAGAAGUUUUCCCACAUUCUAUGGAAUGCUCUCACAUCUUGUUUGGCUUCCCUUGAGCACACCCAUAUGUUGAAUGUCCUCCCGACAUUGGCCAAAAAUCGCAACUUAGCACCCAUCCAAUUUUUUGCCCUUAACUUCAACAGCUUCAGCUUUCCUCAAUCUAACUCUCCAAGAUUCUGACAGUCAUGAUCUUCCGGUCCUCUUAGAAGUUCGGAAACAGCUUUCAGAAACCAAACCAGUUGUGCCUCGAAUACUGACUGACAAUACUCUUUGAGCUUCCACAUCAUCGACAUGAAAAGCUAUCAUCUUCUUCCAAAUGCAAUAGUGUGACUGAAGAACUUCGUAGGUAACCACAUCUAUUGCAAGUGCUACUCAAACAGAAAAUUUUAUUCUAGGCAGGGAAACUUCCAAGAAAGAGACUUCGUCAGAGGGCUGCAAAAUGGGAAAGGGGUGGAAAUUGAGGAAAGAGGAGAGAGGACUUACCGUUUCAUUUUUUAACAUUAUCAAUGAAAAAUGUUUUGCUUCCCUUUUUAGAAAAAUAAAUAAGUUGUUAUGAUGAUUCAAAUAUUUUAGUACGACCUUCAAGGAUUAAAUGCUUGCAAAUUGGUAUUAUCAGAAGCAAGCAGCAUAUUUUACACUAUUCCUCGUAUUGGUAGCAGAUGAAGUGAGUUCUUCUAUGCUUUAUUUUGAAGAUGCCCUUUCUAAUUAUUUUUAAUCAAUUAUUUAUCUUCUUUAUAGAGGGGGGAAAUCAAAGAACCACCUUUCAUAUAAAUAAACAAGGGCCUGUAACAGCUCAAAGAAACAAAUACCUGAAAAGUUUUACCAAGGCCCAUUGUAUGAGCAAGAAUGCAUCCAAGUCCUUUAUCCCCAGACUUCACUUUCCGUAUUGAUUGAAUGAUAUUUUCCCACAUAAAUCUUAUUCCAGAAAUCUGCAGCAGAAAAACCAUAUAAUAAAAGAUAAAAAUAGAGCCAAGAAGGCUUCCAAUACAGGAUUAAAAAAAUAAUGAUAAUUUAAUAAUACAGGAAUAACAAGAAUUAAAAAAAUAAUCAUUAUCCCAAGACUUCACAUCCAAUACAUGAUAAUGUAUUCUGCUGCCAAUUUUUAUUCUGUUUUUAUUUUCUCCUCUCUUUAUUUCUUUUGAUUUCUUUCUACUGUACUAAACUCUUUAUUAAUGACCUAGUAAAGAUACAUUACCAUGGCUCAGAAUUGAGUUUGUUUUUCUCCUUUUGCUUUUGUUCUUCUGAAUAUGACGAGGUCACUAUAGAGUGUCAGUCUAGUUGAAAUGUUCGAGUGUGACUAUUAAUCCCUAAUUUUUGUAGCUCUUCUAUAACCUUCUUGUACACUAAGCUACUGUCUCUUUGUAUCUAUAAAUAAAGCGACCUGUUUCCAUUUAAAAAUAAAAUAAAAAAAUACAGGAAGUUCAUAUUUUUGUUUGAGAGGCCCAUAAUACAAACACUAUGUAAGUGACCUAUACUCGUUUUAACAAAUAAAAACUUCACAUGAAAACAGAACAGGACCCUUAAAGCCCAUUUCUGGAAGGACCAAUCACUUUUAGGCUCCGGUUUAAUUAGUAAGUAAAAAAAUUAUUAAUCUGAUGGUCAUCCAGGUUUCAUAUUGUACCAGAAGCAAAAUACUGAAAAGGCUUUACAAAAACCAAGAUUCGUAGGCUAAUAUGAAACAAGACGAAGAUGGCUGCUUGGAACAUGAAGGAAAGGAGAAAUUAUAGAGGAAGUUGUAAACGGCGUAUAGUGUCACAAAAUUGCAAGCUCCACAAGUGAAUGGAAGAAGAUGAAACACCAUCUUUAUCCAAAAGAGCAUAGCUUGGUUUUCCUUCCAAAAAAGUUCACCUUCGAGUUCGCCAAAGAGACAACAAAGUACUUAAAGUUAUGAGUAUGGAAUGCUUGAGAAACAAACCUAGCAUCUUUCGUUGGGACCUGUAAUUGAGUGCAUUUUUCAAACAAUAUAUCUCGGUUAUGUUCUGAAAUCAAUUUCUAGAAAAGGAGCUAAUUGAGAGCUUAUUGGCGGUAAUGUUGUUGGUCUCUGAAGCAGCAAAACUAAAUGAUUUUGGAUUGAUCGAAAUGGGCCCUCGUGCCUUUUGGACUUCCGUGUUGGGUAGAUCAACCAAGGAAGAAUUUGACUUUCCUUUAACCACCAAUUUAAAGCUCAAACUCUUAUUGGUCAAAUUAGAAGACACAACUUCUUGGAUUCUCCCUCCUGCUUCUAAUCAACCUUAUUUGAGAUAUGCUGUUUUGGUGUCAAGGGGGUGUCAACCUAGUUGAGAUGUCCGGGUGCACCUUCUGAUUUCCUAGUUUUUCUUUCGCUUAUCUAGACUUCUUAUUAUUAAAAAAGAAGUUUGUCUUUGUUUCUAAAAAAAAAAUCAACAAAUCUUGUGGAGUAUUAUGGUGAAAGCUAUGCUAACUGAUUUGUUGUUUAAAAGAAACCAAAGAGUCUUCCAUAAUAAGGGAACUCCUUGGUUUACUAGAUUUGAAGCAGCUCGAUUGAGCGCAUCCCUUUGGACCUCUUUCUUGUGAAUUGUUGAUUAUUCAAGUCAAGAUAUUAGUUUAACUUGGAGUACUCUCAUCUCCAUGAAUUAAAUUGUUGAGACCAACAGUGAAUAAGAUAGCUCUUUUCCUCUACUACACUUCAUAGUCUUGUUUUGUUAUUUUUCAAUAUUCUUGGCGAUGAUUGUAAUUUUUUUUUUUUAAAGGAGACAAAACCUUUUUAUUAAUAUGAAGUCAAAGUACAAGCGAUUUAUACAAAGAGAGCAAAAUUACACUCGAACAUCAAGAGGCGAUGAUUUUAACUUUUAGUCUUGCUUAAGUUAUUUGUAAGUUUCUUUUCAGAAGUGAUGAUGGUAUUAAGUAGGUGUCAACCUAGUUGAGAUGUCAGAAUGCACCUCCUGACCCAUAGCAUUUUGCUUGUUGUUUCCAUUGUACUUUGAGCAUUAGUCUCAUAUCAUUAUCUUAAUGAAGAGGCUUGUUUUUUGUUAAAAAAAAUAUGAAUGAAUUGGAGAGGAGGGUGACCAUUGCUUGACUCUGGAAUUUAAAUCAUUUCGGUAAGUUUUAAAGAAGGCAAGAAUUACAAGCAACUUUUGUAUGGCUGAAUAAAAUUCAAACGGUCACGUGAAUCUGACUCGGGCAAAGGAUGAACUUCUGACUUCUUUCCAAUCACCAUCAAAUUGUUUCAAUUCAAAGAAUCCAAGGAGUGACUAGACGAAUCUUUUGUUGAACCAGUCAGCAACUUCUGAAUAUCCACUAGUUGAUUUUGAAGCUACAAUUCAUUGAAUUUUUCUAACUGAAUAAAAGGGCUUCAAGUAUACUGCACACGCAACCUUACUGGAAGAUGAAACUCGUAUUGAUCAUUUAACAAAUCAAAUUCAACCCCUUCAUCCUUCAAAACUUGAUUGAAUCUAACAAUAUCAACUGGAUUUGAAAAUCACAAACAAAUAAAUCCCCUCUAACUUUAACAGGUGGGUUUCCAAAUGAAUACUAUUAAUAUAAUUAGAUUAUUCUUAGGAGAUAUUAUUCUAGAGAUAUUAUUUGAUAUUAUUUUCUUAAGUGUAUUUUUCUAUGGUUAUAUAUGGCUUGUAUCUCUACUAAAUAAUGAAUGAAAUAUAGAUUAAUUCCAUAAAAUCAACAUGGUAUCAGAGCCCAUUAAACCCAAACGGGUAUUCGGUCCAAGAUAGGUGAAACCAAAGAGGCACCAUCUUGAGGGGGCAUGUUGGAGAAGUUGAGAGUCCCACAUUGGAAAAACCAAGGGGACUCAUACUCCAUAUAAGGUAGAUGGGCUACUCCUAUCAUUGCCAAUUGGUUUUGAGAUGGAACCCCAUACUACCAAAUGUAACAUGGUAUCAGAGCUAUAAGGUUUUAGUCUCCUUGUAUUCUAGCCGUCACAUCCCCGUUCGUCUGCCUCCGUUGAUUCGUCGACGGAGGCAGAGCCAUACCCAUCAGUAAUCAAUACACAUCAUGUCUCCAAGUAGUUCGCUCUGCCUCCUAGAUCAAAAUCCUCGUCUCUGAUUCUGCCGCCGCGGCACUGCGCCACCACUCACUUCCUUCCAUCCACACAGUUCGUCGCACUCUCGACCCAUAUCCGCUCUCCAUUCGUCCUCACUUAGAUCUACUUGUGCGCACAUUGCAAGCACCGAUUUGUUCGUGCAUCUCUGUUCGUGUCUUCGACUUCCAGAUCCGUGUUUUAUUUCAUCUUUCGCCUUCGAAUCAUACUGUUCCAGAUCAGACCGACCUGCCGCCGCCGCCCUUUUACUCGUACCAGACAAUCUUUUUUGAUUGAAGACUCUCGAUCCUGAAGAGGGUGAAUCUUUAUUCAGAUCCAUGAUCCACCGCUCCGCUCCACUCACAGUCGACGACGCACAGGUUCGGCUUUGUCCGCUCCCCAUUCGUGAAGCUCGCCAUCAUGAAACGCAUCUUCUCUUUUUUGCGAAGAACGCCGCAAAGCUCUCUAUCUACUCAACCUCUCAGCUCUCUUCAGUUUUCUUUCUGUUCACCCAGAUUUCCUGUUCAGUUUGAUUCUGACUUGCUUUAGUUUAGUUCGUUCGGUUCCAUUCUGAUGACGAAACGCUCCUGCCCAAUUCAGACCACGUUUUCAUCCUGAUUUGAUUCUACUUUGCUUCAGUUUUGCUCUUUCAUUUUGCCCCCGGAGUUCUUGUUUCGUUCUUCCUAGGUUCUGUUAUAGAUCUCUAUACGAGGAUCUAUGUUUCUAUCCCAGAAGUUCUUCGUUUCGCUCUUCGUGGGUUUGUUUUAGCCUAGAAGUUCUUUGUGUGUUUGUUCUUCGGGUUUUUUAUUCUAUUCUAGAUAUAUUGUUUCUUUUCUUAGUUCUUAGCAAACUCAAGUAGGUGAUUUCAACAUUGAGUUUGAGGGAGGGUAUUAAUAUAAUUAGAUUAUUCUUAGGAGAUAUUAUUCUGGAGAUAUUAUUUGAUAUUAUUUCCUUAAGUGUAUUUUUCUAUGGUUAUAUAUAGGCUUGUAUCUCUACUAAAUAAUGAAUGAAAUAUAGAUUAAUUCCAUAAAAUCAACACCGAAUUUCAAGAAAAUAUUUCCUCUCUUCUCAUUAUUAAUUUCAAUUGUUGCUGAAAUGAACCCAAAAGAAUUCUCAUUAACUUGAAUUUUGGCUUCUAAUACAUUUACGAAGUUUAAAGUUUCCAUGGAAAAGUCUAAUAAACCCCCAAAGUAGGCCCCAAUAACUUCAAAAGUCCAGUAAUUACAGUAAUCUAGGGGUAGGUUCUUAAUCGAUAUACACCAUAUUCUUUUGCAUACAAAGGUCUGCUAUGGACUUAUCCCAUUUUUCAAACUUUUAAGUGAAAGGCACCCACAUCCUGCCAUUUCCCAGGUUGCUUUAUCACUUCAUCAAGUGUCCUUUGAUCCAUAUCAAUUAGAGCAUUUCUCUGCAAACAUCGGGUUGAUGUUGACCUCCAACUGGAAGAACGUUUGUAAUGAUUCUUUAAUCUCGACCCAGCUAUUGAACUCAAAAAAAAUGUGAGCCAAGCCAAAGACUGUUGAAAUUUGUUUUGAAGACCAUUGGAUUUUUUAUAAUCUAAUGUUGUUAAAAGCUCUGUUUUUUCAGGUCCAAAACAGAUAUCUUUGUCUGCUUAAUCUUGUCCACAUAACUUUCUAUCUUCUCUUCUUGUGGUCAGCUAAUAUCUACUGAGUAACUAUUUUCCGACUUGCUCUAUUCUGAAUACAUGUCAUAUAACCAUGCUCUAAUUUGAAGCUUUUCACCAUUUCCAGAAGCGUACUCCAUCCCUUUUUUUCCUUGCCCAAAAGCAUAUGAAUGAAUGAUCUUCCUUCUAUUCGAGGGCAAACAUUGCACCUUAAAACCCACCCUCUCUAUUCUGAAUUUUGAGACUUCUGUUAUGCCAUUAUCGACUCUUUCUUUCUUGCAGAAGUAAUGCUUCUCUGAAUUUUGACAUAAAUCUUCAAUAGCCUCUUGGAACCAGCAGAGUUGGGAACUUGAUCAAGCAGAAUUUUUUUUUGCUUCUACAUGAAGACUUGGAAUGCAUCAUUCUUGUACCAGAUACAAUAGGAGAAGUCAUAAUUAUGCAGCUUUUCACCUCCAUUUCUAGCUUUCUCACCAGAAAACUGAUAACUGAGUGUGUCAGGGAGGAGAGAGGAAGCAGAGAGAGGAGGGAGAACUUACCUUCUAAGGAUGAAGAGAGAGAAUUUAACCUAUAGGCUAUUGUCAUUUAUUCAAUAAAAAAUUUGAUUUUGAAAAUAAAAAUAAAUAAAUAAAAACAAUUCUAGAAAAUUUUGAAAAGAUAUUCACAUGCAUGUGCAGCUAUGUUCAAACCUGAUGGGUUUUCAACUUUGAUGAAAUGCUUGGCGGAAUUCUAAUGGCCUCUUCUCCUUUCUCCCGCACAACAUUCACUAUAUAUCCCGUUGAGGCAUCACCAAGGACUUCGACACUGGCACCUUCAGAUAGAUUUCCGCAAAAGCCAGCAGAGCUCAUCAUUUUAGAAUUGGACGAAAACUGAACUUGUAAUGAUUUUAGACGUUCUUGGCGUUCCUUUAGAGAGAAAAAUGAGACAUAAAAUUUAAACAUGGUGAGUAUUCCCUAAAAGUUACAACAUAAGAUCAUACAAAAUUGAUCCAUUAAAUUUACCUUCUCUAUGGCAAUUUUCUUUUUAGUAUCUUCUCCUAAUUCAGCGUCAUCGAGUAUCCGCCGUAUUUUUUUCUUACGCUUUCUCUUUGAGCUUAUUGGUAAAGCAGAAAAGUAGUCAUAAACAAUAAUAAAAACAGUUGUAAAGAAAACCAAGCCACAGUUUUAGGUAAUUGAAGUUUAGGAAAGAAAAAUUAGCAGCAACAGAAGCCUGAUAAUUUGUCUCAAAAUGUAGUCAACUGUAAAAAAUUUGUUUAGUCAGAUCAUGCAUAUUCCUAAAAGGAUAGGUUUUUCUAAUUAUCUACCUUGCAGGUGGCUCUAUCCUAAAAGUUUAGAAAUUGCAAAGACAAGAUUCUUUGCCUGCUUCAACGUCUGUCUUCUUUGGUGUUUCAUUAAACUGAUAUAGCUCCGAGAUGGGUUUUAUAUUGGCUACUAGUCUUUUCCUUUUCAAAAAGGACAACCAUGUCAUGUUUUACACUUAACUCUUAUUCUAGAUGGAAUUUUCAUUGAACAAGAAACAACUUCUCAUUAAUAUAAUAAAAAUGAAUAAAUAAUCAAGAAAUACAAACUCCCAAAUGGACUGAGAGAAAAAAUACAAACAAGAAAUACAACCUUAUAAAGAUAACCAAGGAAAUAAGCACACAUUUAAACAACUAAAAACUUUUCUAAUAUUUUCAUCCGAAGACUUAGAGAGCUUGCAAAUGAAAGACGAAGCUACAAAUAAGGCAACUACCAAACACUACAAACCAACCAAAAGCUACUAUAAAUCUUCCCAAUAAAAGCAAGAACCAAUCACCAAUCAACAACAAAAAAAUAAAUAAAUAAACCAACCACAAGUUUCUUCUAUGGGGUUCUGGUAUUUUUUGCAUCCUUCAUUGAGUUUUCGUCGGCUGAUAAUGGUUUAUUCUCCUUUAAGGAUUUCUUUCUAACUAGGUUUUUAACUUUUUGUAACUUCAAGCCCAAAAGAAUGCCACCUCGUGGUAUUCCUACUCCAAGCCUUUUGAAAGCUACAUAUUCAAGAAAUCUACUCAAAUUGGAGAGUUUUUAUCUUCCUAGCUUAAUUUACUUGUUUUGAGUUUAAUCUCUUUUCACACUUUUGUCUUUAGGUCUUCUGUAUACUCUUUGUUGAAAGCCUAGUGAUUUAUAGUCUUUUUGUGCUAUUUUUAAUGGCUGAAUUUAUAAGCCUCGGCCGAUUUUUUAUGUAAUGUUUUGAAGGAUAUGAUGAGGGUGCUAAGCGAGUAUCAACCUAGUUGAGAUGUCCAAGUGUACCUGUUGAUCAUGUUUUAUGCUUUAUGCUCUUUGUAUAACCCUCAUGUACUUAGAGCAUUAGUCUCUUUCUUUUUACAUCUAUAUGAGUAAAGAGACAUGUUUCCUUUUAUAAAAAAAAUGUUUUUGUAACUUCAAUAUCAAAAGUUUUGUUUAUUCAUCAGAAACAAUUAGAAGCGUUGUUUGUAAUCCCCUUAGCUAUUUGAGGUUAGCUCCAUUUCCAUUUUUAUCUUUAAGUAGAUUUUUUGGUUACAACAAAUUACAUUUAUCUGUUUCCUAAAAAAAGUGUCAGAAAAAGAUAACUAGCAGCUGAGUUACCUGAUGGUUACAUUUAUAUCUGCAUUUGGGUUGUCUGAAUCGCUAUCAGAGCUAGAACCUGUCAACUCUUCAGAUCCUAAGGCUUCCUCCAACUGAGUGGUCAAGGAUUGCAAAAGACUUGGGCGACAACAACAACAAUGCCACCCAGAAGCCUGGGCCUUGAGCAAGCACUCAACACCAAGGUUCCGCCUUAUGCAACCAGUACAAAAGAGUGUUUUACAUGAUUUACAACUUACUAAAUCAGCAUUGUGGCCACACCAUCCGCAAUAGCAUUCAGAGCAAUCAGGUUCCUGAAACCAUUCUAAUAUGAGAUCCGAGAACUUUAAGAAUAGUCCGUUGUGGAUAAAAAAUGGGAUGUAAAGGACUAGACGACGACAGUCAUUUUACUUUCAUUUCAUGUGGGAUAACAAAAACCAUCAAUGCCAAAUACAACAUGAUUCUUUUUCUUUCAAUAGAAAAAAUCAGUAGUGACUUCAUUAACUGGUUUAACUUUUUUUACCCAUAACAUUGGACCAAAGUAGAUGAAUAAACCUACUAUAUCAACUUAGUAUGAUAUAAUGAAGCAUGUCCUGGUGCAGUCAAAACUUUAUGAAAACCAAAAUACAAAUUUUAGUAUGAUCAACUAGUAUAUUCUUUGUGUACCUUUACAUUCUUCUUGUCAUCCAUCAUGCUUUUGCAAUCUGCACAAACAAUUACUCUCAGGAAAGGAUGUGCAUACACUUUAAUAACCACUUGAUCACAAGCAGUACAAUGGAUCUUCUCGUUUGGACACGUCGAUGGAAGAGAAUCAGCAUCAUAGUCAUUUUGUUCCGUGUUGCAUAUGGUGUUCAACAAAGCAGAAUGCUCCUUCAUUGGGGAAUUUUCAUCAUUAUGUACACCAUUAGUUCGACUCUUUUUAGUUUGAGUGAUAACUUCUUCCAUAUCAUUUAAACGCUUGGAACCUAAAGGUUCCACAAAAUUAGAUGAAGCCGAAGGAAGCACAGAAGCUGUAUGCUCCAUAGACCUUUCCAUGUCAAUAUCACUUGAAGCAUCAGAACCGUUGGGUAUGUCAACCUUGAUUUUAACAUCUCCAUUCUCAUCAUCAGAUAACCCCAUCCGACAUUUGUCAACUUUAUCAUCUGAAACAGGGUUCAAACAGUCAACCAAAGAUACGGGCUGCUCUUCAUCUCUUGGGGAAACAUCUUUUUGGGAGACCUAAAUCAAACAAAAAAAGAGUCAAGAAUACAGGUAAAUCCAAACCACAUGCAUAACACUAGAAACCAAGGCACGUGGCCUCUAAAGAACCAAUAUAAUCCCAGCACCAUUUGUAUCCCUCAUCGGUCACAUUGGAUAUACAAUAAAACACGGGUGAAACUACUGUCACACAGAAAGGGGUGUUCCUUGUUCAAUAUGAGAGUAUAAAUAAUGAAUGUAUUGGAAAUAUUAGUAGACUACAAGAAACGACAUAGUCGUUAUUUGCAAAGUGCAACUUGGUUAUAAAUAGGAGUUAGAAAUCUUAAAAGAGGACUAUGUGUAGAAUAUGAGGGAGAGAUAGCCCCCCAAAAAGCUAUUGAUAUUGUUUUUCAUAAUGGGAAUAAGGCUUUUCAUAAUGGGAAUAAGGCUUUUCAUUGUUGAAAUAAAAACAGUCUAAUGCUCAAAUUCUAAUGGGACACAGUAAGCAAACAAAGCAAUUUUUUUUUAACAAAGUCAAGGUUUAAUCAAAAACAUGAACCAUUACAAAAACCUCAUCAAAUCUAGUAAAUCAAUUGUGAAUUAAGACUACAAAUUCCACUUCUUCAUCUUUCGUUGCUUGGUUUAGUCUAACUAUAUCAAUUGGGUUCGAAAAAUCAUUAACUAACAACUCACCUUUGACUUUAUACAGAAGAUCGUAAAGUUCAAUAUCGCCACAGUUCAAAAACAAAUGUUACCAAGACACCCAUAUAAAUUUCUAUAGCAGCGGGCAAAGACCCACAAAUGUUCUUCUUAACUUGAAUUUUAGCUUCAGCUACAUUUAGAAGAUUCAAGGUUUCAUUUGAAAAGAUUUUUAAUCAAAACUCACCCUCCAUAUCUGUUUAUCAAACUAGCACGCCUAAAAACAAAUUUGUCCCAAUUUUUAAACUUCAAAUGGAAGUUUACAACAUCUUGUCAUUUCCUCUGUUGGACAAUAAAAUCUUCCAGAUUUCCUUGGUCUAAUUUAAUGAAAGUGUUCUCUGAGAAUAGGAGAUUGAUGAUUAUCUCAGUUUGGAAGUAGCGCUUUAACGUCUUGGCAAGCUCAGUCUAUUUUUUUCUUUUUUCCUUCUUCUUUUGAAAAGGAAACAAGCAUCUUCACUAAAAGAAUGAUAUGGAAUAAUGCUCAAAGUAAAAUGGAAACAACAGGCAUAAAACUAGAUCAGGAGUUACAUCUGGGAAUCUCAACUACGUUGACAACCUUUAUCACCAUCAUCAUUUCCUCAAAGAAACUUACAAAUAACCUUCUUUUUUUUUUGAAAAGUAGACACUCUUUAUUAAUAUUUAUAUAAUAUUAAUGAGACAAAAGCUCAUAGUACAAGAGAAUUAUACAAUGAAGCAUGUAACCAUGGAUCAGGUGCACUCCUGGGUAUCUCAAUUAGAUUGACACCCCAUAGCACCCACAUCACAUCCAACCAAUCUAAAACCCAUAACAAUGGAGUAAUGUCCAAACGAAAACAAACAAAAGAAGUACAGAAAAAUACAAAUACAAAGACAAGACUAAAACAGACUAAACAUCCUUCUAAAUAAAGGCAACCGAAUAGACGUAAAACUCACAUUGCAGUGUACCAACUUGAUAAAGACUUGAAAGUUACAAUCAUCACCAAGAAUAUUAAAAAAUAACAAAAAAAGACUGUGGAGUGUAGUAGAGUUGACAGUUUUGAUGAGCUACUUGACUUCCAAAUUUUGUAAGUAUCAUAGUCAAGGAAAAGGUGAAAGUUUGUAGUGACAAACACCUUUGGUUCCAGGAAGCAAAUGGAUCCUUCACAGUCAAAUCAUUGAUAAAGCAUCUCUUUGGCUUCUUCGCUUGACACGGCUCUAAAGAAGGCUUUAUGGAAGACGAAAAGUCCAGAGAAGUUAAUAUUUUGGUAUGGAUUAUAAUUUUUGGUUACUUAAAUUGCUCCUCGGUCUUAAAAAGAAAGUGUCCCUCCCAUUGUUUGUCUCCAAGCAUUUGUGCAAAGGAGACGACAGAGACAUCAGCACAUCCUCUUUUGGUUUGUUAUUUGUUAACUUUUUUUGGAGGUGAUGAUGGUGCUAAGGGGUUGUCAACCGAGUUGAGAUGCUUAGGUGCAUCUCCUGAUCCGUAUCUUUAUGCUUGUUGUUUCCAUUAUACUUUGAGCAUUAAUCUCAUAUCAUUAUCUUAGUGAAGAGGCUUGUUUCUUGUUCCAAAAAAAAUUGCGGCUUGGAGAGAGUAUAAGGCCUGGCUGAAUAAAUGCUACAUCUGAGUUGUCUUCUUGGUAGGCUUUUGGAGGUAUUCCAACAUACUUCCAAAAUUUAAUUCUCUUAUUCAGGAUUUUACUCUUAGAAGAUGAAAGGUUUCAUUGCACAUAAAUAGCUUCUUCUGCUUUCUCUUUCCUCUUUAAUGUUGUUCACAUUGGAUUGAGGAUCAACUUCCAAUGAACUGGCCACCGUAUAAUGUUGAACUGGAGAUUUCUUCGGUGAGCACAAAGUUGGAGACUUCCCUUGGGAUUUUCUUGGUAUGAAGACAAACCAAUUGGAUUAAAAACAUUCUUUAAGUAAAUCAUCUUUGACUUUUGGAGGACAAAGAACUUCAAUAUCACCAUAAUUUAAAGAAAGUUCCGCUUGACUUGAAUUUUUGCUUCCGCCACAUUGAUGUGAUUUCAGGUUUCAAUUGAAAUAGCCUCUGAACCUCCGAGGUGAUCACCAAUGGCUUCAAAAGUCCUGCACCAGCAGUCUACAGGUAAAUUGGGUACAGAUAGACAUCCCCCAUAACCACACACAACAUUUGGACGGCUAUGCGUCAUCUUAUACCAUAUCUCAAGCUUUAGAUGGAACUUACCAAAUGCUUGCCAUUUUCCAGGUAGUUCAAUAAGCUCUUCCAAUUUUCCAUUACUCACUUUGAUUAACACGACAUCCACUGAGAGAGGAUUUAAAACUACAUUUGAACUAAAGUAUAACUUAAGUGUAUUACAGAUUUCCAGCCAUUUGUUAAACUCAAAAAGCCUCGAGACAACCCAGAGAUUGUUGAAAUCCUCCUUGAAAACUUCCAAGUUUUUUAUUAUCCAGUGCUGGGACGAAAAUUUAUCAUUGGGCUUCUUAACAAAGGGAGGUGUGUCUUGUUUGGUUAAAGGUCAAGGCAGUACUCUGUUUCUUGGUAGGCAAAGGAGAGCAACCCAUGGAAAAUUGACCAGCACCUAUAUUGUUUUGUUUUUCUUCUGAAAUCUUAGGCUUCUCCUUCAACUUCGUGCUACUCUAAUGAAGCAAUCGGACGUCCAGAAGAGACUCAGCAAAAACCUUCCAGUCUCUGGUGGCCUCACCUGAUGGUACGUGAAUAAAAAUUCUACCUCCUGACUUAGGCUAGCCUACACAUCUCAUAAAUCAUUUCUCUGUUGUGUUGAUUUUUGAAAGCUUGAAUCUACCAUCUGCAUCCUUUCUUUCUUUUUUGAAAAAACUUGAUGCUGGAUUUGUUGAUUAUUUCCCUGUUCUGUCCGUUCACACAUCUCAUAAAUCAUUUCACUGUUCUGUCCGUUCUCUGAACUGUAUUGCUUCAGCCAUGUCAGACACUAAGACCCCGAUGGUUAAAGUUGACAAUCAUAUCCAUUCGUUAAAUUGCUUCCAUGUAUACUCUUAACUACUUGGCACUAUAAAGAAUACUGAUCAACCAUAAAGCACCAACGCCACAUUGAUGAAGUGCCAAAUUCCUGAUUUUCAGGUUACUACACCCUAGGCCUCCAUCUCUUUGUGCUUUAGUGAUUUGGUCCAUUAAACCAAAUGAUUCAGCUUCCCACGUUAUUAGCUUCCCAGAAAAACUUUCUCAUAGUUGUUUCCAAAGAGUUGAAUGUUGAGGCGGGCACGAGGAAACUGGACAAAUAAUAUGUUUGGAGAUUAAAGGACAGAUUGUACCUUCUCCAUUUAUUCAAUUUUCCCUGAAUUUUAUCAAUGAUGGGCUGCCAAAAAGAGAUACUCUUAGAGUAACCGCCUAGUGAAACUCCAUCAUAUUGCAAUGAGAAACUCAGAAUUGUCAAUGAUAGUUUCUCUUCUAUUGUAGGAAAAGGAACUAUUGGAUUGACUGAAAAUAGUAUGUUAUCUUUUAUCUGUUUCUAAGCUUUCCAAAGGUUCUAAAUAUUGUGUUACAUUCUUUUAAACACAUUGCAAUUUCCAGGAUUGUAUUGUUCUCAGAAUUUUUCAGCUUAUUUUGGGUUGUAGUGGCUUUGUUUAACCCUGAUUGAUCAUAUAUUUGCUUGGUUUGUAUAGGCUGUGUGUAGCCUUUUGUUUGGAUAUGAUGAGAGGGUGUCAACCUAAUCUGAGAUGCCAGAGUGCACCUGCUGAUCCAUCUCGUUCUACAGCCAUAGCAUUUGCUCAUUGUAUAACUCUUUUGUACUAUGAGCUAUUGCUCCUAUUUUUAUUAAUGUAUGAGUUUGUUCCCUUUUCAAAAAAAAUUAUGAUACAAUCAAAGAUUGUGAUACAGACAAACAUUGCCUCCAUUUGGUAUAUGAUAUGUGGGACACCAUGAAAAAAAAAAGUGAAAUUGCCAAUCUAUAAACAUGAAGGAAAGCACGUCAAAGAAAUUUCAUCUUUUUUUUUUUUUUGAAUGGAGAAAACAUCUUUACUAAUAAGAACUGAAAGUACAAGAGAGUUAUACAAAGAGAGCAAUAAAGAAGAUGAAAUUGAGGGAGUCCUAAGGGAUCAGGAGGCACACUCGGACAUCUCAACUAGGUUGACACUCCCUUGGCGCCAAGUCAUAUUCCAAAAAUACAUAAAGGCAAAGACAUGAAAAUAACACCUCUCCAUUGUUUGGCACAUUCUCUAAACCCAACCUACUCUAAGUCAUCUUAGAUCUUUAUAUUAUUUUUUUCAAUUCUUAAACACACCCUAAAGUUUGGUCUACUUUAAAAUUUUAUUUAGGCAUUAUAGUGCACAAUAGCUUCAAGAAGGCAAGUCUCAAGUCCCACCACAUCAAGCCUUAGAAGUAGCAAAAGAGAGGACGAAGUGAUUAAGAAAUAUUUUAGUUUAGAGGAUGAGCGCACAAAAGUGAACAUUGAAUUUGCCAAUUUCUCUACAAUGUCUAACCAGUUUGCUGAUCAUGAAUCCACAUGUAAUAGAUACUCCUUUGAAGAGUUGGUCCAACUUUACAGUCACUAGCUAUGAAGUUACUUAUUCAGCCUUCAUCCUCCUCGUAUUGUGAGAGAAAUUGGAGUACAUAUUAUUUCUUUGGAGUAAAUAUUCAUUUGUGCACUCCAUGAGAAUAAACAAGAUGACACCACAGCGUGCAGUAGACUUGGUGUGCAUCCAUAGCAAUCUACAUCUUUUAUCAAGAAGAACUCCUGAAUAUCUCAAAGGAGGGACAAAAAUGUGGGACAUUGAUGGGGAUUCGUUUGAUUCAUUUGAAGAUGCAAGAAUGUAUGAGGUAGCUGGUUUAUCUUUGGACAAACCAGAAUCAGAAGCUAUAGUUUUUACCAAUGCUGGUGGUGAAGCUCAAGUUCAGGAUUCUGAAGAGGACACUGGAGAAGAAUGAAGACAUGCUCUUGAUUUUAUUUUGUAGUUUGGUAAUUUUUUACCUUUUGGCUUUUGUUGUGUUGAACAAACUCCUACAAACUAAUAUAACCUGUUAUGUCUUAUGUCUCUAAACUUGUUAUUUUGAUGUUUUUAAUUGGAAUAUUUCACAAUACGUUUAUGCGUUAUAUAUAUAUAUAUAUUUACAAAAAAUCGGUGUGUCCCCGACGUGUUGUGCCCUACUUUUUUUAGAAAAUCGCAUGUCGCAGUGUCGGUGUCGCGUGUUGGUAUUCGUGCUUCCUAGGUGGCAACUGGGAUUGAAGAAAACUAAUUAAAAGAGGUUGAGGACCGAUUGAAGAAUGACAGUAGAGCAUGAUGGUAGAAUGAAGUAGUGGGAGGAAGAUAAGAGAGGGUAGAGUGUUCUUGUUCAACAAAACCACUACCACUAGCGCUUAUGGGAAAGGGUCGAGCUUUGGGCCUCUAUUCUCAAUUGAAUCCAAGAGGUUAAAGUUUACUCUCUUUCAUUAGUCAUGGAACUAGAACGUCAUUCAAAGUCGUAAUAAGUUUUCCUUAGUUCCAAACAACAAAAAGUGGCCAUCAAAUACGUACAUGCACAUAUCUUUGAAUAAAAAAAAUAAAGCAGAAUAAAAACAAGGUAAUAUAGGAUAAAAAAGUAAACAAGACCAAAAGAAGAUUUUCUUUUCAAAAAAGACACAAAACUUUUUAUUAACAAAAUGAAAAGAGACUUGUCCCAUGAGAUUAGUGGAGGUGCACGUAUGCAGGUCCAAAAACAAAUGGAUAUACAAAAAACAAAAAACUAAAUGAAAAGAAACUAUUCCUCAAGAUACGAACUCCAAAGAGAGUGAAAAGGUAAUAAUUGAGCUAGUAAACAAAGGAAUGCCAAACUACAAAAGACCAAAAGAAAAUAAAAGGUAAUAAUAAAAAAGUAUACCUGUUUACAUCUUUUCUGAUUUCGCUUUUGUUUCAAAUGUAUUUGGAGUUUUCGGUCAAAAAUGGCAUCAUCUUCUUCUUUGACCUGUCAAUACAAAGUAGUGAUGCAUUGCACCUUAAAACGCCUUUAAAGGAAAAAAUUAUGAAAGGUAAAUUACCCUCCAUUUGUGUAUUAUCAUUGGAUUUUAGAUCAAGAAUAUUCUUCUUUUGUAUAAUUAGUUUCCUUAGUUCAAACUAAUUUUUUGUAUUAUAUUUACCUAUGAAGUACAAAUACUUCAAAGUGUGCAAAGAAUCAGUAUCAGAUACGUAUAUGAUACUCAUACGUCCAGAUACAUUGGAGGUACAAGUCAAGUAGGUGAAAUGAAUUAUAUGAUUGUAUGUCAUUUUUUUUCAAUUUCGAGCACGGCUGUCCCUUCCAACACAUGAAGGGGAUACACUGAUCAACUUGUUUUUAAUAUUUGGGCUCAAUUUUAAGACCAAAACCCAUACCUCACUUAAUUUCAUAAAAAAUACUACAAUUACCGACAAUUGAAAACAAAAUUAAAUGUAUUAAAAAUCAGAAAACAGAAUUGAAAGGAAACAAUCUCUUCACUAAGAUAAUGAAAUGAGACAAAGCUUCAAGUCCAGUAAGGAUACAGAAGUAAAAGGUCAUAAGGAUCAGAAAGUGCACCCAAGCAUCUCAACUAAGUUGACAAUCCCAUAAUAUACCCUCAUCAUAUCCAACUAACAAGAUGAAGCCAUACAAGGCAACCAAUUAAACCCUAAAAUCAGAUUUUCUCAUCUUCCUGUAUCCGCUUCAACGAAUCAUGCCCCCCCCCCCCCCCCCCCCAUUGUUUUCCCAUUUCUUCGAUUGAGCAAUGUCAUUCGUUUGCCCUAAACCAUUCAUUUGUCUCCCCUAAACCAUUAUUUUUCCUAAGAUUUCAUGAGGUGAAAGUAAACGGGUUUCCUGUGAAAUUCUACGAUUCUCCUGCUUCCUUGGGAAAAACCCAUUUUGAAUUAAUCUCAAGAGCAUCACCUUCUUCAUCUUUCAUAACUUGUAAUUAUCUAACUACACCAAUUGGAUUAGAAAAAUCCUUUAAGCGCAAAAUCACCUUUGACUUUUGAAGAAGGACUAAAAACUUCAAUAUCACCAUAAUUUAAGAGAAAAGUUUGACAAUUCUCAUCUGCUAUUUUGAUUGUUGCUUGCAUAAAACAACAAAGGUUCUGUUUGACUUGAAAUUUCGCUUCAGCUACUAUGGUGUGAUUAAAAGUUUCUACUAAAAUAGCCUCUAAUCCACCAAAGUAAGCUCCUAUGGCUUCAAAUGUCUUUCUGCACCAAUAGCUAGAGGUAAAUCCGCAUAGAUAUCCAAACCCCAUAUCCACACCACAUUUGGAUGGCUGUGCUUCAUCUUGUUCCACUUCUCAAACUUUAUAUCGAAAUUUCCAAAUGAUUGCCAUUUCCCAGGCUGUUCUAUAAGUUCCUCCAGUAUUCCGUUACUCAAUUUGAUUAAGGCAUUUUCUGCUGGGGAGGAUUUAAAAUUAUGUUUGCACUAAAGUAUAACUUUAGCAUAUUACAGAUCUCCGGCCAUUUGUUAAGCUCAAAAGGGGUUGAGACAACCUACAGAUUGUUAAAACCCUCCUUGAAAGCUUCCAUGUCCUUAAUUAUCCAUUGCUGAUUCAAAUUUUGUUUGUCGAGCUUUGCAAUAGAGGAAGUGCAUCGUGUGUGUUUGAAAGUUGUAGCAGAGCUCUGUUUCUUGGUAUGCAACACAGAGCAUUCCUUGGAAGAUUGGCAUAUAUUAUCGUUUUUUCUCCUGAAUCCUUGGGCUCUUCAUUCAAAAUCGUUCUACUCUAAUAAAGCAAUUGGAUGCCCCAGAGUGCCUCAGCAAAUACCUUCCAAGCCCUGGUGGCUGCAUCUGUUGGUACAUGAAUGGAUAGUCACCCCUGCCUUAGGCCAGACUACACACCUCAUAGAAUUGUCCUGCUGUGUUGAUUUUUGAAAGCUUUGAUCUACCAGCUGCAUCUUCUCCUUCUCUUUCAAAAAAACCUUAAGUUGGUUUCUUUGCCAUUUCUAAAAUAUUAUCCACGAACCAGACUUCUUGUAAAUCAGAAAGGAUCAUUUGCCUGUUAGCUUCCACAUCUUCCACAAAGAAUUUCCUAGCCUUGAACCAAAAACAAAAAUGAACAUCGUUCACUUUGCAGCUCUUCACUUCCAUUAUCAGGGAUACCAGGAUGGCUUAGAAUAGGCGCCAAAAUCUGGAUGGAGUCGUGGGAUAGUAGAGAGGUGGUAGAAAUGCUGGCCGAAGAAGAACGAGGUUGCAGGGGAUGGGGAGGAGGAGGGGGGAGAGAGAAGAGAAGAGAAAGGGAGAAAACUUACCUUUGUUUUGAAAAUAUGUAAUAUUAUUACUACUAUUAUAUAUAUACACAGUACAAGAAUGAGAGUGCUUUUAAAAAAAAUUAUUUAGGAGUACAUUUUGCUUUGCAUAUUGCAUUGUUUUUUUUUUUUUCUGAAACAAAGACAAACCUCUUUAUUAGUAGUAAGAACUCGAUGUGCAAGAGAAUUAUACAAAGAGCUAAAUAAAGAAGUCUAAACAAUCGAAAGAAGUCUAAGCACCCAGACACAUAUUGCAUAUUACAUUGUUUCUAAAAACACUUGUAUACAUUCAAGCUUUAGAAAAUUAAACAUUAUUAUUAAAUUUUAAGUUACAACUUUGACAUUUACAUGUGCAUUGCACGUGUGCUUUAGAAUCAUUACUAGUCUAAUAUAAAUGAGUACACAUGUCUAGAUCCGAAUGUUUUCCUUUCGAGAGAGUUAUUUCGUUAUGCUUUGUAUUCAGAUCUCUUCGUUUUGGUUCUGUUUUAGCUUCAUUUUUUCUGUUGGAUUUCGCCUUUUUAGCUUGUUCUUUGCGAUUGUUUGUUUUGGUCGUUUUCCCUUGUAUUGGCCGAGAUUAUCUUUGGGCAGCUUGUUUGGAUGUUUUUGUCUUUUCUUAUUUUGCUCUUAGUAUAAUUCUCUUGUACUUUGAGCAUUAGUCUCAUUUUCAUUAUUAAUAAAGAGGUUUGUCUCUGUUUCAAGAAGAUGAGUACAUGUCCUUUCUUCUAACUUAAUCUGCAACCAGGGGUUUCCAACUAUAAAUGAAAAAUGUCCCACCAAUGUUUAUGUGAAGAACAUUGGCCUUUAAAGCCAGAUUCAGAUUCAGAACAUUGGCCUUUAAAGCCAGAUUCAGAUUCAGAACAUUGGCCUUUAAAGCCAUAGUAACCCCAUCUUUUUUUACUGUUUUCACAUGAGUAGAAUAUUGUUGGGAGAUGCGGCAAGCCCUUGUAGAACUUUUUUGAAGUUAUAAUGAAUGCAAUGAUUAUAAUUAGUAUAAAUUUUUCUAUUUUAAAGUUUUAGUGAACAUGAGAAUUUAAGCAAUAAUCUCUACAACAGAAGAAUUUAUUACCUUUCUGAAAUUUUUCUUUUGUUCUUCAGAAAGAUCCAACUCUUUUUCAUUUUCAAUGGCAGCUGCAACAAAUGGAUCACAAGAACUUCCAUCAACAUCAUCUAUCUCCUCUACCUGAUAAAACAAUACAACAAUACAAAAUUUAUUCUUACGUCAUCUGCAAUGGAAAAUAAACAAAAAGAGAGGCAUGAGUUGCACAAGUCAAUAAUAACAAGAAGGCUUGCUAAUUCUAUGAUAUCUAUGUUUAAAAGCCUAUCUAAUUUUAAGUAAAACAUGCAAUUUGGAAACUAGAAAUUUGGCACUUCAAGCUAAAUGGUGUUGGAGAUAGUUUAAUGAAGUAAAUUAUCUUUUGUACGGUUGUCCAGAGGAAGGGGUAAUUUUUUAUUUUCCUUUUUCCUUUUUUUUUAAACAAAAAGCAAACCACUUCAUUAAGAUAAUAAAAUCAGACUAAUGUUCAAAGUACAAAGGAAAAUGAAAAGCAUAAAAUUGAGGAUUGGGAGGUGCACCCGAACAUCUCAAAUAGAUUGACAUCCCUAUAGCACCAUUAUCAUAUCUAAAAGAAACCUCGAACCUCAAUGUAAACAAACACAAAACAAUUUAGGGAAACUUCUAAAGAGCCCAACUAGACUGGAAACUGUUAAGAAGAUAUCGAAAACCCACUGAAAUUGAAGAAAGGAGAAACAAUGUCCAAAACAGCAAAGCCCGCUGAUCCACCCCCAAUAGCUCUAUGUAUAACUCUCUUUUACAUUGAGUAAUUAUAAAUUUUGCCCAAAAAUUUCUGGUGACAACUCAACACUUUAAAUGCAAAAAACGUUUCAGAUUGCCUCAAAAACGGAAAUUUCAAAUUUUGCUAAUGCAGAGGCUCAUCUUUCUCCAGAUUAUGGAAUUUCCAAUCAUUUCAAGUGUACCAAAGGAAGUAAAUGAUCUCAUGCUCCAAAAAUUCUCAAACAUUACAUCCGCAAGCAAACCUCCUUCAACAAGGUUUGGACUGCCCUACUAAAAUCGGAAUUAAAUGUGCCAUUUGACCUUAAAGUUCCCCCUUUGAACUCUCUUCAGAUCCAUCCCAUCAAGCACUCAAUUUCUGAUAAAAACCCGGAUCUUCUGGAAGUAUACAGCUCUAAAGUUCAGGCCCCUGAAUGCUUCAUUAGAUCAGUAAAUGCAUAUUCUACAUCUGAGCUUUUCAAUUUGUCUAAAUCCACCAUCACUAACACAAAGGCUUCUAUUCUGCGAGGCUCCCAUUGCAAAGCUGAUUAUUCUUUCAAGAACCAACUUAAUAUUUCCUCUCCACUCAGUGUUAGUAGUGAAGAAUCAGCUAGUGCUCUCAACGCGUUUGACCUUAAAUUAGACUCAGAAAUUGAAGGGGUGGAUCUUAAUGCACUGUACAAUGAUGAAGGCUUCCCUCCAAAUAAAGUUCCCUUGGAUCUGCCAAAGGAUUUAUUGACAAUAGUCAAUGAUUGUGGAAUUAUUUUGGCUUAAAUUAUCAAUUUAGCCCUCUCAUGUUGUGUGACCUCCAAUAUUAUUCCAAUAUAGUAAGAGAAAGCAGAAAGAGAAGUUGGAAGUUUGUGUAAUGGCUUUGCUCGGGAUGACUUAGGGGUGGAAUGGCUUUUCUCUGUUUCAAACAAAAAAAAAAAAAGAUCAAAGCUAAAGUUCACUGAUUUAAUCCUGAAGGCUUCACUAGUUUUAUUGGUGUGCUUUAAUCAAUUCCUUUUCAUGAUCCUGGUCCAGAUUAUCAACUAUUUGAGCAUUCACCUUCGGUUUUGAGGUAUGUGUUGAAGAAAAGGUUUGCUUGUGGUUCUUAUGGUAAAGUAUUGCUGGCUUUUCAUGGUGGUAACUGCCAAGAAGUAUUUAGUUCAAAAGGCAAAAAUGUUAAUGUUUCGUGCAACUCAUCUUUGGAAGUCUUCAUUGCCACAAACUACAGCUGCUUUUCUAAUAUUUCUCAAGCUUAUUCUAUGAGAUUAUCUUGUUCAUCAUGAAUCGUGUUAUGGGCGAAAAAGGUGCUGGAAUCUAUUAAAGUGGCUUAUCGGAGAAACAUUUUGGUGAAUAUUUUUAAUACUUCUACACGCCUGGGGGAUGAGUUUUCAAUUGGAACAUCAAACUUUGUCUUUGAAGAUAUGAGUUUUCAAUUGGAACAUCAAACUUUGUCUUUGAAGAUUCAACACGGUGUGUUGAGGUGUUGUAAAGAAAGUACAACCUUUUGCUGAUGCUGAUAUUUUGAAAGAUCUCUUUGUUCCUCUUUUGGGUUUGGACUACUUUGGCAAGAUAGUUUUGAGAUCACACGGUUGCAUCUUUUUGUUAGUCUCUAGAUCUGAAUGGUUUCCAUUUGAGAGAGUCAUUUCGUUAUGCUUUGUAUUUAGAUCUCUUCGUUUUGUUCUGUUUUAACUUCAUUUUUUCUGUUGGAUUUUGCCUUUUUAGCUUUUCUUUGCGUUUGUUUGUUUUGGUUGUUUUCCCUAGUUUUGGCCGAGAUCUUCUUUGGGUAGUUUGUUUGGAUGUUUUUUCUUUUCUUUUUUUGCUCUUAGUAUAAUUCUCUUGUACUUUGAGCAUUAAUAUCAUUUUCCUUUAUUAAUAAAGAGGCUUGUUUCCUUUUCAAAAAAAUAAUAAUAAUAACUCAAAGUAGAAGAGAGUUACACAAUGAGCAUAAUAAAGAAGCCUAGAGAGCAAUAAGUGAGGGGGAUUGACACCCCCUUAGCACCAAAACAACAUAUCCCAAUUAAAGCUAGAAAAUAAAAUAUGCCAAAAUAGAAUGGAGACAUAGUCCAUCCUAAUGUAGAGAGUAAAUUGGCCGCUUGGUGCUCUUUAAAUAAGGAGUUUGAGAAUUACUCCAUUCAAAACAUGUCUCAACUGGACUGUCUUUCUCUCUCAACUAGUUUUAUAGUUGGUGAUUUUGACUGCAGAAUUCCCAGUUUUGAAAGAUUCUUACAGCAGGCCACUUUUUGAGUUUUGAAGUCUCGAAGUCUUGGUGGAUUGCUUCAUUUUUUCUUACUUAAGUCAUUGUAUUUUCAUGUUCUUCUUGUUUUGGCCUUCACGGGAGAUAGAUUUAUUCUCUGAUUUGUACUGCUUUUAUUUUGUUAGUUUCCUUUGUCUCGGCCUUUUGCAUUUAGCUGGACAUCAAAUAUUAUUAGUUUGGUUUUGUUUUGUUUAUUUGGAAUAUGAUGUUUGGCGCUAAGGAGGUGUCAACUUAAUUGAAAUGUCCAGGUGUGCCUCCUGAUCCUCCCAGAUUUUCUCUUAUAGGCUUCUUUAUUACACUUGUUGUAUAAUUCUCUUAUACACUGAGUUCUAUUAUUAAUAAAGAAGUUUGUCUCCGUUUCAAAAAAAACUUAACUUCUUUAUUACAUUUAUAAUUCUCUUCCAUCUCAAAGAAUUAUCUUUUAAAAGAAAAGCUUAGUAUCUAUUUCUGAACAAAAAGCUCAAUAUCCAUUUGUAAACAAAUGACCAAUAUAAAUCUUCUUUAUAGCCUUACCCUUAAACUAAUGACCAGAAUUAAACUUGCUCUUAAAAUUAUGACCACAAAAGGGAAGCUCCAUAACUGACUUGAUCAUCUAGGUUAAAGUCAAAAAUACAAUGAACUCUCCCAUAUAACCUGGAGGAGAAAGUGAAAAGUAAGAAAAAGUGAAUAGUUGUUUCCCAUCAUCAUUCUCGUAUGGAAAGCACGAAAUUGGAUUGAGGUAAGAUUUUAAAUUACUUUUGUGUAUCCUAUCGUUUGUGCUUAAACCACCAAGAUAAAGAUUCCACAAAAAUAAUUCAAUUCUAUGAUAUUAAAGAUAUCUGCAAUUGUUUAGCUGUGGAAAGCGCCACAACAGUAACAGCAUGCCAAACAGAAAAAAACAGGAUAAAACUUUAAAAAAAACGAUAGGCAAACACCAAUAAUGAAGCUGGAAAAGAAAAUUGACCAGACUCUACCUGUUUGUUUUACUGUAAUUUCUGAAACCCAAAAAAACGUACCUCAUCAACUCCAGGAAAUUUGAGUCCCAUUUCUGCAGCUUGUUGCGGAGUGCUAGCCAAGUAAACAGAAGCCCAGUUCUUGCUGCCAAACAACGUGUCACUGUCCUUUGAGCCUUCUGAAAAAACCUUAUUAAGAGAGCCCCAAUCAACUUCCAAUUUUUCUGUACCGAUUCCCUCAAUCUCGUGAGUGGAAAAUUUCUUCUGCAGAUAUCCACUUGCUCCCUCCUCCAACAGCUUACCAUGUCGUCUAAGCCCAAAGCAGAUGUUAUAAACAUAUGUGAAUUGAAAAUCUCAGUUCUUACAAGCUUGAAGCUUCACAGUAACAUAAGGGAAUGUUGUACCUCAUUACAGGCCUUUCAAUUUGGAGGGUUUUCUCUGCGUCAGAUACAGAUGCAAGAAGAUCACCAGUUACCUGAGACCCUACCCAGUGUAUCCUCUUUUUCCAAGCUUCAGUAAAGCAACCAUUAGAAGCUUGACUUUCAAUUAGCUUGUAGAGACUUGGCAGCUCAAUACCAGCACCAUCAAGUUGCUCCUAUUCAGAGAGGUAAUUAAAUAAAAGCAUCCUAGAUAAAAGAAGACCAUAACUUAUAGAAGUAAAACAUCACAGACCACAAGCAACACUCAAGAUCAUGUACACAACUCAAAGAAUUUAACAAAUUUGAAGAUAAUUGUACAAUAAGACUAAAAUAUCAGAAAAAUCACUUUGAGCUUUUUUUUCCUUUUUUUUUUCUUUUUAACAAGAGCAGACAAAAAAAAAUUCAUUGAAAAGAUUAAAAGAGAAUUGCUAGGAUACUCCCAAAGAAUGUAAUUUUCUAUAUAUUUCACACAAAAAGAAGGGUUUUCUUUAACAGAAGAAAUACCCAUUACAAAGAGGGAAAAUAUAAAUUUGGCAAAUAUCAUACAACCAAUACAACUCCUUGUGGUCCCCAUUGUGGUCCCCACCUGCAGUUAAAUAACUAACUCCUUCUCCUGCUUCUCUUUCCUAUUCUUUCUCAUACUGUAUUGAUGUAUAAUGGGUGGUCUAACAGAAAGUUGUCACCAUUAAGUCAUAUCGUGGAUAUUUGGAUAGUGGGGUAUUUGAAUGGAUACGAUUGUCGACUUUAGCCAUAGGUGACUUAGUAUCUAACAUGACUGAAGCAACAAGGGUAAAAAAUUGAAGAGAACAUAUCUAAAAACACAACCCAAACUCGUCAUUGGAGGCAGAUGGCAGUGGAUGAUGGCGAAUGGCAGCGAAAUCGACGAUGAACGUCGAAGGCAGAGGCGUCUGACGAGGACCACUACGAGCGACGACGAAGACAAAAAAAACCCACCAACUUACAACCAAAAAUCACAAGAAAAAGGCGACUACUGACGACAUCAGGCGAGUUGUGGUCGGCAGCUGCGAUCAGUCAGAGUAAAUCGACCGCCAGCAAUGAGCCUUGAGGUGGCAAAACACGUGGGCAACGACGGCAGCAGGUUGUAAGAAUUUUAGGGUCUUUUAGGUUUUCAAAAAAUUAGGGUUUUUUAGGAUUUCAAAAAAUUAGGGUUUUUAGGUUAACAAAAACCUGCUCUGGUACCAUGCCAAAGAAUGUAUGUUUCAUAAAGAGAGAAGGGUUUUCUUAAAUAGAAGAACAACCCACUAGAAAGAUGGAAAAUAUAAAUUUGACAAAUAAUAAUAAAACCAAAACAAUAAAAUAUAAUACAAGAAAAGAUACAAACACCAAAAGAAGUGAAAAAGAAAAAGUAAAACUGCCACCCAUACCAAAUGAUAAACUUAAAAGCAUGAUAAAUAACUAAUGCAUCCAAAAGUAAAGGACAAUUUUAAUUACUUUCCAUCACUUUUUUCAGUUCUUUUUGUUUUCAAGUCUAGCCCUUGUGGACUUGUACAUUUCUCCGAUUUCCUCUUUAUAGUUAAUAUCAUUGUCUCCUUUUCAACAAUAACAACUAAAGAAAGAAGAAGAAGAAACUAGGUGUAGAUUUGAUAAGUUUUUUAAAAAAUUAAGGACAAAACUUAUGCAUCACUCAAAAAACUAUGAAAAAUCUAAUAUCUUAACUUUAUCUCAAUAGCAAUAAUCAUAUUUACAUUCUCUGCCUCAUUUUCUAAUAAAUGAGAUUUGUUUCCUUUUCAUAAAACAUAAUCCUAUUUACAUUAAAAUUAGACCGACAAACUGAUCUCAUUCCUUGUCUCACGUCUGCAAAUAGUUAUUGAAUGUUCCAAAUGUGUUCUCACCAGGCGAAUAUUCUCUCAGUGCUAUUAUCAAACUUAGAUGCACCCCAACAAAUUCAAGUAUUAAAAUUUUUGCUUGGUUGAAUUCUAACAAAUUCAGGUAUUGAAAUAUGUGGUCGAUGUUAACAUGAUCAAAGAAAGAAAGAAAGGCAUACCAACAAAUGAGCACUCUCAAUCUCAAGCUCAUCGAGCACAACCUCCCACUCCUCUACGAAAGCAGCCAUUUCAUUUGCAAUGGCUGUUUCCAACUGUAAGACAAGAAAGCACAUCAUUGAUGGUAGAUAUGACAGAACUCAAAAGUACAGAGACAAGGCAACAACUAACAUCAUCACCAUUAAGAGUCAAUGCCAGUUCUUCUCGAACUUCUUUCUCCACUUUGGCAAGAGACUCCUUUUCAAGUGCUUCUUGAGCCUCUGCAGCCUAACAUGAGCAUUAGUGGACCUUUCUAGAUAUUUCUUUCUCAAAUACUAAAAUGAUUACUAAGCCUAGGACAAAAGAGCCCAGACCAAAUUACAUAAAGCUAACAACACACUACAAAGUUACCAAAAAAGAAGGUACUCUUAUUCAAAAGAAUAAAGAUAAGAUAAUCACAAACAUACAUACACACAUUGACAGGAACAAAGGCUUUCAAAAAGAAAAAAAUACAAAAGUUUUCACAAGGAAAUGAAAAGAGAGUAGUGGCCAAAAUUCAAUAAAAGUAGCAAACGAAACCAACCGAGAUAGAAAGCCUCCACAAACAUAAAAUACAAGCAAAUAUGUUAUGGUUUUUAAGUUAAAAAGUUAAUCAUAAACUGUAAUCCAGAUGUGGUCUUGAUUCAAGAAUCUAAGAAAGAAAGUUUGAAUUCAGUUUUCAUCAAAUCACUAUGGAGCUCCAAGGAUAUUGGCGGGGAAUUGGUGGCAUCUGUUGGGUCAUCUGGGGAAUUCUUACUAUGUGGGAUUGUAGCAAGAUCUUGGUUACUGAAGUUAUUAAAAGAAGGUUCUCUCUGUCUAUCAAAUGCCUUACCUUGUGCAUAAAGGCAUGUUUUUUUUUAGAAAAGGAUAAAAGCCUCACUAUUAUUAAUAUUAAAAAAUAAUGAGACAAAGCUCAAAAGUACAUGAGGAGAUAUUCUUUAAUCUUUCUGCUUUUGUUUUGGGAGAAGGAACAAAAAUCAAAUUCUGGAAGGAUAAAUGGUGUGUCGCGGAAACACUUGCAGAAAAAUUCCCUAACUUAUUCUCUUUGGCGCUGAAUAAGGAGGCUUAUGUGGCAGAAUGCUGGUGUACUGCUACUCAUUCUUGGAACUUGGGCCUUAGAAGAAACAUGCUCGACAACGAGAUUGCCAAUGCGGCUUCAGCUCUAGAAAUUCUUCAUUCUUGGGCCCCCAUUGCUAGGAAUGAUAGUCUGAACUGGAUUCCUAAUAUGAAAGGCAACUUCACUACAAAAUCUACUUUUCUUAACUUAACUAAGAGAUCCCCCAACAUUGCUGUUACCUUGAUUCGUCAUAUUUGGAAGAAUAAAAUUCCGAAGAAGGUGAAGUUUUUCUUAUGGUCGCUUGCUUACAGAAGCCUCAACACCCAUGAGAAACUCCAAAAAAAAUUCAGAACACAUUGCUUAGCCCCUCGAUGUGCUGCCUAUGCGCUAAAGAUGAGGAAACCUUGGAUCAUCUAUUUCUACAUUGUCCCUUCACAAAAAAAGCCUGGAACACUCUGUUUGGUAUUUUUUACUUGGAGCUCUGCCUUCCUAGCAAGAUUGAUAGUUGGAUGAUUGAAGGUCUUAAUAUUAGAGGUUACAGCCCUAAAGGAAAUAUCUUAUGGAAAUGUGCGACGCGUUCCCUUUUGUGGAGCAUUUGGAAAGAAAGGAAUAGCAGAAUUUUUGAAGAUAGAUUUAAUUCUUUUGAUUCUUUUUGGACUGUGGUUCAACACACAGCCUCUUGGUGGAGUACGAAUUACACCAAACACGUUUGUAAUUAUAGCCUUUCUAUGAUUUUCAACAAUUGGAAGGCCAUUAUGUCUUAAUCCCUUAGCUUCUCCCGGGAAGGGCCCUCUUGUCCCUCGCCCUUAGGAUGUUCUGUUUUGCUAUAUGAAUAUACUUGUCUCUUAUCAAAAAAAAAAUAAGAUACUACUGAGAAAAUAAAAAGAAAUAAUAGAAAAAAGCUCCAUGGAAGUCCAGACAGAGAACACUACAUUAGAAGUAGUCCGAGGAAACUGACUUAGAUAGAAAAACUGCCCAAGAGACAAAGGUCUUGAGUGGAGUAAUUUGCAAAAUUCUUGUUUAGAGAGCACCAAGUUGUUGCAUUAUAUUGCAUUGAAUUGAAAAUUCCUUAGCUUAAUCUUUUCUUGUCUUAAAAGAUCCGUUGAUUGCGUUCAAACCACAAUUCCGCUAAAAGAGCUUUUAAUAGAUUUAAAGUUUCUUGUUGUUUUCUCCCGGUCCUUUUCUGUUUUUUUGGACCUUAGUACUAAGUUGGUCGCUUUUAUUAUUGUUUCUUUUAGUUUUAUUUGUUAGUGCUCGGGAUAUGAUGUUUGGCGCUAAGGGGGUGUCAACCUAGUUGAGAUGUCCGGGUGCACCUCCUGAUCCCUCUAGGCCUCCUUUGUUUACUACUUCUUUUUGGCUCUCUUUGUAUAACUCUCUUGUACUUUGAGUUCUUAUUAAUAAAGAAGUUCUUGUCUCCGUUUCAAAAAAAAAUAAUAGAUUUAACCAGAUCAGAUGAGGCUUAUUAGGAAGAGGCGGACCCUCCAAUAGCCGAAGCACCAAGGAGCUGGGGGGGGCAUCAAAUACCCAAGCAAUAUCAAAGAUGGAGAAGAAACUAUUCCAACAAAGAGAGGAAGGGGCAAAGUAGGAAGAGAUGAAGCAAUGACUCAUUCACAUUCAUACAGAGAGGGAAAACCGAAGGCUGGAGGUACCUGCUUGGUGAUUUCUUUGGAAGAAUUUCUGCACAAUUUAUGGGACCCGAAAAGCACGAUCCACAUCAGAAUGUUCACUCACCGAGGGCAGCUUGAUUUCCAUAGGGCUUUCAAGAGUUCUUUAUCCAUUGGGGAGGCAAAAUUCAGGUGGGCUGAGAGAGAUUUAACAAAGAACCAUUUGACAAGAUUAGAUGAGAAGGAAGAUCAUUUGUUGAAGGACCCCUUAGAAACUAAUCUAAACUCUUUGUUUCUGACUGAGGACGAUUUAAUUUUAGAAACACAGACCUCAGGUAUUCCCUCCCAAGCUCAACAAUGUGGUAUUCCAGAUCACUUAAAGUCCUUUGUUGAGAAAUGUGGAAUCGCCUUGGGCUAAGCACUGAAAGUAAGCAGGCCUGAUUUUUCAGGCAUAUAUUCUUAAAAAUUGUAUGGAAUACGAUGAUUCUUAGGGCGUAUUCAUAGGGUUGUUGAAGCAAGCUAAGAUCUUUGUCAAGGGAGAGAUUUCUUAUUUGGCAUUUUCCUUUAUAUUCCUGUCUCUUCUUCCUCAUUUCAAAAUUUGAAGUGUAGCUUUAAUGGGUUUUCCUAGCAGUACAUGUGCAGUUUUUAUUGAUGAUAUUGUAAUCUAGAAUUUAGAGAAGUGUCUGUCUUAUUAUAUUUGAGUCAAAGCAAUGUUACAUAUUUAUAUAGAGAAUAAACUAAACCCUAAAGACUAUGUAAAAUUACAAUAAAGGACAUAUGUAUAUAUGUAUAUCAUAACACUCCCCCUCAAGCUGGAGCAAAUAUGUCGAUCAUGCCCAGCUUGUUGCACAGAUAGCUUAUCCUAGAGACUAUGUAAAAUCUUCUUCCCUUCAACAUCCGGCUUAAGUUAGUUCCAUUAGUAAACAGUGGGUAGAAGACAAUCGGAAGUUUGAGAAUUCCAAAAGCCGUUCAAAAUCAGAACCACCAAUCAGGAGAAACUUAGUUAUCCUGCCAAAGGAAACUUCUUAUAAUUUUAUUCCAUUGAAAAAUCACUUGUAGGAGACCAGCAGUCACUUAUCUGCAGUAAUAAAGAUAAUAAUAAUGUUGUUUAUAUGAAUAAGAGUGCCCAUCAAAGUUCUUGAAGCAUUUUAUAAGGAAAAAGACUCAGAUGUUGAAUUAGUCCCAAGUGUCAGUAGUGAGGAAUUAGAAGAGAUUAAAGCAAGGGAAGAUGUUGAAGAUUCUGAGAUUUUGAGAACAUAACCAGUGAUGUCCGCAAAUUGUUUGUGGAGGAAGGUGUAAAAGAAGAACAACCUUCUCUCCAAAAGUUCAGAGAAGAAAUCCCACAGCACUUGCAUGACAUUAUCGAAGCUUGCGGUAUUUCUUUCCUUUGAGUUCUUUUAUCUUCAGCAUUGAAAGUAGUCUUGGAUGUGAUAGUGCUUCGAAAGUACUUUUGGAAUAAAAGGGAGCUAGCAGUUGAUUAAUUAAAAAAAAAAAAAAUUGAAAAAUUGGUAGUUAGGAAGCAAAUUAAGCUAACAUCAUUGGUUAUGGUUUUGCUACAAGUACCAAAAAAGUGCAGUUUUGAUCCAAAUCCUUCAAAUCCUUGUGGAGUUCUCUUGUAAUUUUGAUGAUUAUGAACCAUCUGUAUGAAGAUUUCUGGAUAACUAAUGAUUAUGGUCGGUAUGAUUAUAGAGUGAUUGUGUAUUUGGCUGGAACUUAUUUCUUUAGCAGCGUUUAUUUUGAAGCCUUGAUCUUUUGGAAGUAAUUUUGUGUGGCAAGCCAAUUUCAAGCAGACAGUAUGCCAUGUGAAAGAAGAAGUUGAUUAGAUGUAUAGCAUAAAGUAGUUUGCUGGGUUUUUCAGUUUUAAGAAAACUUGAAGGUUGAAGAAGUGAGUGAGCUUCAGAUUCUUAAGGGGUUUUAGUCAAAUUGGAAAGAAAGGGUUAUAAGAGAACCUCUAGUUGAACUGGGGGAUUCAAAAAUUCGAAAUCACCAAAAUUUAAAAAUAUAUUUCUCCUCUAAAAUCUAUAAUCUCGACUGUUGAAGGCACAAAGCCGCAUAUAGAUUUUGCUUUACUUGAAUCCAGGCUUAAGUGCAAUUUGUAAGAUUUAGAGUGCCUGUCACAAUGUUCACAGGACCCCUAAAAUGAUCACCAAUAACCUCAAAAAGUUAUCCUACUCCAAUAGUCCGAAGGGAGGUUCUUGAAUUUUAAACAUCCUCCAUAGAAGACAAGUGGCCGAAUGUGCUUGAGUUUGUCCAUUUUUCAAAUUUUAGGUGAAAAGACCCAUAGCCUGCCAAUUUCCUUCCUUACUGAUAAAAUCCUUAAUUGAGCCUUGAUCAAGACUAAUGAGAGUGUUCUCAUUGAAAUAAAGGAUUUAUGACUAUCUUUGCUUGAAAGUAAUCUUCCCGCAAUUUUUGAAUCACUCUCCGAUCAUCAAAAGUAAAAAGUUCAGUAACAAUCAAGAGGUUUCGAAAGUUAGCCGGAGAAACUUCAAAGUUAUUGAUCACCCAUUGACCCUAAUUAUCUGAUCUCAAGGAUGAGGAAGUAUCACCGUUCACUUUUUUAGUCUCAGAUCGACCUACCGAACUAAGGAAUGUCUCCUGAGCUUUCUUUGUGAUAGGAACAUUUACCUUUUUUGUUUUGACUUUUUAUGCUAACCCUGGUUGCUUGUCAAAGAUGGAAGGGUGUUCUUCAAAUGAUUACGAGAAAACCCAUUAACAUAUUCCUCCUUACUAAGGAAAUUUUCUAGCAUGUUGAGGAACAACCUCCAUCGUUGUUUGUUUUCCCCUGAAGCAUACCCUUAAAUUCGAAUGACCUCCGGAGGCAGGCCAAAAAUCACAGUUUAACACCCAACCAUUCUUUGCUUUAAAUUUCGAAACUUUCAGUCUUCCUAUGUCCACAUCACACAACUUUUGAAAGAACUUAUCCUCUGGUCCUCUUAGUAAAUCUGAGACAACCUCCAGAAACCAUGCUAGUUGCUUUUUGAAAACUGACAAUAUUCUGCUACCUCCCACAUCUUCAACAUGAAUUUGAUUGCCUUCUUUCCAAGUGCAGUAGUGAGACAGCAGAACUUUGCAAUUGACUACUUCCAUAAUGAGUCUUUAAUUCCAUCGGAAGGGAGAAAGCAUAGAGAAAUCAUCAGCAACCAAAAGGGGAGAGGAGGGAGGAGAGAGGGGAGAGAGAACUUACCUUUUUCUCCCAAGGAGAGUUUUGAUUUGUAGAAAGAGUUGAUGUAAUGCUAGUAAUCCAAUGGCUCUAUACCAUGGACUUAAUGGGAGUGGUUUAGCCUACUUUGGCAAUGACUUUCACCACAAGUGAGACCCAGGUAACUCUGCAUGGGGAUCCCUUGUUUACCCAACACAAAGGUUUCACUAAAAAAUCUGGCAUGCACCUAGACUAACAAAGACUAAAGAUUUCUCAUAUAAUUCCAACACUUGCAAUUAGGGAUUUCUCAUAGAAUUCCAAGACUUGCAAUAAGAUAUAUCUAAGAGCAAAAAGAAAGCAAUGAAAGGCCACAAAAUUGAGGAAAUCCCCACAACAAUACAGUAGUUGUUAGAUGAAGAUGAAGAUAUAUUUGGCCUACUUGAGAAGUUACCUCCAAAGAGGAAGUUGGAUCUAAAAUAGCAAUGACGGAAGUAAAUGUGAGGCCAUAUAAAUAUGGUGAUACCCAGAAGGAGGAGAUUGAAAGGUUAGUCAAUGAGAUGUUUGUAACUGGAGAAAUCCACUCAAGGACCGAGUCACAACCCUCUUUUCUAAAACCAAAACACCCUAAUAGAGAACCAAUGCUCAAAAUGAAGAUAUAAAAUAGAAGUUUACAAAACAAACCAAUCAAAAAUAAAUUGUUCAAGAAGAGAAAAUACAGGACACAACCCAGCAAGUCUAGAUUUCUCGAUUAGAAAAAAACAAAGGUUGGAAGUUUUGUGGAUGAUAGGAAGGUGAAUCAAGCAACCAUAGCAAUAAAUUUAUAAUCCCAAUGAUAAAAUCAAGAGAGCAACUAGUCCCAAGGACCAAAAUAAUACUAACAUGAGUCAAGAGGAAGAACAAUGUUGUCUUCUCUCCUUUUUUCUUUUGUUUUUAAACGGAAACAAAAAUUUACAUUGAUAUAAUGAAAAGAGCAAAUCUCAAAUUACAAAGAGACAUGAACCGAAUAAAGGUUGCCUUGAUUCCAAUGAGAUACCAUAUGUUGCCUUGAAACCAAACAAAGCUCCAAUUAACUAAUGCAGCCAAAAAACUUAAGAGAGACUUGUGCUACCUUGAAAAUAGACAAAUCUCUAAUUAAUUAAUGUAGCCAAAAGAACUUGUUGGAAAAAGAUAGAAGCCUAAGACCCUUGAAAGUUUAGCCAAAUCAUCAAAUAAGAAUGCGCUAGAGGAAUGUGCCCGUGAUAGCCUUUAGAACCCAUGGAAGGCAUGAUGAGUUUCUAGUUAUACUUUUGUUCAUGCCCUAGCUACCUUAAAACCACUAAUGAACCAUAUUUUCAAUAUGUUCUGAAGGGGGUUUAUCUUAUGAUUCAUUGACGACACAUUAGUAUACAACCCAAACGUGGAAUGGAUACUAACGAGAAACACUUGCAUUGUAGUGUUCGAUGUGCUAAGAGAUAACCAUUUUUUAUUUUUAUUUUUUUGAAAAGGAGACAAGUCUUAAAUUUUAUUAAUAAAACGAGACUAAGGCUCAAAGUACAUGAUUGAUAUACAAAGAGCAUACAAGUGAAGAGACUGAGGAUCAAUAGACGCACCCAGAUAUCUCAACUGGGUUGACACCCCAUAGCGCCCUCAUCAUGUCUACCAAAAAGAGACUAGCUUUAAAGAUCAAUCAUCAAAAAAAGCGAACUCCACCUAGGACCCAAAACCUAAGGGAACAAUGAUACAUCAAAACCAAAACCAAGAAGAAGUAAAGCGCCUAUUACAAUAACCAAUUAUUUGCUCACCGAAAGAAGUGUAUGCUUUCAAUCAGUCGAGGAUAAAAGAUUUGGGACAAUGGAUGUGGCGUUUGAAAAGAGGGGAAGUGGUUGGAGAUGUUAUGGUAAAUUGGCCUCUACCAUAACUACCAACAAGCUACAGAAAUUUCUAGGAAUGACAGGAUAUUACAGGAGGUUCCUGUUGAACUAUGGAAACAUAGUAACCCCUUUGAAUUAGCUUGAUGCAAUAGGAUUAGGGAAAAUUAAGGCAUAUUGGUCAAAUCAUUAAUUGAUUAGGAUUAGGAUUAGUUUUAUUUAUUAAUUAGUAUUAUGGUAAGUUUUCUUGGUUCAUUAGGAUUAGUUUUCUUGGUUCAUUAGGAUUAGUUUUCUAGAUUAAUUAGGAUUAGGGUUAGUUUUUUUUUCCAAAAUUAUCUUCAUUUGGAUCAUGAUGGUGGGAAAUUUGAAUGUAUCCUGAGUAAUGCAACAUAAACUACCUAACAGUUGUCUCUCUCCCUCCAUUUGUCCGCUGUGUUUACAGAAUAAAGAAGACUGCCAGCACUUACUCAUCUUCUGUAAGUAUUUGGCCAAGUGUCAGGAAAAACUGUUUAAUGAGUUUAAUCUGUCUUGGGUAUUUGAUGCAGAUUUUAGAGAACAUGUGAGGAUUUUGUUGAGAGGUUUAAGCUUGAAUAAAGAAGCUAAGCUACUUUGGGAAAAUGUGGUAAAAGCUAUCUUGGCAAAAAAUUUGAAAGGAACCAAAGAGUCUUCCAUGAUAAAUAAGCGAGUUGUGUUGAUCGUUUUGAAAUAGCACACAAUAAUGCCUCAUCCUGGUGCACCCUCUCAGAACUUUUCAGAAGCUACAGCAAUCAAGACCUCAACUUAAAUUGGAGAGUUUUUAUUUGUCCAGCCUGAUUUCUGUUUCUGUAUUGCUACUAUUCUGUUUUAACUAUCUUCUUUCUUCUGGUUACUUUUCAUUGUACUAAACUCUUUAAUAGUCAUGACCUAGUGAAGAUCUAUCAUCAUGGCUUAGUAUUGAGUUUGUUUUCUAUUUUUCUUUUGUUCUUUUGGUUACGAUGAGGUCACUAAGGGGAUGUCAGCCUAGUUGAGAUAUCCGAGUGCGACUGUUGAUUGAUCCUUAAUACUUUUGACAGCUCUUGUAUAAUCCUCUGGUACUUUGAGCUCGUGUCUCCUGGUGCCUAUUAAUAAAGAGAUCCGUUUCCAUUUCAAAAAAAAAAAAAGGAUUCUCUAUCAAUCGAUAAUUUUGUUCUUGUAUUCAUAAUUCUGCAUUCAUAAUAAAGACUUUGAUUUGAUUCUUGGGGAGAGUUAUCCUUUAAUCCUUUAGCUAAAGUUUUUGUAUAUAAGGUCAAUGUGCUUUACAAUGAAGGACCAUGGGCUUCUUGUUGAUGCUUUUUAGUGAGGGUUUGAUUUAAUCAAAGUGAAAAAAAUCCAAAUUCUGCUCUCCAUAGAGGAGCUCUAUGAGAAAACCUCCAUAUUCAAUUGGUUAGGAGAGCUUUGUUGUGUCUCUUUUAUCUCAAUAAUGUCCAGAUCAUCCUCUAGGAUAUGGAUUUUCACCUCCAUCCAUUGAUGGAGGCAUGAUAGCCCUAAUAAGGACAACAUACCCUCCCUAUAUCUGCAUAAUUGUGCAAUACUGCCCACUUGUCCUUAUGGGUUUGCUUUUGGAACCAUCCAAAAUGCCUCAACAGUUAUACUUCCAACAUUCUGUAAGGACUCUUUUCUUUUUUUUAUCCGUGAAUGUCUAAGCCAGCUUACAUGCAUCUCAACUAAUUUCACGGGUCAAAAUGUCUAACCUACAACAUCUAGCUAUCAACAAAACCUAUAGGAUACUAAACCCAAGAUAAGCCACCAUGGAUUGAACUUAUGACCCCUUAGCCCUUUCUCAAAGCCAUCCCCCUAUUUACCACUAAGCCAACCGUGAUGGUUCAUUUUGUGAGGAUUCUUUCAUAAUAAAAGCUUAGCUUCUUUGUGGUGCAUGUAGCACAGAAUCUUCUUUUAUAAUGACAGCUUGUUCCUGAUAACCAAAUGGGAAAGCUUUCUUUUAGUUUGUUUGGUCAGGGAGGGGGUUUUCUCUUCCCCUAGCCCUUAGGCUGUAUUUAUUGGCCAUGAGCAUAAUAUACAACUUGUAUCUCACCAAAAAUUCUAAAAAAAAAAACAUAAACAUAAACAUAGGAACAUGAGACCUUGAAGCAAAGAGUAGUAUGACACCUUACUCUCAACUUCUAAGAACUCAGCCACCAAAUCCUCAAUCUCUUGCUCAGUCAAUGGUUCCUGCUCAAUGAACCAAACGAAAACAAACAACAAACGUAGCAUACUUGAGAUUAUAGAACACAAUAAAACUGAAACAUAUUAAUACCUACUGACUAGCAAGACAUGAAGCAACAAGUAAAGCCAAGACUUGGUAAAUACAAAUGAAAAGGCUAAUGUCGCUUGCCUCGAGAUGUAACUGAUCGUCCUUCCCAGAAGUCGAUGGCCCAUCGUCUUCAGAAUCAUCAAUAAAAGAAUCACCGGACGCGCUUCCAACAUCAUCCACGUCCUCGUGCUUCUCCUCCAUCUCAAAAUCAAAUCAAAACCAAAAGAUUCAUAUGUUAAAAUGAUAAAACCCCUAAAACCAAGCCUGACGGCGGUAUUUGAAUGGAAAAUGAUGCUUCCAGAGGCACAGGCUUCGAGGAAACAAUUGCAAAAAACAAGCAGUCACCCUUUUCCUAGUUCAAUUUCAGUUCCUUGGGUAUGGGAGCAGAUUUAGAUGGAACAUUGGUUGAAAGCAAGCCUUCUUCGGCGCUCAGUAUAUGAAAGAUGAAGAAAGAGUUGAAAUUUAGACCAACGAGGUUGGGACUACAGAGGUCGCAGUGUAUCCAGAGGAUUUCGGGGAGGAUGCUCCUCUUAUUUCUUUUUCUUUUUUUCUUUUUUCUCUUUUUUUUCUAUUCUUUUUUUCUUUUCUUUUCUUUUCUUUUCUUUUUUUUUUUUUUUUCCUCCUUAUCUUUUAAUAAAAAAUAUAAAAUUAUAAAUAAAAUAACUCUUACUUCUAUUAUGAACUUUAACUUUGUGAGAGAAAAAGACCUAAAAUUUCAUAAUUGUCUAUAAACUUCUGUAGCGACUUUAAAAAUAAUACUCUUACCUUUAGUUUUAGUUUUGAAUAAAAAUCAUAAUUAAAAAAAAGUUGGUUAUUAUAGUCUAAUUAUUAAUAGAGUUAUAAUAGCUUGUUUUUGUAAUGAAUAAUAUUUUAAUUUGAAUUAUAACUGUGUUUAUGUUUAGAGUGUAGACAAUUUUAGUUUGUCAAUAAAGUAGUAGAAAUUGUAGCUAAAAAUUAAAAAAGGAAUGAUAAAAGUAAAAUAGUAAAAAUUGAUGGAAUUUUGAAAUAAUGUUAAUUAUAUCUAAUUAGUGAUAGCAAAAUAGUAUUUAAGGUAGUUAUUAUAGUCUUGGUAUAAUUGUGCACCAAACGUUCUAUUGGUGUUUUGGGUCAAAAAAUAUUUAUAAACUUUUAAAAGUUGCAAAAAAUACCCAUAAACUUUGUGAAAAAAGUUUUAAAAAUACUCUUAUGUUUAUAUAAAAAUAAACCAUUAAUGUCAUUUUACCUCUCUAGUUUACAUUUUCUUUCUUCUAUUCCUUCUUUAAUACCCUCCUGCUCCCUUUUUUUUUUUUUGUUAAAACAUUUGACAAUUGUUUAACCAAGAUAAAUAAAAUUACACACUUUAAUUAAGGUAUAUGAUUAUAAUAAGAAUAAAGAUAAUAAAUAAAGCACCAAUAUUUUAAGACUUAAAAUACUUUUAACAAAAUCGUGUUAGUAGUUGAGUGUGUAUUAAUUGUCAAAUAUUUUUUUGUUUGACUAUUUAUAGUUUUAGUAUAUUUUAAGAGAAAAUAAUGUUUUUGGUUUUUUUUUUUUUUUUUUGAAAUUUUAUGUUUUAACUUUAAAUUUUGGUUUUUGAGAAAAUUGGUGUAAGCCCUAAAUUGAAAAAUUUAGAGAAAUAUAGAGUACUUAUAUGGAAAAAAAAAUGAGGAUCUCUAUAUAAUUUAUUUUAAAAUUUGUUCUUUUUUAACUUAAAGAAACUUCAAACAAAUUGAUCACCAUGUGUUAAUGGUAGGAGCGUUUUUAAAUCAAAUGUUGAUGCUUGAGCUCUUUGUGAACUUUUAAGAUAAGGGUAUUUUUUAAGAUUUUGAAAGCUCAAGAUUAUUUGAUGGAAAUUUAAUUUCCGCAAAAAUGUGUGAUCGUUGUGGAAUGUAGAAAACUAUUUUUCAUAUACAAAAACAACCGUGUUAGCAAGGAUAAACAUCCAGACAACCUUAGUAUACUAUUGAUAUGGUUGGAGAUGGAGAGAAGUAGAACUUACAUUUGAAUAUUCCAAACUCCAUAUAAUCCUCUUAUUUGUCUCGAACAACUCCUAUUUAUCCUCCCUAACUCAUACCUCUUUUACAAAUCUUGAAGAACAUUUUACGUGAUAUUCUCCCUCAUUCUCUUAGACUCCUUAAAGAUUUAGAAAUGUGGACUUUGACUUUUAGGAACAAAGAGUGAUUAGAGAAUGAAUGAGAAAAGUUGUUCAUAAAGAGGAAUGUAGGGAGAAUUGAUAACUGGUAAAAAUACAAGAUAUUACGACCUUUUAGGUAGAAUAAUGAAGUCUCAAUUUGGGAAAAAUGAAGAAAACGCGUAACUAAAUAGAUGAAAUAAAACAAUUAUGCAUUACAAGUAGCAAAAGAGUUUUAUGCCUGUUUAUAAUGGUUUUAUGUCUUAAUGCAAGAUUUUUAGGCGAAAAAAAGAAGAGUAGCAGACGGACAAACACCAUAUGAGGAGACACGCGACACCAAGCUAUUAAAGAAAUGAAGCUAGGCGAAUUACAUCGCUAGAAGACAACAUGGUUGGCGCAAAUGUCAGGAAAUGACGAAAAGGACGUCUGCAACACUGAGCAGCUUUAUAAAAAAAUUCAUGAAGCCCAUAUGAUGUUAAGAGUCAUAUGUCCUUGCUUAUAAAUAGAAGGUUGUCCCUUCAGAACAAGUGUGCAAAAUUGUAGAGAACCAACUCACUUUAUCUUUCAUCUUCUUUCUGUGUUUUAGGUGAAAGCUUGGAAUAUAGUUUAAAGAAAUCCCCAUCCACGCUUCCCCUCAAUGUAAUAGGUAGAAAACAAAGCCAAUGAGUAUAAGAAAUUAUACUCAAAGGCUCAAUGCAUGUCCUCUUACUUCUAGUUGUAAUAUUUUAGAUUUUGUUUGUAGUCUAAACCUCGUAGCUGAAAUGACUAAAGUUUUUAGUUAUGAAUGCAAUUUCCUUCCAUUUCCAUUCUUUCAUUUCUUUAUCUUAUGUUAUUGCUUCUAUGUAAAAAUGACAAGACAUAAAGUGUAAUUAGUGCUAGAGAAUAUGGAUCUCCGCAUUGUUUAUAUUGUUUAGUUAAGUGUUGCAAUCAAUACCUUAUUCUUUUCGAGAGAAAGAAUGAAGUAAUGAAUGUUGUCACUCGACAAAGUAAUAACUAAAUAUGCAGUGAAAAUAAUGUAGUAAUACAACAUUGUCGAUGAAUUCCUCUUUAACAUACAUAUAAAAAAAGGCGAGUGUUUGUGGUCAUAAGGCACCAAGAGGUUGUUCGCCUUAAUAUAAGAUGAAUUGCAUAGAGAAAUCAACUUGUCUUACCUAUAAAACUUCUUUUUCGCUUACACUUGGGCAAGAGAGAGGAAACUUUAUACAUACACGAUGUAUUUUUAGAACUACAUAUGCUUAGGUAAUUGUAAGAUAUUUUUAUCGCAUGAGCACAUGUCGUAGUUGCCUAACCCACUCGCAAACUUAGAGCCAUCAUAUCAUAUACACAUUAAAUGAACCAAGCAAAUCUUUUGUGCUAUUUACCAGAGAAUUAAUUGAUUUACUUUUGGAUUUAAUAUGUGCACUAAUCUCAUGCAUAAAAUUCACUCUCAGUUGAAUCGCGUGUUCACUCGAAGAGUACGUGAACAAGUUUAUAAGUGACAGAGAGCAUCCAAAUUUUGAAUUUGACCUUAAAAUUGAAUGAACUUUUCGUCAAAGAAGAACAAAUAGAAGACAAAGGCACAAGAAGACGGCACAACUGACUAUUGAUGUUGUGUUCAUGGGUAGAAUGUUAAGGAGCACAUACAACCAGAUUAAGGCAAUAGAAAACCUCAUCCGAUAGUACUUGCAAAAGAAUGGUACCCUUUUGGAGAGUCAGGUCACUACCAUAUGCAAUAUGGAGUUACAUAUGGGGUAGAUUGCUAGUGACAUCUCCGAAAGACUAUGAGGAUCCUUCCCUAACACUACUGAAAUGCCAAACCAGGCAGAGGAAUCUGGAAAGGUGUCAACCUGUGACCUUAAGAAGCAAAAGGAACUUAACCAUCCACAAACCGGACGAAGAAUGUAGCCCAUCUACUUUCGCCCAGUACCAUGAAUGACCAUUCGAAUAGUACAACAUUUCUCCUAUUGUUAUUUCUUCAACUAAUGAACUUUAUUCCUUGCAUAAUGACAUAAAUGAAAACGGAAGUGGAGAUGGGCUACUUUAUUCCUUGCAUAAUGACAUACAUGAAAACAGAAGUCUAGACCACCCAGGGAGAUUCAAGAUGCAGAGAGAUGUCUACUCAGACGUCAUCAUUUUUAAUUUGUUGUCACUGUGAACCCCAAAUCCAAAAGGGAGUUCUCUUAAAAGAAAAGCCUUAAUAAAUGGAUUGUUUUUGCUAAGUUCAAUUUUGAAGCAUUUUGCAAAGAAGGUUAUGUUUCAAAGAAAGAUAAUGCGAGGUGAAAGUUUAUGUUAAAAUUUAAUUUGUAAUCAAACCAAUUCUUUUUUUUUCCUUUUGCCAUAAACAUUAAAUUUUUUUAUUCAAUUUGAAAUGUGCAUUGGUGACUUCAAGUGUUAUUAUUGUUUUUUUGGAGUAACUUAAACUUCUCUCAAUUAAUAUUAUUAUUAUUUUCAUUUGUUCAAUAUAUUUUUUAAUAACAUAUUUUGUAAUAUAUAAGUUUUUUUAAAAAAAUUGAAAAUUGAAAGAAAAAAGAUAUGUAUAAUUUUGAUUAAUAAAUAAUUAAAUUAAAUUAGAAAAAAUGAAUUUAAUAAGAAAAAAGGAAGAUUGAAGAUUGAAAUAUUUAAAUAUAUGUAAAGAAAAAAAUAAAAAAUAAAAUAAUUUAAUAAAGAAAUAUACUUUUAGUAUUUGAAUGUUUAAUAUAUAUACAUGGGUAUGCAUAUAUAAAAAAUGGAAAAAAGUAGAAUGUGUGCGACCCAUGCAUAAUGUAUAUAAAUAAUGAGAAAAUAAAAAAGUGUGGAACCAAGUGUAAUAUAAAGUACAUGACUUCACCCAAACUCACCUAUUUUUGUCAACUCGAGAUCUUUUGUCCACAGAAACAUACAUGUGCGAAUUGAGCUAAGCUCAUGUUGGCAAAAAAAAGAAAAAUUAUUUUUUCUAAUAAGUCAUAUUCCAGAAUUAUUUUUACGAAUUACAUUUGUCCUAUUUUAUUAUUCCUUACUGAUUAUUAUUUUUGCAAAGUGAUUAUUCCCAUGUUACUUUUCCUACUAUUAAUUCUUUUCCUAAGUUAUUUCUACUGAGUUGUUUUACGGAAGAAAAAUUGUUGAUAGUUAUAGACAUGAAAUAAAAUCAAGAAAAUUAUACUAAUAUAUUCAUAAGAAAAUUAGUGUAAUAUAUUAAUUGAAAAAUAAUUAAGACAUAGUCGACAUUUACAUAACUGCCUAGUUCUUAGGGUAAAAGUAAGCUCAUUGAAACAUAGUCGGCGUUUACAUAACUGCCUAGUUCUUAGGGUAAAACUAAGCUCAUUGAAACAUAGGAAGCAUUGCAACACACAAAAAACAGUCCACUACGAAGUCGUCAACGAGAAAUGAAGGACAAAGAUCUAGGAUUGAAGACCAACUAAAAUUCCAUGCGAGUGGUACAUAGUUCUCAAAAGUUACAAUUAAAGACCCAUUUUAGUAACAUUUUACUUUGUUCGAUAACUUGCACUGAAUUCUGACAAAAACAACAAAAUAUUGCCCGCAAGCAAAGACAACAAAAAAACUGUGCACUAGAAUCCUAUCAAAUUCAUGAAAAGUGUAUAAAUAUGGAAACAUUUAACUCAAGUACACAUAGCUACAUUUAAAAUUGACAAUAAACGGAAACUGAGGGCCCAUUCCAAGUGCUCUACAAAGGCAACCGAGAACAGAAUGCGAUUGAACUCGAAUCACUAGUAUUAUAAACGAUAAAUCAAUGCAUAGAUAAAUCACAAACAUCCUUUUUAGAACAAUGCCUGAAAAAGAAAAUUAGAGCCUUUUAACCUUCAAUCCAAAAUAGUAGGAGAAACAAAACAAAAAGUAAAUAAAUUAAGAUGAAAAACUAGAUUCCAAGUAUUUCCUCUUCUAGCUAACAAUUUUACAGCAAUAUAAUUUUUCCUCCAUCUGACAUACCACCAAUAAGGGUUUUUCUAUUUGUUUCAGUAGGUGUUCAUCGACACAAACAUCUUUACUAGAUCUGUCACACCCACCCCGAGCACCUGCUUGCUUAACCUGAGAUGUGGCGUAAAACCAACCGACAUUAUUCAUUUUAUGAACAACACCAAUUGAUCUUGACUUUUAAACCUUUUAUGAUGAUUAACAACUUGAAUAAAAUCAAUAUUACGUAGCGAAAUAACAUGAGAAACAUACAUUAACAUACAUUUUGUGCAGGGAAAGAAGAACAUUCUUUCUUCCAUUAAUACGAAUGGUAGAUCAUCAAUAACCAGAAUCAUAUCCAGGUUUGACUUCAACGUCGUAUGAUUUUAACUGGUUAAUGUUUUCGUUUUUAAGUAGUUGAAUAAAAGAAGAAGAUAUGCUAAAAUAUCAAACAAUUGACUGUAUUAAUUAUCUUUAUAUUAACCAAUUAAACAAAAUAACCUAAUCAAUUGAGAAAAAAAAAACCAUUAAAAGUUCCUAGUCAAGCAUUAAACCUACCUGAUGCCAAAGGAAGAGGCCAAACAGCCUUUGAAGGUUACGUGAAAUUUACCCAAAAAAAAGCUGAAGGUUCUACGAAAUUUCGUGUUAAGAAAAAAAGACUAGGAAUGCCAAGGCGUCAACCAACCGAAGUCAAAGUUCCCCACAAGCCCACUAGGGUUCACAACCGUACGUAUUUCCUUCCUCUUCCGCACUUUAAGCCCGUUUCUUUCUCUUUUCCAUUUUUCCCAAGCCGGCUGUUUACCCAUCUCAGCACUUUAGUGUCGUCGUCGACGCCGUCUCUCUUCGUUUCAGUGGCGCCACCGCCGCCUUUCAUCUGCUCGUGCGGCUGUAAACUUCCUCCUAGUGGUUUGCACUGAUUUUCUACUCUCUUAUUGUUGCUGAUAUUAUUCAUAUCUCCAUUACGUCUUUUCUCUCGCUGGAAAACUCUAAUUAAUACUUGUCUGAUGAAAGAAAGUAUGAGUCUGUUUUUUUGUUUGUAAUAGUAACGAAAAAGAAUGCGGUAAACUUUGACUUCCGAACUGCCAUGUUCUACCUUCUGCCUUUUGCUUUCUUCUACGUGUUUGUCAAUUAUGUUAGGGUUCCAGGGGCUGUUUUCUCUCAGACACCAGGUGGGAGAAAAGGAGAUUAAGUACAAGUCUUAGCUUUAUUUUACUGAUUUAUCAACUUGUGUCUGUUUUUUCAGCCAAUAAUGGAUGUCGAUUCUGAUGCAAGUCAUAAACCAACUGAUGACGCCGAGUGCAGGCCAAUGGAGUCUGAAGAUUCAAAUGUAUAUUAAGUAACUUUAAUUUCCCUAUUUAUAAUUUUUUUAAUAUUGUUUUUCUUUUAGAUAUAUGGAAAUCCUUGCUGUUUGGUAUGUAAGAAAGCGAAGAAAUUCUUUUUGGCCCAGUAGUUGUGAGAUUUUUAAAUAAACGUUGGUUUUUACUUUCUCUGUUGUAUUUGUAUAUUUAGGUCACAUUUCAACCGUGUUCCAAUAAAAUUUUGAAAACUUGUCUUGAUUUGUAAUCUUUCUUAUAUUUAGAAGCGUAAAGCAAAAGAGGGAUUUGCUGAUUCAAUUAAGAGCCCGAAUACUGAGGGGUUGUAAUCUUAUUUUGUCAUGUUUCUACAAUAAAUAUCCAGCUCCUUUCGUUUAGUGCAUUAAAAGAUUGGAGGAAAUCAUUUUCUAAAUUACUUGUUCGGUUCAUAUUUCAACUUCCUUGUUCAAUCACCAGGAAGAAAUUAUUUCUUAUGUUUCUUAUUUGGGCAUUAAUCACUUAGUUAUGAGAUUUUAGUAAAGCGUGGGUUUUACUUUCUCUGUGUGUGUUUAUGUAUUUUGAUUAAAUUUGAUCUGCCUUGGUCAAUAAAUUGCUAAGAAUUUAAGAGAUGGGCUUGAUUUGUAGUCUUUUUGGUAUUUUGAUAUUAAGGAUAAGGGUAAAGCAAAAGAGGAGCUUGCUGAUUCAAUUAAGAACUUAAAUAUUGAAGAAUCAUCUAGGCAUGCCGGCUCUCUAGCCACAAACUUCAGACGAAAACCAGUUAUUAUCAUUGUCAUAGGGAUGGCAGGUAUUUUUCAAUGAAAAUUCUUGUCACUGCUGAAAGUUUGGAUGCAUGUUAAUUUUAACUUUUAUUGUAGUAUUAAAAGCUAUGGUGUCGGUAUGUAUUGAUGUUUUUCACUAUCAUUUGUAUGGUUGAGGAUGCAAAGAAAAAUGAAAACUGAAAAGGGUGAAAGAGAGAUGUGAGAGUUUUAGGGGGUGUUCGACAUGCAGAAUUGAGUUGGUAAUAUUAUAGGAGGGGAAUAAUUGGGGAGAGUUAAUAUAAAUAACGAGGUGAGGAAUGUAAGUUAAUGCGAAUAAUAAGGUAAUGUAAACCCCUUUAGUUAUCGGUGAACCAAACGGUGGAUGCAUUUUUCUAUCCACCCAACCCCACUUGGGGGCUAACACCUUCUCAGUGAGUUAAAAACAGAGAUUUUAGAAAAGAAAUUAUAGAGUGGGAAAAGAAAAUAAGAUGGUUUAAAUACUAGAGAAAAGGAGAAGCUGAGAAAAAGUGAGAAGAAUUUGGAAGGGGAAAAAGAGGAGAAAAUAGAGGUAAAAGGUCUAGCAUGUUUAUUAAUAUUAUGAUAUACAACUUCGUCUAUGAGGUGGAUUGGCCUGGAUUCUUGAAAGUUUUGUUUGUUUUGUGUGUAAAAUGUAUUUUCUCUUAUUUCACUUAGAAAGAAAACAAUUUUCUUAAAUAGAAGAAAUACCCAAUGCAAAGUAGGAAAAUACAAAAUAAGGAAAAAAAUAAUUAUACAAAUAUAUCUCUAAAUACGAAGACAACAUUAACAAUAAAGGGAAGAAUUAACCUAGCCAGCUUGUUAAUUAAAGGGGUGUUUGGGGUAAGGAGUGAGUUAUUAUAGUCCUAGGUUAAUAUAGUUGAGUUAUAAUAGUUUGUGUUUGGGGUGUAGAUUAUUUUAGUUUGAGAAGGAAAUAAUAGAAGCUGUAGCAAAUAGUAAAUACUAUCACAAAUUGGGGUUUUGAAAUAGUGUUUACUAUAACUAAUGGGAGAUUUUUAAAUAGUAUUUAAUAUAGCUAGAGGUGGUUAUUAUAGUCUUGCAUAGUCCUCGCACCAAACGACCCCUAAGUUAUUGAAUUGCCACUUUGAAAGACCUCUACUUAACACAUCUGUGGUUUGUUUUGUUGUCGAAAGAUAGGGGAUGCAUAUUAUUCCUUGAACUAUCCUCUCCUUUAUGAAGUGCUUAUCAACUUUAACAUGUUUGUCCUAUCAUGAAGGACUGGAUUGUGGGCAAUCGAAAUUGCUGUCUUGUUAUCACAAUAAAUGCGCAUAGGCAUUGUUUGAGAGAACCUCAAUACUUUCAAUAGUCUUCUUAUCCAUAUGCCCUCACAAAUACCAUGAGCUAAUGCCCUAAAUUUUGUUUUUGCACUACUUACAACCACACUCUGUUUUUUAUUUCGCCAAGUAACUACUUACACAUUCUUAAUAAAUACCCCUUCUCUUAGCCAUUAGAGGCAGAGAAUUUAUUUUGAGAAAUAAUUCUACUUUGAUUUACAUUAGAAAGGGUUUUCUUAAAUUGAAGAAAUUCCCACUACAAAGUAGCAAAAUACAAAAUAAGGAAAAAAUAAUUACAAAAUUAUAUCUACAAUGAAAAUAUUAACAAUAGGGUGAAGAAUUAGCAUAAGAAAUAAUCAACAUUUUGUUAUUUAUUUACUUAUUUGUUCUUGUAAUUUUUUCAAUUGUAACGAGAUUGAGUGGGGUGCUUGGUGUAUAAGUUUUGUGCAACUGCGGUGGAUAGGUAAUUUUGAAAUCAAAAUUGGGUUGAUGUUUCAUGUCUCAAAUUAAGCUCUCCUCAGAAGAAAUAUUUGGAAAUUCAGACAUCUUAAAAUAUCAGCAAUAUUAUUGUUGUUUUUUACCAUUUGGUCUUCAAGUUUGAUUUUCAACUUUACUCUGAAGCUGUUUCUUUACAGGGGGGCUUUUGUGGGUUUUUUUUAUGCCCUUGUAUUCUUUAAUCUUUUCUCAAUGAAAGCCCUUGACCUUGUAAAAAAAAUAAAACCAAGCUUGUGUCUUGUUUGUUGCCCCAUUUCUGAGAUAAUUUGGCUACAAAACGCUGUGGGUGGUUUUAGUGUUUUGUUUGAUGUUUGGAGCUAAAGACAUUCUUGCUGUCUUACCUAUUGCAAGGUCUUUGAGGUGGUCAAGAGUUCGAUUUUGCUGUUUGGAGUUUUUUGCUUAUUUAUGUUCAGAAGGUCUUUAUAUAUACUUGUUUGGAUAAAACGUCUUUUCUAAGUGGCUUUUGGAUCUUUUAGUUGGUUUCCUGUCAUGUAUUUGUUUCGUUAGUUUGUCUUGUCCAGUAUUCAUAAAUUUUUGUUUCAUCAACUAAAAGUUAUGUGUACCUUGUAAAAGUAAGAUAUCUGCAUGCGGAAUUGAGGCUGAGUUUGUUUCAUCAUUCAGAAACAAGUUUUUUAAAAACAGGGGGUUCAGCAUAAAAGAAGGUUUUAAAUGGAUUGUCUUUUGAGAUGAGAGCCAUUUCCGAAACAAGUUUGCCAGGUGGUCAUGAGUUUUACAAAUGUCCUGUUCCUUUGUCUUUUGCAGGCUCAUGCCUGCCUGCCUUUCUUUGUUUUGUUUUUUUCUUUUUAACCAAAUGUAUUGCUAUCAGUUUUGGUUUAAUGUGCACCGUUGAAAUGUUGUGGCUUUUUCCAGGAAGUGGGAAGACAACUUUCCUUCAUCGUCUAGUGUGCCACACGCAUGCUUCAAAUAUCAGGGGUUAUGUAAUGAAUCUCGAUCCUGCUGUAAUGACACUACCUUUCGGUGCUAAUAUUGAUAUAAGAGAUACCGUGCGAUACAAGGAAGUGAUGAAGCAAUUCAAUCUUGGGCCUAAUGGAGGAAUUUUGACGUCACUUAACUUGUUUGCCACCAAAUUUGAUGAGGUGAAAUUUCAUGCAUCUCUUUCUUAAUUUAUGUUCGCUUUCACAUUACAGCAAUCAACACUCCAAGCAUACCCCAGUUCCCCUUCCCUCUUGUGAUCUUGUAGGGGAUGUGGGCAAAGAGAAGAAUUGUGAAAUUUGGAGAGUUUUGAACUUCUAGGGUUUUAGUGUAUGUAAGGAGUUAAUAAGGCAGAAAAAUAAUUUAUUAGUCGUGAGACCCAUAAAAUCCUUGAGCUCAACGAACUCCACUCCUUCCAACUCCUUGGCCAAACCCUCCGCAAGUGUGAGUUUGGAAUAAUAAUGUUUUUCAUCAUUUGUUUUUUGAACUGUAAAAGAAGAUUUUACGCUUUGAAGUUCUUGAAUGUUCUUACAGGAAAUGAGAACGUCCAGGACUAAUUCUUGUGUGUAUUUAGAAGGUCAUGGUUUUGUCACAUCAUGUGCACUGAGUUGAUAUUGAUGGCAUAUUUCCAAUUUUUUUUAGUAUUUAGUACUUCUAAAUUUAUACUAUAAAUCACAUCACACCUUACUGUAUUAUCAUAUAAAAGUUUCUUGUUGAACUGUGUAAUCUCAGGUAAUUUCAGUGAUCGAAAAGCGAGCAGAUCAGCUUGAUUAUGUCCUUGUCGAUACUCCUGGUCAAAUUGAGAUAUUCACAUGGUCUGCAUCUGGGGCCAUCAUCACUGAGGCUUUUGCUUCCACCUUUCCCACUGUAAUUGCUUAUGUUGUUGAUACACCUCGUUCAUCUAAUCCAGUCACAUUCAUGAGCAACAUGCUUUAUGCCUGUUCUAUCCUCUACAAGACAAGGCUGCCAGUUGUGUUGGUUUUUAAUAAAACUGAUGUGGCAAAACACGAGUUUGCUUUGGAGGUAAUUCACCGUAGUAACAUGUGCCUUCUUCAAUUAUUUUUUUAUAGAAUAGAGCGAAAUCACCCCCAAGCAUUGACAUCCUACUGUUAAAGACCUACUUUUCAAGGGCAUAAGUUUAAGCCAUGGAAAUCAUAAUAAUUUAAAUCUCUGUAUUGUCCAUUAAGUGUGUUCUAGGGUGGUGGACCGUUUCCCAAUGAUUCAUGGGGUGGAGUGCAUGACGUAUUCCUCCUGUUACUAAAAAAGGAAAAAAAGAGUUUUGAAUUCCUUGUGUAUUCCCUCAAGUGUGACUUCGCAAUAAAAGGGUGUAUUCUCUUGUUUAGAACUUUUGGCUUGGAUUGUGAUAGAACACCAACUAAGAGUGAUCUUACUCAAUUGGAAUAGUCGAAUCAAUACAAAGAAAGGACUGAAAAAAUGUCAAUUCCUGAACAAGAAACAGAAUGUAACAAGAACUAAGAUAGAAAAUACCCUCUCACUGCUUCUCCCAUCUCUCAAGGAUGAAGACAAAUGAUCUAAACAUUUACACCCCACUUCUGGCGGACCCCUCUCUACUAUUCAAAUCCCUCUUCUCCUCCUAACUAACUGUGGCGCCCAGCCUUAGCAGCCACAAUCCCCAUCACACGUGCACUCCCCUUUCCCCCUCCUACUAUACUGUAAUAUAAUGGGUGGCCUAACAGAUUGCUGCCUCCCAAGCAAGAUCUAUAGCUGGAUGGCUGAAAGGGGCUUAGAGUAAAGCUUUUGGUUUGAAAGGGAAUAUCCUUUGGUGAUGCUCUACUCAAUUUCUUUUGUGGUGUAUAUGAAAUGAUAGACAGUAGAACUUUUGAAUAUAAGUCUGAUUCUUUUUGGACCGUUUUUCAACAGUUUCUUUGGUGGAGUACUAAUUACCCCCAACACUUUUGUAAUUGUAAAGCCCAUUGGAAUGCCUUAUUUACUAGCGUUUUUUAGGGUGGGUUUUCUAGACCCUUGCCCUUCCGCUGUUUUCUCUUGUUCUCUUUAAUUCAAAUAUCUGUUUCUUAUAAAAAACAAGGGAAAAAGAAAAGAAACAAUAUAGUUAGAAUCCUAAUGUUUUCAAUUGAAAGGUUCCCCCAAGAAAUGCAGCAUUUUCAAUAAAGAUCUGCUCUUGAACCUUUGUCUGCAUGUAUAUACCUAAUACAUAUGUAUGUUAAUGCGCUAUAUAUAUCCCUCUUUAAAUUGUGGAUAUAAUUCAAAACUCUUGAAAUUUGAGUGUUAAAAAAGGAAUUGUGCAUGCAGUGGAUGGAAGAUUUUGAAGCGUUUCAAGCUGCCGUCAGUUCUGAUAGUUCAUACACCUCCACGUUAAGUCAGAGUCUUUCCCUUGUGCUGGAUGAGUUCUAUAAGAACUUGAAAUCUGUUGGAGUUUCUGCAGUUUCUGGCGCCGGAAUGGAUUCUUUCUUUAAAGCAAUUGAAUCCAGUGCGGAGGAGUACAUGGAAAACUACAAGUAAUUAGAUCAAAUAAUUCUUUGAAAUCUUUUCAUCUGUAGUCUAUUAGUUAGAGAACGAUUGUGCGGGUUAGAAAUUUGCUACACUUUUCACAUUUGUGCUACUUUUGGCCCUUUUUCUUUUCAGGGCAGAGCUUGACAAGAGAGUUGCCGAAAAGCAGCGAUUAGAGGAAGAGCGCAGACGGGAAAACAUGGAGAAGUUGAGGAGAGAUAUGGAGAGCUCCAAGGGACAAACAGUGGUUUUGAGCACGGGUUUGAAGGAUGACAAGAGUAAAACUAAGAGUAAAACUAAGAUGGUUGACAAUGAUGUUGAAGAGAUUGAUGAAGAAGAUGAAGACGAUGAUGAUUACGAUAGAUUUACCGAAGAGGAUGAUGCCAUCGAUGAGGAUGAAGAUGAAGAGGUUGCUAGAUUCUCCUUUUAGUAGCGGAGAAGGAAAAUGAAACUGUGUAUAGGUUUUACGAAGGAACUAAGUCACCAUUCACUCCAAAUACGAGUCUCUGACCAUUGUUUUUCUGACAUUAUAACAAGGUUUGCUUAUUGGAGGCUCUUAUGAUAAUAUUGCAUUUUUCAUGAUGGUCCUUGUCAUCCAUAGGAGCUUUGGUUUGAAAGCUGGCUUUCCCAUGUCCUUGUAAUGUUGUACAUUUUGAUGGUUCCCUGUUUAUGAUGGCUAAUAUAAGAUCAAUAUUUUGAAAUUUUGUGCUCCCUUUUAUAGAACCUGUGAAGGUAGUUUUUGGUUUUAGAAGUUUCAAAUUCUAAUAUCAAAUAUUUGUUUUGUUCAAAAGAAUAUAUCGUCCGCAAUUUUCUUAAUAAAAUACCUCGCUAAAAUGGAAUAUCUUAGUUGAAAACAUGUAUGGUUUUUGGUUUUACUUCAACCUAUGUAUAGGAUUGUUGGAAUUUGAUGGAUAAUUUGUGUAAAUUAUAAAAUAAAACCUUCAUAGGAAAAAACUACCUCAAAUAAGAAUAAGUUUUCAAUUAUUAAUAUUAUGUUUAUAUUAGUGAUUUUUUUUAUUGAUUUUUUUUUUGUUUUGUUAAUCAUUUUAUAUAUAUGAUGGAAGGUUGUUUUUAAAUAUAACAAAAUCAAUUAAAAUAUUUAUAAAUACAAUAAAAUAUUAUCGUUUAUUCUAAUUGAUAGUGAUAGACUAUUAUCAGAAUAUGUCUUUUUUGGAUAUUUAUAAAUAUUUGAGAAAAAUAGUCUUUUAGCCUAAGUUUUGAGUUUAGUUUUUAUUUGAUUCAUAUGUUUUGAAAUCUAUGGAAUUGCCCCUGGAUUAGAGAGGAGCUCACUCCAUGUUUGGCCCUAGUAUAACGAUAAUACUUGUUUUCACUCCCUUUUCUCCUCUUCCUCGCACCCUUUCUCUCACCAAGUUCCAAAUAUUUACCAAGUAAAAGUAGAAGACCAACCCAAAGUCAAAGUUCUAGUACCAACCAUCAUAAAAGGAAGUAAUGCCGACAAAAGUUGAGAUAAGAGUCUGCAUCCCAAACCUAGAUUAUUGUAAUACCCAGACUAUUAUAAGUCACUCAUCGUCUAAAACGCCUCCUAAAAUUUUUGCGUUUCAGAUUUUAAUAAUGCUCAAAUUUAGUAGUUGGCAUAACAUAACCAUUAGUGACUUAAGAAAGGAUGAUUUAAGAUGAUGAUUGGACUAAUUUUAAAAUAAUAAAAAUAAAAAGAAACAACAAGAACAUGGUGACGUCGUGACGAUGAUGAAGGAAAGAGAAGGCACCAUGUUGGGUUGAAAAUGGCGACAGUUGGGUUGGAUUUGGACACGAAUCGUUUAACAAAAUACUCAUUCAAAACUUAAUGAAAACAAAAUGAUAAUUAUAAUUAAUUAAUUAAUUCAGAUUGGGUUGGGUUGAAUCAAAAUUUUCAACCCCUAACCCAAGAUCCAACCAACCGACAUUUUAAACUACUCCAACUCAACCCAUAUAUAUGGGUUGGGUAGUCCGAAUUUUUUGUUUAUUCGGAUUGGACUAACAUUCCCUAGUUAAAACAGAAUUAUAGAAACAUUUAUCUAAAAGCAUUGUCAUGUAUUAAGGGAGUUGCACUUUUGUCAAGUGCUUUUCCCCUUAAAAAAGUUGCAGCACCAUUGAAAGUCUUGGAACCUAACAUUUUGUUUUCGUAGGAGGCAGAGGAAGCAUAACAUAGAAGGAGGUAGAGGAAGCAUCGGGAUUGAGGAAGAAACUUCUAAUUUAUGUGUUGUAUAUAACAGUGAAUUGGAACCUUCAUGAUAAUGAAAGUGGGAAAGGUACUCGACUAACAAACGUGUUGGCUUGUAGUAAACAAUGAAAAAUCAAAUAUGGGGUAAGAUAUUCUGUAUUCGUAUUGUUGAAAACAAGAGUUUUACGACAAUGAUUGGUUUCCAUCGUCAGAUUGUUAGAUUUAUCUUUGUCGCACUUCCUUCUACCACCAAGCCCAAAUUGGCUUCUCCCAUCUCUAGAUCACUUGAUUUGUCACCUAUAUAGGGUAAGGGAAAAACUUAAUAAAGAAGCAACAUUUUUCUUUAGAAGGAGAAAUUUCGAGAAACAACACAUUUUUUGUUUUAUAUUUCAAAAUAAGCACAGUUUUAGAAAAUUCAUAUUUUUGUUUUUCUCGAAGUCAAUCUCGAUCUAUACCGAUCCUGAAAUUCUUCCCAAAUCUAAAAAUGAUCGUUAAAGGAUUUAACUUGGUCUCUCACGGUCGAGUGCAUCAAAUGCACAACUAUAGUGUGUUUUUUUUUUUAAAAAAAAAUUUAAAAAUAAAGACAAAGAAGCCAAACAACAUAACAAGAUACUUUGAAUAUUAGAACAUUUUUUUUUUUUUUACAAACUUUUGUUCCUUGAGAGCAUCAACAAGAACAACCUUAAAGAAAUGAGGAUUGUUCGAUGCUUUACAAGGUCGUUUGACGAUGUCAUUUUGCCUGCAACUGGAGGAAGCCAUGAAGGGGAGCUCUUGUUCAAGAAACUCCACAAUAUUCUUUCUUCUAUGACUAAAAAUUGAAUUUAAUUUAAGGUUGAUUUUCAUAAAUAUAACAAAACACCAAAAUAUUUAUAGUUCAUGUAACAAAAUAAAAAAGUCCAUGAUAUUUUCAUAAAAUCAAGGGUUGCUCUUGAAUAUUGCAACAGUUGAGAAGUAUAAUCGUGUGGAGAAUAAAAUUCCUCGAGAAGCAGAUCUCAAACGAGUGAAGAAGAAAAUCUCUUGAAGAAGCUCACCUUUGUGCCAAACGAAAAAGAAUCUAUAAUUGGUUUGAUAAAGAAGAUGGUUGUAAUCGGUUUGAUGAAGAAGAUAGUUCGCAAGAAGAAAAUCCUUUGAUUUGCGCUGAAUGUAUGAAGAUUUUGAUGGUUUUGAGGAGGAUGAAGCUUGAAGCUUCAAUCUUUUCUGCAACUGAUCGAAGACUUUGAAGAUUUGGUGGAAUCUAGGAAAGUGGAAGAUAGUGAAGUUGGAUUCUUUUCGGCUUUGAAUACCUAAAUGUGCACAAUUUCAACAAGGAUGUGUUAUUUAAUUACAAUGUAUUUGGAUUUUAGGUGAACAAUUGUAUUUAGAUCUGUUUUUGAAUUAGCUAGAUGCAUUUGAGACGUUGUUCCAUUUAUUUAUUUUUCAAAUUUUUCAGUUUUGCUAUUUUAACAAUUUAAAAAUAAAUUUACUAUGUUUUAAAAGUAAAAGUCACAAUUUGCAAUUCUUCUUGACAACCCUUGAAACUAAAACUAAACCUAAUACGUAACCCAUAAAUUUUGGGCUUAAUUCUACUAAUAUGGUGGAUUGUACUUAUGUAAAAUUAUCGAAUUUGUUUCUUAUUAAUGGUGUAUGACAUGUUUCUUAUUUAUGGUGUAUGACCUCUUUUUCGAAGGAUACAAUUGAACCUGACAAGAUACAUGAGAAACAAACAUAAUUUGAUUAGGAGCUAGCUCAAUUAACGAACAUAAUUUCAUUUCAACACACAUAAUUCAAGCAAAUACAAACCAUUAUGCUUCCUCUUCAAAAUCUUAUCACGACACAAUACGAGAAUACAAGUUCAUUAAAUAAUGUACAAGGAGAGAAAUGUAGGCAUGACACCAUUCAAAAAAAUGAUUGAAUGUGGCCACCGUGAGAGCUCCCAAUAAGCACAGACUAAAAGUUCAAAAAUCCACAUGCCCCUAAAUUUCUUUCUUUUCCUUCUUCCUCGCCAUCUUCAAAUGUUAGCUCAUUAAUAUGAAAUAAACUAAAAACAGACAAAAAAACAAAAAUUUCAACAAAAUGAAAGAUGACUACGGAUAUUUACGAGGGAUAGGCCGUUUCGGUUUGCACGAAGAAAUUAUGAGGCUGAGAGAAAAGGGAUUUUUGCGUCGUCAGAAUUGGUGUUGAAACGAAGAGUAAAAUGGGAAGAUUUGGAGGGAAAAAGGAAGAUAGGGUGAAAGAGUAAGAAGACUAGAUUGAACAGAGAAGGAAGGAUUAACACAAAAUCACGAAGGAUUACAAGGUUUGACGGGUAUUACCUAGAGUUAAGGGAGAGUGAAGGAGUAGUGUAAAAAGGAUUUGGGGUUUAUGGAAAUCCAAACUCACGUUGAUAAACCGGGCCCAAACAUUCUUAGUCUUUAAUCCAAACACAGCUUAACAUAGGGUCCGUUUGGAUUGCCUUUGAAAAAAAUGUUUUUUUUAAGAAUACAUUUUUAAAAAAACAAUUUUUGUAAAAUGAGUUUAAAAUCUAAACACUUACCUGUUUUGUUUGACCUAUUUAUAAACGUUUAUAUGCAAAAAUGUGUUUGAUUUGUCCUAUACUAAUAAUGUUUUAUAUGUAGGUUAAAUUUCCGUAAAAGACUAUUAAACAUAUAAAUUAAUUUCAUAGUUAAAAUACACACAUUUUAAAUAUUUUUUAAAAUUAUUCCCAUGUUAUCUUGAAAUUAUUAAUUUUUUAAAUACUUGAAACUAAAUAUUAAUUUCGUUAUUAUUAUUAUUAUUUUGGACGAUGCAAUUUUAAAAGCAUAAAUAUCUUGAAAUAUAAAUACAUAACUACAUAAAAAAAUUAAUUGAUUUUCAUUUCACGAACCAAACGAUUAUGUUCUUCAUUGACGUCCUCAUAAUUUUUUUCAUAAAUGUUAAAACGAAAUAGAUUUGACUGAAAGAGAAACAUUUGCAAAUCUCUAUAUUUAAAUGUAUAUACACAAAUUAAAAAAUAUGCAAAGUAAAAAAAAUAAAAAAAAUAAAGAAAAAAAAUAUAUUUGAAAGAAAUUUCUUAUUAAAUACUAAAUAAACAUUUAUUCUAAAAUUUGGUUAAUAAAAUUUAUUUUUAAACAAAUAUCAAGAUUAUCUUAAAAUAAAUUAUUUUAAAAAUUAAACACCUAAAAAAAUAAAUGCAAACAACGCAAACAGAUCCAUAAUGCUCGAAACUAUUACAUAUUUACAUUCGCUCCUCCCAAAUACAAACACAAACACAGCUUAAUUCAGUAUUAAAAGCGCGGCAAGGCAGUACGACCGGUAAAUUGAAUCGGUGAUUUUGCAGGCUGCCGCCAUGGACUAAUCGUUAGGGCUUCUGUUUAACCUUUGAAUGUCAAAAGUAUUUCAGAAAUCAGAAGAUAUUUAAUUCAGUAUUAAACAAGAGUUUAUUAAGAUGGAGUCGGAGGUGAUAGAAGCGGAGUUAGUGUUGCCGAUCCACCUGAAUUUCAAACGAAUUCAAAUGUACGAGAAGUAUCCUAAAGGCCAAUCUAGAGGCAGGCACUGGAAACAUUUGAAGCAGAUUCUUCAAGCCGAGAACUAUCACAAUUACUCCCCUGAUGAACCCAACUGUAAGAUUUCCUUUUCUCUUUUCCAUCAUUAUUCUCUUACUAUUUCUCCUACUUUUGAUUACGCCUUUGACUUGAGAAGAACUUUGUUUCUUGCUGCUUUAAUGCAUGGGCUGCGAUAUAUUUUUUUUUCGUUUCAUAAUUGUUUAAGAGGUUAACUCUAUGUUUUUAGAUGUUAAUGUUUGGGUAUUUUUUCAAUUUAGUUCAUUUUUUUUUCUUUUACAUACUUCCAAUUUAUUUUUUGGUGAAUUUUAGAGUUUCCUAUCGAUAAAUUUACACGAACAUAACAUGUAAUGAACUGAGGAAAAUUUAGAGGGGAAAAGAUGUCAUCUAAUAUAAGAAAACCUAAACUUCUAUCAAUUCUAAGAAUUUGUUGCUUUCCUCACAUUUCUCCCUCUAAAUUUUGCCAGUUUGCUUAUUGAUUUGUUUCUUUUUUGGAAGCUUUGAAGUCUCUUUGGUUUGGAUUUGGAAUAGUCCGCCGUUUAGAGUGAAGGGCCAUAUUUUAUGAACCACUUGUUUCUUCACUAAUGUUUGAGAGAUUUGGAUUGAGAGGAGUCAUAGAAUUUUAAGUGAGGGUAAGAGAUUUGUGGGGGAGUUGUGGGAAACUACUAGGUUCAAUUCCUCUGUUUAGGCCUCGAUGCCUAAGGUUUCUGAUGCUACCCUUUCUUGUUCUUGCAAUUGAGCUGUUUUACCGAUUUUAUUAUUAGUUAUUAUUUGAUUACUUAAAUAUUUCAGUUAUUUGUUAUUUUAUGUGGGUCACCAAUAAUGCUGAAGUACUCUAGGAAGGGUAAAAAGGGAAGUCCAGAAUGAAAGUUAGUUAGUAUGGGGAUUGAGACCACUGAGAGAAUGUGUGGGAGUGAGUGUGGUCAGUAUUUGUAAUAAAGAGUAGUUGUUGGUAGGGUUGUGCUUUCUGGUGAUAGGGAAGUGGUCAAGAGGAGGGAGAGAACUAACUCUUUGUAAUCGGCUGGAGUGUGAAGCAUUAGGUCCAUCUUUUGAUUAUCGCAUACUAGUAAUAGUAAGGGAAUGCUUUACAUCUUAUUAGCCAACAAAUUGGUUGUUAGGUUGAUAGACUUAUGCCUACUAUUAUAAAUGUUAGUAUUCUUUCUGUAUUUUGGACCAUUAUGAAAUAAAGAAUAACUUUACUCCUUGGUAUACACCAAAGUUGGUAUUGGAGAUUUCAUUUCUCUGGACCAAACACCAAAUUAUAUCCUCCAAAUCUUCAAUGGAACACUUGAUGUCAUUUGCACAUCGUUUGGGGAAUUUAUAGACUCUAGUGUAGGAGAAAUGAGUCUCUUGACAACUAGAACAACUAAUGGUGCCUAAAAACUAAAAUCAAGAGAAUAUCAACACUAGACAAAGUGUUAGGAAUGGAGAAAACUGAAGGGAAAAAAUACCACAUGUUGAAAAGUCCCCAUCUCCAAAUAACCUAAGAAACCAUAAUCAUAAACAUGAGAAUUAAGAACUUUGAGAAAAGAUCAAGAUUAUGGAUUCUCAAGUGUGGAAGGAAGACUUUUCCUAUGGGAAUCAAGUAGAAGGUUUAAGAUAUUCUCAUUAAGAACAUGACAAUGUAACCCUGAAAAAAUAGAACUUUAAGUGUUUUCUUGAUUGGUUAAAAAAUGUGGAUUUUUUUGUACACAAAUACCCCCUAACCAACCAGAAAAUCAGACUGGUAAACUUGAAAUUAUGCAAAGCUGCUAGUGCUUGGUGCAAUCCAUUCAAACUGAAAAAAGGAGUGACAAUGAAAAUAUAAGGACAAAAACCUAAAACCUUCAAUCAAGCAUUCUUUUAGUUCUUAUAGCUGGUUAGGAAUUUGUGCAUUCUCCACCUUAACUCUAUGCACGACGUCCCAUCACUCUUUUUAGUCCUAGCAAUCUUUAGAUUUGCCUUGCUCCUGCUGGUUCAGUUGCUGCCCAGUGGGACGAUGACACGAACUCUUGGUCUAUAGUGUUUCGAAGAUUGCUGGAAGAUGAUGAAAUCCAAGACUUCCAAUGUUUUCUACUCCUCUUUUCAAAGAGAGUGUCAGAAUUGGUAGACAGGAGAGUAUGGUCAUUAGAUGGCUAGGGGCUAGGGCAGAUUCUCUGUUAAAUCCCACUUGACCUACCUCUCCCCAUCUACCCUGUUGGUCUAUAGUGCAUUAAUGAUGGUGUUAAUGGUACCUUUGAUCCCAAGGGUGCAAUAACUUGCCUUACCAACUUAAUAUGGUCUCUACUCUCGUACCAAAACAUUCCUUAAAACCAUAAAAAACGUUUUAAUCUUGGGCUCAUGGCAUUUAUAACUACAUGUACUUAUAUCAACAUGUAAACUGUUAACUAACUUUCAGAGGAUACACCUUUUAAGCAUUUCUACCAUUAACUUUCACUAUAUUGGGUAUCUAUUAGAUAAAUCGGCAGGGAAAGGGUGGAAUUCGGGAACCCUAAGAAUUGUUAUUACUAGUGAAAAGGGCUUUUUUAGUGACAUUUCAUAUUCCAACAACAAUUUAGGUCUCGCAAAUAUAAGACUAUUCAAAUCAGUGCAUUGAGUGUAGUUCAUGAGGAAAAAGAUGAGCUUUUGAGGAGAAUCUUGUCUUUGGUUUCAAACUGGAGCUUUGUGAAUUUUAUUGAUUCACUCAAGGUCUUCGUAAUAGUGAUGGGAUCACUAGUAAUUGAGAUUCCAGUUUAUGUAGCUUUGGUUUAUUUUUUCUUUUCUUGAAGUGGUAAUUCCAUUCCAUGCAAGUUUUCUUUAGGUAUAGCUUCCUAUUUUCUCAAGGCAUCUGUUUUUCCCUGUCAAUUUUCUACAUGCAAGAUAUGGUAUAAGAAACAAUUUCACUGCUACAAUAAAAUUAUAUAAGUGGGGGAGGAAAGCUGGCCAUUAGCUAAGGGAGAUUAGCUCUUCUGCACAGAGCCUUUAUAAUUUUCUUGCUGUCCCCAUUAGAUAAGCUGUUUUCCAAGGCCUUAUGGAAGACGAAAAGCCCACGAUCGGUUAGUAUCCUUGUGUAGAUUAUGGUUUUUGGUCAGCUAAACUGCUCCUCGGUCAUGCAAAGGAAGCUCCCCUUCCCACUGGUUGCCUUCAUCUAUUUGCCCACUUUGUGAAGCAGAAGGUGAAGAUUUUCAGCACCUAUUCUUUGAUUGCUCUUAUGCUGGCUGAUGCUGGCCGAUGCUGGCAGAGGUUAUUUUCAUUCUUUAAAGUCGCUUGGGUGUUUGGUGAUACUUUUCGUGCCAGCUUUGAAAAUGGGCCCUCGUUUGAUUUGGACUAAUGCGGUUAAGGCAAUGAUCGCUGAAAUUAGGUUUGAAAGAAAUCAAAGGGGAUUCUAUGACAAAAGACUUGGGUGGGUGGAUCAUUGUGAAUUGGCUCCCCUGAAUGCUUCAUCUUGGUGCAUCUCAUCCAAGACUUUUGAAGACUUCUCCAUUCAAGACUUAUGAUUAAAUUAGCAUGCUUUUAUUUCCCUAGCUUAAGAUUGUAAUUGUGUUAUAUUGAUCUCUUGACUGUUUAUGCUUUUUGUCCUUCAUUAUGUUUGGACUGCUUUUGUUUUGAUUAUUUAUGGAUAUGAUGAGGGUCCUAAGUGGGUGUCAACCUAGUUGAGAUUCCUAGGUGCAUCUCCUAAUCCCGCGGCUAUCUUCGCUCUUUGUUUCUCUCUUGUACUUUGAGUAAUAAUUUUAUUUCAUUAUUUCAAUGUAGAGGCUUGUUUCCAUUAAAAUAAUAAUAAUAAUUAUUAUUAUUGAAAGGAGUGUUUGCAAUUUAAUUACUGAAAGAAGCUUAAAUUUGUACCAAGUAAAACCCACAAAACUGUGAGUAUUUAUGAAACAAUCCAAGAGAUUUUCUUUGUUGUUGAAGACUCCAUUUUUGCUUUAUUUUCUUCAAAAUGAUGCAUUAUGAUAUUUUCUCCCUUGUACGCUCAGUUUAACCGAUAGUUCCUUUUAUUUGUUUUUUAGAUGUUAAUAUUGAGUCACCUCCCUCAAUGCAUCCAUGCAAGAGAAUUUGUGAUAUAACAGGAUAUGAGGUAUGCAACUUUUGGUAGUUUAUAACUCAGCGUUGCUUUUUAAACUAGAAUAGAAAUUAAUUACGGAUUCUCUUCUUUAUAGCUCAUGAUUUUGGAAUGGUUCUAGAAUAUAAUGGAUCUGAACAAGUGAUGUAUAGAGUGAGUUGCAUACAUUAGCUUUACUUUGAGCCCAAAACAUAAUAAUAUCUUUAUUUUUUUUUUCUUAGUAUUCGAAGAAAUACAACUCUUGUUUUUCAAUAUUUUCAUAUAAAUAUUUUCAAGCAAUUAAUUAAUUAUGUACAUUUUCCAAACCUCUUUGAUUAUAUAUAUUUUUUUGCUUGUCUGCAAUCAAAGUUUCUUGUGGAUAUCAUUUCAUUCUAAUCUUGUUGAGAGGCAUGUCUUAAAAUUUAACAACUUUUCUUAUUAGUUGUAAUGCAAAUAUAAUACGUAUAAGGAGUAAGGAAUGGUUUUUUUAAAAUAUGAACGAGAGGCCUUCUUUUGUAUAGUUGGAGUCCCUUUUGGUAGAAGAGUUUAUCUUUUUUGUGGGCCUGGUUCUUUCGUAUGCCAUGCUUGUAUUCGUUCAUCCAAUACAAAUAAGAAGUAAAAAACAGUCAUUACCCUUAACUCUGGUCGUUUCAUUUCAGUAAGUCAUGACAUUGUUAUUAUUCAGGCACCAUACUAUGAUCCUAGGACUACUCUUCGAUAUGCAAAUGCUGAUAUUUUCAAGGUCAUAAGAUCACUUCCUAAUGAGUACGUCCAGAGGUAUUUGGCCAUGAGAAAUGCAGCGGUAGUUUUAAGGUAAUUCCCCAAGUUUCUGAAUAUAUUUCUCUUUAUUAGUUAACAUCGAUUGAUGGAACAAAAUCCUGAUUCAAUUCUUUUGACAUUUGGAUGAUGUGACAUGAUCUGUAGGUAGUUGGACAUAUUAGAUUUCAUUGACCAAGUGAUUGGCUCAAACUAUAUUUGAUAAUCUCUUUUUGGAAAUUAUAUUUUUGGUUCAUAAAUUUUGACCAUCGAUCAAUCAAAUGUCAUUUAGAUGGCUGCAAGAUCACGCCACCUUAUCCAAAUUUCAAGAAAUGAGUCAUCAUUCCAUUUUAUUAGUUGUAUUGACAACAUAGGCAAAUUGAAGUUGGCUGAAAUCGAACUUCAGGAUGGAACUAAGAUUUCUAAAGAAAUCAAAUCACAUAUGAUUUGAUCUUUUAUCAUAUGAGAAAGAAUGGUAUAAGUUUCAAUACGAAACUGCAUAGGAGAAGAUUAUUCAUUACGUAUCACAACAGAAAUCAUGAGGGCGGAUUGGAGUCAAUACGAGCUGACAGAUAAGAUCAUGAGAAGGCUCAAUUAGUCAAAGCCAUAUUUGAAACUUCUUAACAUUCCUUACUAACCGACUACAUUGUCUAACAAUUAAUAGGUAGAGUUGACAAGUAUAUCCUAACCAUCUUUUCCUGAAUUACUUAGAUGAUGCAUUUUGUACGAUGUCUAAAGAAUUCCAGAAUUUAGCUGAAAAACAAUGUCACUUGAUCGUUGAUUGCCAUCCUCUUUCAUUUAUGUGGACCUGAUAGAGUUCAAAGUAGGCCAUGAACUAAAUUAAAAUCGUUCUCAAGAUGUAAUAUUCAGGUAAAGAUAAAAGUAUUGAAAAUUUGACCGUGAAGUCAUGAGUGCACUAAAAAAGUGAAAGUCCUCUAAAACUCCUCCCAAACUAACUUAAAUCACCUGUGUUUAUUUAAAACUCCUUCCAAGAGCACGUUUAAUAAUGUUUUUUUUCUUUCUUGUUUCUCAUUUCGUUUCCGUCUCUCAUUCCCAAACUUCAAGGAACGUUUCUAAUCGUUAGACCAAAUUUGAAAAACUAUUCAGUUCUGGGUCCAUUUUAUUUAAUAUUGUUUCUAAUGUGUACCAAGGUCUUAGGCUAGCUCAUUGAUGUGGGCAACAUGCCUUGGAUGAUAUAUGGCUUUCACGUCUUGGGCUCUUCCCCACCUAAGAUAGUUUUAUUUUAUUUCUUUAUAUAUAUAUAUAUAUUUCUUAAUUUGUUUUUAUUUUAUUUUAUUUUUUUAUAUUUCUUAAUUUAUAAUUUUUAUAUUUCUUAAUUUGUUUUUAUUUUAUUUCUUGAUUUGUUUUAUUUUUUUCCUUCAUUUAUUUAUUUUUCAUAUUAAUAUAUUUAAUUUAAUUUUCAAUAUUCAGAUUGAUGUAUUAUUUGAUUUUCAAAUACGUUUUCUAUUUAGCUAUAUUUUUCUUUUUAUAUUUAUUUAUUUAUUCGUACAUACAUAUAUGUUUAAUCUAAUUUUGAAAUUUUCAGUAUAUAUAUUAUUUUGAUCUUCAAUUUUAAAAUUUUUAAUAUCUAUAUUUUAAUAUUUUGUAAAAUUUGCUAAUUUUGGAAAUUUUCCUUAAUAUUUAUAUAUUUAAAUUUUUAAAAGUUUCAAUAGACAUGUUUAUAAGUUAUUUUAAAUAAAUAUAAUAAUAUAAUUGAGUUAAAUUUGAAUUAAUAUUAUUUAAGAGGAAAUGAAUUGAGUGAAAAAUAAUAUUUCAGAUCACACUUUAGUAUAUGAAUGAUAAAAACAAUUGUAUUGUAGUUAUUAAUUUUGUAUCAAAAUUGAUGUGUAUUUGAUAUUGCCAAUGGUUAAUAAUUGUUUUCUAUAAUUUAAUAACUACUAUGUAUUUUUUACUUUACAUAAUUAAAUUAUAUUUAAACUAUAAAUAUAAGAGAGAAUGUUGGAGAAAGUAAUACAAAAGAAUGAGAAACAAGAAAUGAUAGUCAAAAAUUACUUUUUUUUUUGUUUCGAAAAACAAGAAACAUAAGUAGUCAUCAAAUAUAUUUCUGUUUUUAAUUUUUUAAAAUUUAAGAAACAAAAAAAACGAAAAAUGGAAACGCUAUUAAGUAGACUCUUGCACUUGCAUACUAAGUUAAAACUAAUAUGCACGCCAGUUCUACGUUUUCCUUUAAUUACUUCAAUUUGAUGUAUCUAAGUAUUACAGGUGAAGAUAUAUACAACACUUCUGUUGUCGAUUUGCUUGGUCCCUUUUUCGUUAUUGGAAGUUGCAACCCUUUGAGGAUACGAACUGUAACCAUUAAGCUUUCCAUGUGGUUGAAUUUGCAAAAAGAAGCUUGUCAAGUAUGCUUAAAAUGUAUCAUGUGCCUAUUUAUUCUAUCAUUUUGUGUAUUUAGUCGUCUUGCCAAUUCAUGUUCGGCUUGGUAUUUGUUAGUAAAAGUUGAUUCAGUUAUUUAAAACUCCCAAGGCUACCAAACAACCACAAUAGGAUUGUAGAUUAAAGAUCUGUUUGAUAACGUUUCUGUUUCUUAUUUUUUAAGAAAUAGUUGUUUUUUAUAACCGUUUUCAAAUUAUAAUAAACGUUUUUAAAAGUUGGACAAAAAUUGAGAAAGUUUCUUCCAAUUUUGUUCUCAUCCUAUUCAGUUUCAUUUCUUAUAUGCAUUUUUUAAAAUCCCAAAUUAAAUUUGAGUUUAGCUUAUGUUUAAAAUUCUUUCACGGCUAAUAUAGCUUAAAACGAUAUAUAGUAUAUAAUAAAGGUUGGACGCCUUAUUCUAGAACACUGUGGAUGUGAUCCAUUUUGUAUUUAGUACAAACGAUGUGAUUCUAAAUCAGUCAUGUGGAGACAUGAAAGUGGUGCAUUUUAUGUAAAGAUUUUACAUAAAUCUGAACUCAUGAAAUAGUCACUUUUACGUAUAACGUUGUUACUGUUUAAAACUAACUAUUUUAAUAAUUGAUAACCUAGUUAACUUAAUUUUGAACUAACUAUGAACUUGUGUUCACACGAGAUCAUUCUUAGAUUUGCAUAGGUGACUACAGUUAGAUCUCUAGCAUCGGUCCAAUAAACCUUCCUAAGACUAGGUGAAUAGUUAGAGACAUAGAGUGCAAGACAAAAUUCAUUCUUAUUCGAUUUAGGGUUAGUAGAUAGUUUGUUCCCUUAAGGACUAAAUCAAGUGAACAAAGAUCCCUACCCUUUCAUUGGCUCAAUAGGGAUUCAGUUUAUAUGUUGGACCUUAAACAAAUUGUGUAAUAGUGGAUUAAUGAGACUUAAGGAACAAAAUGUAGUCUCAGAAGUAAAAUGGUAUUUUGAUCCAACUUUAGUCAAAAAGUAAAAUGGUCAUUUUACUAUUGAAGUGAAAGUCAAACUUUGACCAAAAAUCAACAUUUCGACUUUUACUAUUUUUCCUCUUUGAUUAAUUUCGAUCUUACGAGUCAUUCAUUUUCUCGAAAUUCAAACCACAUUUAAAUAAUAUAAAGUUAAAAUUCAAUCUUUUUCACUUUUCCUAAUUUCAUAUGUUUUUAUUUUAAAGAGUUUUAAAAAGAAGUGUUUAAAUAAAAGUAUAUUCUUUAAGAACAUUUUUUCCCUAAGUUAUUUCGAACGGAUUCUUGGUGGCAAAGGCUCUUCCUAUUACACUUCACAUUUCUGCCGACACUCUUACAAUUGUUUUUCAAUUUUUAUUUCUUUUAAUUUUCACAAUAUUUAGUACCCAAAUGAUUCUCUGCUUUCUUCACUGUUCAACUUUAUGGAUGAAAAGCAAAGUAAUGGGAUAAACAAUGGAAAGAAUUAAAGAACCAUAUAAGAGGCAGAAACCACCAAUUGUGCAUUAACACCAUUCAAAAGUAGUAAGAUAUGAUGAUGUCAUGGAUGAUGCUAUUUAAAACACUUUCAAAUAUAGGAAACUAUUUUUAAAACUUGGUGACCCAAAUUCUUCAUAAAGCAACUUUUUUCAUCUUUCUUUCCACUUACCACAAAAAGCUUUCCAUAGACAUUGUCAUGCUUACUUGCAUUAGGGCCAUUGGUUUUGGAACAACACCUUUCUUUUUGGCAUCUACACACACACACAUAUAUAUGGUUUUCUGUUUCAACUGUUUUUAAUCAUUAUCAUUAUUUGAGAUUCUAUGGCUUCAAGGCUCAAUCACUUUCCAUAUCUAAACAUUUUUUUAUAUAUAUAUAAAAAACAAAUUAGAAUUGCCUAUUUUUAAAAUUAUCCUCUUAUAAAUACCAAACAUGGGAUCAAGUUCUCCUUCAAUCUUUUGCUUACCUUUCAAGCUCCACCCUACCAAAUGGCUAGCCCAUUAGGUUUAAAGUGUUUCGAUUAUAUGUCAAACACAACUUUCACUCGAAACUCGAACGAGUGUAGUCCGUUGUUAAAGUGGAGAGUAACAAUAAUUUUCAUAUAUAUUUUCAAAAUUUAGAUUAAAAAUUAACUUCGACUGAAAUUAGAUUAAACAUUAGCAAUAAUUGUACCUCUAUUUUAUCUUAUAUUUAACUUUAUUUUAAAUUGUGGAUUCAUCUCCACCCUUGAGAAAACUUCAUUGAAGUUACUUCAUAGGUCUUUUUUCUACUAGUUUUUUUCACGUACGUUGCACGUGGAUGCAUGCUAUAUGUUAAAAUAUAAAAUUAAUAAUAUAAGUUAUAGUAGUAUUUGACUAGUAAUUAUAUUUUUAUAAUUUUUUUAACCUAAUUUAGAGUUAAUCUUUCAUUGUUAAUUAUAAUGAAUGACUAUGUUUCAAAAUUAAUUUCUAUGGAAUAGUGGAUACAAGCUUUUAACUUUUUAAUUAGUGUAUUUAUUUCAAGUUUAGUUAUGAAUUAAAAUGUGAUAAUAUUUAAUUUAUCUUUUAUAAAAAUUAAUAUUAUAUUUCUAAAGUAUAGAAUAUUUUUAAAUUAUAUUAUUGAGGAUUAUUGAAAGAAGUUAUAAAGAAAAAGAAGAAAAAGAGAGUUAAGUAAUAUAUAGAAACAUGAUAGCAAUGACGGUUGGAGAAUUGAUGUAGAAAAUAUUCGUAUGUAUAAAAUGUUAGGUUUUUGUGAGAUUAAGUAGUUAAAUUAUUGUCUUUUACUAUUUUAGAAUUUGAAUGUUUGUAACAAAUAUUCAUAAGUCGUUCAUAAUAGAGAUGAAAUAUAAAGAUCAUAUAAUAUUUUUAAACUAAAAAUUUGAAAAUGUAAGUGUUUCUAAAAUCAUUGAUUUGGAUUUAGUCUCAGCAUAACAAAGAGAUAUAUUAAUUUAAGAUAAAAGACAUAAUAAAAAAGUAAGGUUUUAUGCCAUUUUUCUUUUUCAUUUUAGCUAAAAAAUGAAAGAAAAAAUAUAAUAGAACAUAAUAUGGAAGAAAAUUUUCCAUUCUACCCAUCUAUCUAACUAAAAAAUUAACAAAAAGAAAAAUAGUUUCAAACAAAUAGAAAAUAAGUGAAGAUUUGCAAAAGAUGAAAGAAGAUAUUUGUACAGAUCUCCAACACUGAAGAAAUAAAUCUUGUCUUCUUGCCUUUUCUUCCUCCUCCUAAUUGAUGGUGUGAUUUUUUAGAUUCACUAUCUUAUUUUCUCGUCUUUCUUGUCUCUUUGCACUUCCCUCUCCACUUGACAAUGAUUUAUUGCUUUAAGGAAGUAAGGGGAUAUCAUACAUUUAUAUUGAAUAAAUUAGUAGAAAGUGUGGGUUAGAGAAUUUUAAAAGGCUUCCUUGAAUCGAUUAUCAUGCCUAUACAAAUUCUUCAACUAUCCAUGAACUUAAUUAAGGUAAUAAAAUAUUUUUCAAUCAAAUAUUAAAACGGUUAGAGAAAUUGAGAGGAAGGGUUACCACUAUUCAUGGAUUGAAGUUGAAUGACAAAAUUGUCAUUAAAAUAAAUAGUAAGAAAUCUUAUAAUCAAAAGGGUAUUAUACUAAAAAAAAUUUCUCCAUAUAAGAGCCUUUAUAUAUACUAUAGAUAUAUAAUUCACCAAAACAUUAUUUAUACUUAAAAGAUAACUAUAUCAAAUUAAACUUGAAUGAGUUGUAAAAACGAGGCUGAACUGAAACAUAAAUAUAGAAAAAUAUAAUAUAAUAUAAAUUAAUAAGAAAAAAAUAAAAAAGAAUAUGGAAAUUAAAUAAAAUAAAGGAAAAAAUACAAAGUGAGUGCAGAAUGAAAUUGUAUCGUUAAACUCACCAAAGGACAUUGUUUAUAGGCAAUUUGACAAGUAGGAUGUGAAUUUACUUGGACACUAAGGGUAUAUGUAUACUUGACACAUGGAUGAAGGAGGUGACCUUAUUUGGAUACCUGUCUAUAAAACUACGACACAUGAUAUAAGCAUCUACACUAUUAUAUCAUUAUUUAUAACAUUCUCCCUUAAGAUUCCAUCAUAUAUAUGAAAUAUGCCUUGUUAAAACUUUGUGGAAAAAAAAUCCUAGUGAAGGAAAAAAAUGUUGGAAUUUAUGUUCUAAAACUCGUAGUUUGUAAUUAUAUUCUAUUCAAUAGAGUCGUUAUUAAGAAUUUAUUAGUAAGAUUAAAUACUAUAAUCUUAAAUUCUAUAAACUAAGGGCCCGAUGCUAUUUUGAAUAAACAUGAACUUUAUAUAAAGACAUAAAUGUGGAUCAAUUUCGAGUAUAUAACCUAAAUAGUCUAUAGUAUACGAAUAAGGUUGGACACCUUAUUUUGGAGACACUAUGGAUGUGGCUCACUUUGUAGUUAGUACAAACGAUGUGAUCCUGAAUAGUUAAUGUAGAGAAGUGAAAGUGUGGACAUCCUAUGUAAAGGUUUACAUAAUACUGACCCAUGAAGUAAUCACUUUUAUGUUAUAACGUCAUUUACUGUUUAAAACUGAUUAUUUAUAUUAUUGAUGGCCUAGGUAACUUAACCAUAAUCUUGAGCUAACUAUGAACUCUUGUUCACACGAGAUUAUCCUUAUAUCUGCAUAGGUGACUGCAGUUAGAUCUCUAGCAUUGAUCCAAUAAGCUUCCCAUUUCCGUGAAACUAUGUUGACACUUAAUCCUUCAUUAGACUCACCUCUUAAGCUGCUAAUUACACCUCAUACUUCUCCUUCACAUCAUAAAAUGCAUGAAAAGAUAUUAAGACACUUGGAUUUAGCCUUAAACCAAUUGCCCAAAUCAAGCCACGUUAUUGUCCAAAAUGUCAAGUUAACCUCCAUGACCAUCUCACAUGACAUCCUUAAACACCUAAUAAGCUCCAUAACUACAAGCCUGAACUACUUUCCUUGACUACUUGCUUUAACUACUUGCCUUAUCUACUUGCCUUAACUACGUGCCUUAUCUACUUGCCUUAACUACUUGCCUUAACUUUCCUUAACUACUUGUCUUAACUACUUAUCUUCAUAACCUCUUUGGAGGUUAAUUACUCCUCUUUUGGCUACUCACCAAGUCCAAAACGCCUAAGGUGUGGGCUUAGCCAAUUUUUCCUCUUUUCAACUUAACUUCCCUUUAACUUAAACAUGGAACCUUAAUGCCUUUUCCAUGAUUUUUUACCUUCUUUUUUCUACAAAACUCAUUCUCUCUUGUCCUUGCUAAAACUUAAUAAAUUCCAAAGAUCUAAAUUUUUUUGGGUUUCACAUGUUCCAAUUGUUCUAAAGUGCUACAAAUGAUUUGAUCAAAAUCAUUCAUGUUGAGGCAUUUGAGCGAGGGUAUUUUAUACAAAGAGCUUGUAUAAGACCGGACCAUUAAAUGAAUAGUAUCUCUUAUUAACACUGUUACUUGUUGAGAUCACAUUUCACUAGAGUGACUAUAGGUGACUUGAUCUGAAUUCUGAAUGAGUUGUGAACUCCUAUUGAUGAAGACGCUCCUUUGAUUUGCAUGGGUAAGAGUGACUGAUAAUUUGUAGAAAUACAAGCUAUUCUAGCCUUUUAUGUAAAAUAAUGUGGUCUUAUUGCAUAAGAUUGGAAGAAAACGUGGGGAAAAGUAAAGGAUAAUAUUUGAUUAACUUAUGUUUCGCAAAAUGUAAGAUAACGUUUUCUUUGUUUUAUCGUGUUUUACUUGUCUUAUUGCAGGAUUGUAGACAAAAAGAAAUAAAACAUGGCGAUAGAAGGUUAGGCGAAGAGACAUGUGCAACCAACAAGACUACGAUCACAAGUAUAAGUUAGGCGAUUUGAAGCACUAGCAUAUAAAAUUGGUUUGUGUGAAUGUCAGAAAAAGAACAAAAGGACGUUUUCAUAGUGCCAAUGCAGCUUUAUCAGAAAAUUAAUUAGACGUGGAAUGUCCUGUCAACAUCACUCCCUGCCUAUAAAUAGAGGCGUUUAUUUUAGAGCAAGUUGUACGAAAUUGGAUCCCAGAGAGCAAGCUCAAUCUUCACUUCAUCCUUUCAAUCUUAAGUUUUAGGUGAGAACUUAGAACAAGAGAGAAAACUUUUUCCCCACCAUUUUUCCUCAUCACAAUAGGCAAAAGUUAGAGUCGAGGAGAAUGAUGAAUCAUAUUUGAAGGCUCAAUUCAUUUUUAUAUAUUCCAUUUUGUAUAUUUUUUUUUGUAUUAAAUUGUAAUAGUUACUUUAUGGCCGAGAGGCCUAAAGUUAUGUUUAUAAUGUUAAUACAUUUCUUCUACCAUUCUCCCAUUUCUCUUUUGCUAUCGAUUUUCAAUGCAUUUAAUUAAUUUCUAAACAAUGUAAAGUGUUUUUGAUAUUAGAAAAUCUAGAUGUAUAUCUUGUAAGUUUUGUUUAGUUAAAUACAAAAAUCAAUCCUUGUUUAUUUGAGAGAAAAACAAUCACAUUGAUAGUAAUCACCCGACAAGUGAGAACCCGUGUUUAACUAAGCAAGCGACAAAGAGAUUGUAGCAAUAUAAUCUCAUCGUCAAAUUCAUCCUUCACAGCAGUAACGUGUGCAGUGAAAGCAAAAAAAUAAUGCUCACCUUAAAUUAGGACAAUUUUUUUGUCAAAGGUUUAAGUGUAAAAGAAGGAAAACUUUUUUUCGUGGCAUCCAGAUCAAUGGUUCUAUUUAUGAAAUUAAAAGUUUGUUAAUAUAUUAUUUAAAUUAUACAAUUAUGGUGAAAAUAUUUGAUCAUUUUGCUUAAUUAGUAUACUAAUUUAGUCAUUUGAUUAGUACAUUUUUUUAUAACAAAUUAGUCAAGCAAAGCAAUAAUGAUUAUAUGGCUUGUCCAUAUAAUUGAAUCCUUUUCGAUUUUUCACGACAAGGGCAGAUUUAUUAAGGGAUCAUGGACACGUGCUCUUCUUCACAUUAUCGUUUUUUGUGUUUUAAUAUUAAUUUUGAAGUGCAAGAUUUCAAUAUAUAGCAAAAAAAAUGCAACAAAUCAGUGAUCCAAACUUCCACUCCGUCAAAAAUAUUCCAUGAAAAAGGUAUUAUUCUUUCUUUUUUGUAUGCAAAUUUUAAAUUCAAAUAUUUACAUUACAAAAAAAAUCAUGUGAAAAUUGUCGGUAUUUCUUUAUUGCUACAAAUAUAGUGAAUGUUAUUGGAACAUCAGUGAAAUGUCGAGAUAUGUUUUAAACAUUUUUUAGUGUGUUUAUUAUAUAAAGGUCGGUGCUCCCUAUGUAAAAUUUCUGAAUUUGCCACUGUUCCACGACACAAGUAGAUCGUUGUAUACAGUAAUAACUUUAUCAUCUCAAAAUCGAGGUUAUAUACUCACCGAUGACAGCUAAACAAAAAUUUCUAAUUUUUAACAUAAGAUUGAGAUUUUUUUUUUUUUGUUUUGGAUCCCUAGAUCUCUCAAAUUGUAGAAGUAUUACUUUAAUUUCGUCAAAUACAUCUCAAACUUAAACAAAUCAUUCAGUUUCUUAACAAAAAAAUGUUACAAAAUGAAACAAUGUUACGCCUCCAGUAACUUUUCAGUAGAGAAUUUGAAAAAAGAAAUUAAAUGUCACUUGUGUUCAAUUCAUUAUCAUUGGAUAAGUAAUUGAUAAAAUUUGGUUUGUGAGUUUCAAUUUUUACAAAUUAUUCUAUGGUUAUCUUGUGGAUUUGACCAAAAAAAAUUCUAAAAAUUUAUUUUAUUCAAAUUAAUGAGUUUGUGAAGAUAUUGAGAUUGUAUUUUGUUAGAGGUAGGUGAGGAAUAUAGAAAUUUUAGUGGACUGCUAACACUGCAAAUAUUUGUUAAAUCACUUGUCCAUUUUUAUGAAAUCUAAUGUUAGAUAGGUGUGAGACAUAUGCAUGUGGAGUCCAAGGGGAGCCUACUUUGGUAGAAUUUUGAACUUAGAACUUUUGUUAUUAAUUUUCCUUGAAUGUUCUUGAAGUUGGUAGCUUAUUUAGGAGCUAUUUGGACAAAUGACAUGUGGGCUUAAGAAGUCCAAUUCGACCACGAAAAGUAUAAAGUCAAACGACGAUAAAAGUAUGAAAUGAAAAUUCUUGAAGCAUGUUUUUUUUUUUUAAUUUUAAAGUCAUUCUAGUGACCCACAAGUUCACGCAGUUGAUUUCGUACUUUGGUGCAACAAGGACCUUGAAAAAUUCAUAUUGACUAUUGUUUUUUUUAUCAACUUAAGAUUAUUUUCCAAAAUGUUUACCAAUUUGUGAUAAUUUAGAAAGAUCUACGUAGGGCGUGCAACCCAUUUGUUCUGAAUGCGAAUAAUUUGAGUGUGAAAAUGCACACAAGUUAACUAUUUCUUGCAUGUGGAUUUAUAAUGUAUCUAAUGAAAUACCAUUACUCAUUAAUUUUAGUUGAUAACUACUUUAUCAUCGUUGAAGUGAUGCCAAACAAGUUAAGGAGUAAGUAACAAACCCUUAAUUAUUCCAUUUUAUUUCGAUAGUAAGAAGCUGUAAAGAUCAACAAGGAUAGCGGCAAAGACAAGUAUCACUUGGGGUUCGAAAGAAAAAGCACAAUCCCAUUGCACCUGCUCCAAAUACGUGUUUGCACCCACUCGCACACUCGGCAUCCUUGCAACCUCCUCCAUGCAAAGCCUUCUCGCAUAGCCCUUCACCUUCAACACUUCUCAUCAUGAUAGUUUCCCCUGCAUUCAUUCAAAAUCCAUAAACCCAACCUCAAUAAUCUUGUAAACAAACCAUAAACUCUAUGAAGUAUUUGAAUCUUCUUGUUUUCUUUGUGGUAAAUUAACACAACUUGAAACUACUACGUACAAUAUCACUUACUUACAUCGGGUAGAAUUCUUAAAAAAAUUAAACAAAACUGGCGAAAAGAAAUUAAUCAAAAGAGAAGGCGAGCAUGUGAUGAUGAAAUUAAAACAAAUAAUACAAGCUAAAGAGGGGAGUACCACUGAAAACGAGUAAAAGUGCAAGAAGAAUGGCUGAGAAGGAGACAGACUUCAUGUUUUUAAUUUUUGAUAUACUUCUUGCAAAUUUUGAAAUGAUAGUCUUUGGGUAUUUAUAACAAAAGUAAUUAUGUUUGGAUUUGUGUAACUCUUCCCAUCUGCAUUAAUUUCCCAAACCCUUUUUAGAAAGUUUGGUUGUCAUAUGCUACGUUUUCUCAUCUUUUCGUAAGAAAAUUGAUUAGUUUCUUUCCGUAAUUGGUUCAAAAUUUAAAAGGAUAUAAAGUUUUUUUUCCUAGAAUCAAGAUACAAUAAUUGAUUUAUUUAUGAAUUUAAAAGUUACUUAAUAUAUUAUUCUCAAAAUAUUUGAUCAUUUUGCUUAAUUGGUAUACUAAAUUUAGUCAUAAUUUGAUCAUUACCACAAUUUUUUUCUAUAACCUAACGUUGAAGUAAUGCAGUAGAGAUAAUGUGGCGUGUCUCGAUAAUUUAUUAUUCUGUUCUAAUUUUCCAUUACAAAAAUAGGUCAUCCUAUAGAGUAAUAACUUUAACUUCUCAGAAUUAAGGUUAUAGACUUGGUGAUGACAACUAAAUAAAAAGAAAAAAAAAUUUAACUUCAAAAUCGAAAAAAAAAAAAAUUAUGUUAAACUCUUAAAUCUCUCAAGUGGUAGAAGUAAUACUCUAAUUUCGUCAAGUUCAACUCAACUUAAAUAAAUGAUUCUAUCGUUUAACAAAAAAAAUGUUAAAAAAUGAAACAAUGUGAUGACUUCGGUAACAUAAAUUUUUUUUUGACAAAAAUAACAUAAUUUUGGUUUUUAUUUUUAAAAGUUUUUAACAGUAGCACGUUUUUUAAAACUUGUAAAAGUAUUUUUCUCGAUCAAUUUUGGACGUGAGUGACUACCAAAUUUUCUCUAAUUUAUUAAAAUUUUCAAAUUAUCAAUUGUUUUGGAGUUUUUAGUGCAUCUCGGUAGACAAUUAGAUCGAGAUUCGACCAUUUUUCAAAUCUUUCCUAAUUUUAUUUAAUUAUUUUAUCUUUUAAAAAGUAAGUAUUUAAAUCUUCCGAAAUGAUCUUCCACCAAAUGAAAACUAAUUUUUGCUAAUUUUGCCAAAUUUCCCAACUAUUUCUCGUAAAUUACCAUUUCUCCAAAACCACUUCAUGCGAUCCAAGGGAGGCGUGCUGACUAGACACUCAAUGCGUAUCUCAACAAGAUAGCAUGCUGAACACCUAGUGGGCGGAAAGACUUUAACUAUCACUUAACACAACUUGAAUUUCCGCUUUUAUUGUCUAGUUCAACUUAACAUUGGUAAACAACAACGAAGCAGAGUAAUAACAAAUAACUUUUCUUUAUUAACUUACCAACUUGCAAUUUAAUAACAGGACAAGUUCUCUUUACAACAAGCUUAAAACAUAAACUUAAAUUGUAAUACUCUAACAAGUCUUUCUAACUGAUUGACUUAACAACAACAAAGCUUAGCAUUCAAGGAUGCAAAAUCAUUUACUUGAAAAUGUGAGAAAUCAUUUGAAAGGUUAAGUUAAAAGGACUUGGUGAGUGAUGAUUUUAUAAAAUAUGCUUUGAACAUUAAACCUUUAAAGCUUAAAUCGUCGUGUUCAUUCGAAUAUCUGCACCUCUUCUUCAAGUUGGUUAUUUCUAAAAGGCACGUUCAUUUAUGAAACAAUGCAACUCUACAUGAAUGGUUAUACAACAUUUAUUCCAACAACAAUCCCCCCAUAAAUGGUAAAUUGACAAUUUUAGAUUAAAAAAAGGAAAAAGAAAAGUGUUCAGUUUUUUUUCAAUGAAGAAUUGGCAUUGAAAUAAGUAGUAAACACUUUGAAUUUUUCCUAGUGAACAUCGGUUGAGUUUACUUAGCUAACCAGUGGACUUUAUGCCUCGAACUGUUAGUCACUUUAGAGUAAACUAAAACAAUUGAAGUCAUAUAGUUUCUCAUUAUGACAAAGUUUGUUAUCAUUUUUUUUAAUCUAUUUUUAGCAUUGAACAAUGGCUAGUCUCAUUAUUGUUUUAGAGAAUUCACCUUAAAAUUUUCAUAGAAGUGACACAUUCACAUUCACAUAGGUAAUUCCUAUAAUUAAAGAGCUCGAAUAUGCUCUUUUCACAAAUAAUUAUUAAACCACUUAUAGAAACCAUAAAAGUAUAGUUGCUUACCCUAAAACCACAUUUGCAUUAUCUCAUCAUCCUCAAAGGUCGAUUUACCUGUUGAGCUAGAUCUUAGAAUUUUCAAUCAACUAAAUUUCGUUGUCUCUCUGUUUGACAUUUUAAAUUCAAGGCUUUAAUCUCAUCCUCCUUAAUGAACUUUCUUUCAACGUACACUCUAGUUAGACCUUUUAAAAAUGAAUUUGCAAUAUUAUCUUUUUGACUUUACAAAGUCAAUAAGAUGAUUCCACUAUAAAGUUGUUUGAUAAUUGUACUAAAUAUUUGUUAUAUAAAUCAAGAUUUAUUAUGAUUCUUAAAGUGGUAUAGAAAUUUCUUUUAUACAUAACUCAAACAUAAUCCAACCUCUGUUUUUUAAAAAAAUAAAAAAGUGCUUCCCAUUGUUCUAAACUUGGACUAUCAAUUUAGGAAUAGUCACUUUUUCCAAAUACCUCAACAUAGAUUUCAACUUUUUUAGAAUUCCAAUGAGUUUGAUACGUUUCACAUAUGGAGUUCUAUAUAGUAUAUAAUUAACAUUUAACCCGGGAGACAUAUUCACUUAAUGUAUAUCUUCUAUCCCAUUUGCUUGCAAAAAAAAAAUUAAGGAGAUAAGCUAAAAGUUUCUUCCAGAGUCUCAGGCUUAAAGCAAAGAAUCUCGGAGCCGUGGUGUUAGGACUCGAUCCUAUUCAGCCGAGAGAAAGACAAAACAAAGACAAAUGUGAAAAUCUCAGGCCUUGAUUCAACCGAGAUUAGAAACAAAUUUUUUUUUUUCAAAGCUCUCAGGCCAUCCUGGGGUUGUGCUAUGUUGAACUUGAACGAGUUUAAAAAAAAAAAUUGUUUUAUGAGAGCGCGAAACAAUGAUUAUGAAAAAGUUAUGUUGAAAAAAUGUAAAGUAAUUGAAAGAAUAUGUAUAUUUAUAGACUAUUCAUGACCGUUCGAAUAUUCGUUUAUCUUUGUUCAAGUUCGUUAUUUUGAUAUAAAAGAUAGGUUUAUUUUUUAAAUAAUCCAACUCUACCCCCACACAUAUAUACCAUUUAUUUAGCUGCAUUUUUCUACAAAAUCUUUGCAAAGAAAACAAACUUUUAAGUGACUAAAUUCUAUAUCUCAUAGUAUUUUUUACAUAUAUAAUCAAAUUCUUAGUGGACCUCUAAGUGAACCACUUUUUAAUUUUAAUUAAUCUAUCAGUUUGUCAUUUAGUUUACACCCAAAAGAAAAUAUUAAAAAAUAAAAAGCCCCCCAAUUAGAUAGUUCACCUAAGAUUCCCACUCAAUUAAUUGAACCUAAUUACAUUUUUUUUCUAAAAAAAAUUGACUUCUUUUUUCUUUUGCAUAAUGGUCCUUUAAAAAAUGAUCGUAGGGCCUCACAUGUACAUGCCCAAAGACUUUCCCCCUUCCCUUAUAUAUACAAAUCACACAUAUGAACUCUUCACAAUCUAACCCUCUUACAAAUUAUCCUUCAUUUCUCUUCUCUCUCUCUCUCAAAUAUUUUUCUUAACAUUCUCUCUUCUACUCGACUUCAACACAAACUAUCCAUGCAAGGCCGCAACAUAUCAAUUUCUAAAAUCAGCUUGGAGUUUGAGCCAUGGCCUGAAAUCAAACGAAGACGAAAGUGAAACACGUAAAAUACCUCAACUACAAUUGCGAGGACAAUCAUGAUCCUCAUGGCAAGUCUAACGCUUGGCUAAAAUAGUUUUUUCUUUGAGUAUAACAAUGAUCUCUUGAGUUAGGGUUCAAGUUGAUCCUCUUUUUCUUUUCAUCUGUAAGCACACAUAUAUAUAUCUUUUGAUAUAGCUUCUUUUACGAAUUUUCUUUUCUUUUUUAUUAUUGGAUAUCAUAUUGAAUUAACCUUUAUAAACUUUUGUAUCGAAUUUGGUGAUUUAAGAUUAUUCAUGAAUCAAACUUUGUGUUAACUGUGUGAGAUGUUAAAGGCAAUAUUCAUGGAAGAUGGAAGGUUUAGUCUUGUAAACUUUCAGAACAUUUUGAGGAAUAAAUAUUUAUGUUUUAGUUUAUUUAAUUUUAUUAGCCAGCAAUUAGAUUUAUUAAUCUCUUUUUCUCUUUAAUAUUCAUGUGGGGAUGUUCUACGUAUGAAACACCAUCAUCAACCCUCUCUUUGUAUGUGUGGUCUUUACUGUUUGGUGAUAUGUAUAUGUUUGGAUGAGAAAUUUUGAUCAUUCAUAGUUAGUGUUUGAAACACUUGGGGAAGGAAAAAGAAUUAAAUAGGAUAAAGCAAUAUCAAAUAUAAUAUUGCUAAUUAACUUUUUUAGUGGAAGCUGUUGUUUAAACAUUGGUUUUUAGUAAACAAACAGUUAACCUCUUAUUGUGUUUAAAAAGGUUUGAAUAACAAGGACGUGUUCGUUAAACUUGUUUGUUUUCUAGAUUUUGUUUUUGAUAAUUAAUUUGUAAAGACAAUUAUUCAAUUUUUUGUUUUUAAAUAGAAAGAAUUUGUUUUAAAAUUAUUUAGUGAAAAACUAAGCUAAAAAAUGAAAAACAAAAAUUUAGAAAUAGAAUUUAAAAAAAAAUCGAAAAUGGACAGAGCUAAACUUUUGAACAAUAUUUUCAUUUAUCUAAUUGAUUUCCAUAUUUUUUUUUAUGAGCUAUUUGAAUUCGAAUUUUGAGUAGAAUUUUGAAAACUAAGGUUCAACUCUGGUUUAUUUACAAUCAAUUUUUAAUUUUUCUGUACAACCAUUUUUUAAUACUUUUAGAAAUCGUUUGUGGAUUUAAUUAAAUUCAAGUUUUUAAAAACUAUAUUUUAGAACUAUUGUUCGAAAUCUUGAAAACUUUGCUUGCGUUUCCAAAACAGCCGUGAACAAAUUAGAAAAAAAAAAAAAAAAACGGAAAUUCAUAUCAGGUUCUCUAUCCAACACCAAAAAUAAAAAAUUAGGUGGUUAUUAAUUAGACCCAAAAGGGUCAAAAAAAAAAAUUGUUUUCAAAAAUAGAAAAAAUCAAUAAAGAAUAUAGAGCAAAAAUACUCAAAAGAUAAAAUAAAUUAAUUAUAUUUGAUUUUUCUAUGAAGCUAAAUAUUUGAUGAAAUGUUAUAUUUUUUACGAUUUUUUUUGUGGUGAAUGUGAAAUUUAAUGAAAAAAAUCAAAUGUUUUUUCUAAAGAAAUAUAUAAUUAUUUUAAUUAAAUGAUAAAAAUUCAUGCUCAACCUUUUCUUUUGGAAUAAAAAAAAGAGAGACAAUUUUUUUUGGCAUUUAAAGAGGUAGGAAGUUAUUAACUUGGUUAAGUAUUUACGUGAAGGAAAAAAAAUGACAAAACAAACCCAUUUUUCAAAAACAAAAAAUGAAAAUCAAAUAGUUAUAGAAAAUAAUCUAAAUAAGUAUAUUUUAAAAUAAUAUUGAUUUAUUUGAAGAAACUUAGGCAUGAGAAAGAACCAAUUUCUCAUGUAUUAUUGAAUUCAACUGGGAGGAAUUACAAUAUGUUUGUAUGUGAUUUUGAUAUGAUAUAGUCAAUUUUGUCAUUUGUCAAAAUUACUUUCUGUCACACCAUAUUCCAAAUUACUUAACACAACUUAAAUAAAAUUUAACUAAUUAAUAUCAGGCAACGGAAAUUAAAUCAGUAAACGUCUCUUAUUAAUUCAAACCCAAUGGUUUCUACGAUAGAACAAGACAUGAUACAAAUUUUUUCAACAAGUUAAACAAGGAAAUGUUGAAAGUCUUCAAAGUCUUCAACCUUUAGUGAUAUCGUUUAGGUUCUCAAUAUGAUAGUGUAGUUUAUAUUAACCGAUCGCUUAGCCCUGAUCACUUGUCCUUUCAAACACGAUCGCUUACCUCAUACAAUUCGGGGAGUGAAAAUUUAAAACGUAAGUCAAAAGAUUUAGUGAAUGAUGCUUUUAAAAGCCUUUUGGAAAUACAGUUCAUAAAUCAUUUUCGUUUAAACAUAGGCUCAUCUCCUAAAUUCAAUAACACAUUUCAAAUCAUAAAUACACAUUAGUUUCACUUAUUCCUUUCACCAAGACACGAACCAUUCUCGUGCAUGGACUACCUGUGAUGACCUUUUCAUCAACAACAUCCUUGAAAAUUUUCUAGUUCUUCAUUCCUUGUUGCUCAGGUUUCCUGGCAUAAUAUACAUCUUUUAUGCAUUAUCUCGCCUCAUUCCACAUGCAAGACUUCUCUAAUGGUUUGAACACAAGUUCACAUUCAUUUGAAACACAUAAAGCAUAACAUAAGCUUUCAUUCGAAAUUUCUUUGCGAACAUUCAUGUAUCAAAUAUUAAUACAAAUCAAUAUGAGAUUAGAAGAAAGCUUUUAAAAUCUGUAAACAUUUUAAAAAAUCAUUCACAAUACUAAGUUCUCUUUCUUUGUUUAGAACUCUUCUCCGAUUUUUUUCUUACUUAUCAACCUCUAGGUUUUCUCUUUUUAAAAUAGCCAUAAUCAUCCUCCUUUCCUUUUGUCUUCUUCCUUCAUUUAUAUUAAUCAUAAGUUGGAUUAGUUAUUCUUUAAACUCCUAUAAUUUUGUCAGCUCCUGCUUAAUUAAUUAAGUUAUGAAUCUUCGUAUGCUAUGACACCUGGAAACCACCUCACUGAUUUAGUAAUUAUAAUGCUUUGAGCGACAUAACCUCGAGAACUUCUUCAACUUUCCUACACUAUAUCGUUUAGAUUCCUACACUAUCAUUUGAUCUUUUACAUGAUCGUUUAACCUUUUACACGAUCAUCAACCUUCUUGUAUAAUCGUUUAGAUUCCUACACGAUCGUUUGAUCUUUUACAUGAUCAUCGUUUGAUCUUUUACACGAUCGUCUAGCUUGUUACACGAUUGUUUACAUUCUUAUACAAUUGUUUAAUCGAAUUACCUUUUAUUCAGAAAUGGGUCUCACACUUUCCUAUUAGAAGACAAAUAUUUUUUCGACGCAUAGGUAGUCUAAAUUUCAAACUCAUAAAAUGGAAAUGGUUGCUGUUUAUAUUUUGGUUUGGAUCUAUAAUGCUGGUCAUUGACCAUCAUUGUAGUUUUGAUUUUCUUUCUAUUUUUGUGCGAUUUUUCCGUCCGUCCUUUGUACAUGCACACAAACAAAACAAAAGAUGUAGUUUUCUCUAGUGAGUUCUUAUUAAUACUAACUAAAUGUUUUUAAAUCGACCUUCACUCACGAGGUCAAACGUUUCAAUUAGGCCUAAAUUGGGACCUCGACCCAUGUGUUAGACAAAGAGGUGAUCCCAAAUCUAUCAUCUUAUAUUCUAUAAGAAUUUGAGUAUGAUAUGCCUUUAGAUAGUGAGGUUCUGAACAAUAGCGAUGAUUGUUGUACCUAAUUAGUAUGCUUUCCAUUUUACCACACAAAUUAUUUCUUUAAGAAAAAAGAAAUCAAAUAAUCUCUCGAUAACUUUUUAUUGAGCACUAGAUUAUGUUAAUCCGACUAAACUCAAAUUUUUUCUUUUAUCAAAUAACAAAUAACUAGCCACUAGUUUUCAUGGACCUAGGGGCAACAAGAGGAAUGUUUAAAAUUAGGUAACUCGUCUUAAAAAAUGAACAAUUGAAAUAAAGUUUGAAAAUAUAUCUAAUUGUAAAUAUUAAGCCAACAUUUUACUAUUAAACUGCUUGCAUGUCUAACAAAAAAAAUAAGUUUAGAAAAGAUAGAUCAUAUCACAAACUUAUUUAUUUUCGUAAGAAAGGCAAGUAAAUAAAUAACUCAACCUGUGAUACAUUUGAUAUACACAUGAUACACUUGAUAUACUUAGAUACAUAGUUGACAUACACUUCAUAUAUUUGAUCCACUUGUGAUAUUCUCUUUGAUAUAUUUGAUAUACCUUUGAUAUGCACUUGAUAUCCUUUCACUAGGCAUUUGAUACACUUGAUAUACACUUGUACAGAUUUGAUAUCUAUACACAUGAUAUAGACACUUGAAAUACAAUUGGUACAUGUUUAAUACACACUUGAAGUACCAAAUAUUUGGAUUUAUGAUAAAACCUUUUGAAUUUUGGUUAAAGGAUUGAAAAAUGAAAAAUAUAUAUUUAUUGUAGAAAUAUAAACCACAAAACACAUACCAUUAUAACCCAAACUAAAAUAAUAUGCACAAUUAUAAUAAGUCACUUCUUAUCUUAAAACGUCCCAAAAAAAGUGUUUCACAUUUUUAACCAUAAAGUUGAUAGAGAUCAACUUAUUUACAAAAAAAAUGUCAUAUUGUUUUAUUUAUCCAAAUGUCAUCAGACGUAUGACAAGUGUAUAUCAAGUUUAUUGCUAUUAAAUUAUAGUGUCUUUCUCAACGUUUAUGUAUCAAGUGUAUCAAAUUUAUAUCAAACGUACCAUAUAUAUAAAUGUAUAUUAGAUGUAUCAGGUGUGUAUAAGAUAUAUUAUAUGUUUUAAGUAUAUAUCAGAUUUAUCAAGUGUACCACUUUGUGUUAAACUUAAUGUUUUGUCAUAUCUACAAGAUAAAGAAAAUAUGCAAUAAACACGUAAAUUUCUUAUUCAAAUUGUCAUCUGGUGCAACGUUUAUUUUUUAUUUAUAAAAAGAAAAUACAUAACCCUUGAGUUUUUGUAUUCUAAUAAUAAUAAAAAAAACCUAAAAUAGAAGUUUCUUUAAUGUGUGGGGGAGAAGGCCUAUCAAUAAACAAAAUAACAAAUGUGCCAAAAGUUGGAACCAAAUUAAAUUAAAUUUGGAAAAGAAGUAAUAUCGGAAGGUUUAGAUAAGUGAUAUAUACCCGAAAAUACACCUAAGUAAAGUAGUAUAUAUUGAGAAAUACAUAAAAGAAAAACUAAAAACUAAAAAAUAUCACCAACUACAUUAAUGAUUAAAAUGAUAAACAAACACACAUCUUCAAUAAUCAUUCCAACCUACAAACUUCGAAUGUGAACUGUUUAUUACAAAUAAAAAUAAAGGUUCCACCGAGAUUUGAACUCGGGUUACUGGAUUCAGAGUCCAAUGUCCUGACCACUAGACCAUGGAACCGUUUUUGCUUAAUUUUCAUUAACCUUUUAAUUACCAAAUUAAAUCAAUUUUCUUUCUCUAAGAUUUUAUUUGAGAGAGAAUAAUAAAAACAAACACAUUUUCCCUACAUCAUUCAAAAACAAAAACAGAUAGUGAAUAUAAUGCUUUCAAUACCCUUUCUUGAUGAGAUAGGAACUCAUAUUAGCAUCAACAAACGGCUCCCAAGUCUCCACAUUCCUUUUAACACAGACACAUUUUGGCAUCGGUAAAGCCUUUUCGGAUGAGUCUCGCCACCAACGGUCUAAUUAUUUUAGUGUCAUUAAAGGUUUUCAAUAUAAAAACAAUGUGUAAUGAUUGUCGUAAUCACUUUUAUUGUAUACUAUAUACGCUAAAUUUUUAAUUUAAUAUUUCUUUACGUGCACGUGAUAACUAUAUUUUUGUUGUUGUAUAUUUCAAACCUAAAAAUUUCACACUUUUGUAAGGUGUUAGAAAACUUUGUUGAUGGACUUUAAAGUUCUAAUAUCUAGAAAUUUAACCAAAGUGAUAUUAUGUUAAACAAAGAAAGAUAUGAAAAAACAUGUGAAGCAAAGGAGGAUUAAAAGACGAAGUGGUGUAGUUUGGUGAAUGAAAAAGGUGGAAUUUUUGGUUUGUUUGGUUUUCUAAUAAUUAUUAUAUCCAUUGAGAAAGUGAAUAUUGUGUUCCCCACCCAACCUCUAAAGAGAAAAGGUUGUGUUGUAUGAUCUGUACAUUUCUGUUUGUUAAUAAUGUGAUGAAAUUUAAAAGUGAAAAACUUUCUGUUUUCAAGAAAUAAAUUAAGACUUAAAGGAUAAGGAUAAUGAUUCAUAAAAGUCUUUAACUUUCAAAAUUAGCAUUACUUUUUACAAUUAAUGUAUCACUUGCCACUAUAUCUCUCUCACUUGGGUGAGAAAAGACAGUCCAACUUCAAGAAGAAAAAAAUACUAUUAAACAACUGUAUCAAAAUAAAGUAUAAAGGAGCGUCAUUUCCAUUUUUCUAUUGGUUUUUUGACUCAUCAUAUUGUGAUAGUUUCUCGUUUCAUGGUUCAUGUUCUUUUGUUGUUUGUUUUCUAUUUUAAAAAAAACAAAAAAAGAUUAGUUUAAUAACGUUAAUUAUUCAAGAAGAACAUAUGUAUUGAAAAUAAUUCAUAUGAAUUAACUUAAAUUAAUGAUAAGUUCUUCAACACCCUGAAACAAAAACAUUUAACCACAGAUCUGUGCUAACAAACAUAAUCUUAUACAUUUGCAGCAACAACAAAAGAAGCAAGGAGAAUAAAGAUAAAGAGGACAAACUACUCUCAAUGCGAAGCAUUCCCCAUUGUUGAAGUUCGUCAAUCUCUCCUCCAUUCGCACUUGAGAAUCUUGUAGAACCUUGACUCCAAACGAACCUCUAAAUCUCUUCCUCUAUGUUUAGUUAGGCUAAAAAGUAUUUUUAUGACUCUUUAACCUAUAGCACCAUUGCACUAUGUGUAGCGCUACACCAAACACUUCUCAUUUCCUAUUUGUAACUCACGUCAAGGAUAAAGUCGCAACGUUGACUUAUUUUUGUGCACCCUUUCGUCUUUCGUUUUCUUUUUUCAACUUUUGGCUCGAUUUUGACUUCCUUGGACACAUAUUUUGUCAUUUUUAGCUCAUUUUGGUUUUGAAUCUCAAUCUAAGACAACCUCUGGAAAUUAGUAAACAAACAACAUCAAAUCUAAUAAAUCAUUAAAAACUAUUCUAAAUCCAAGAGAAAUAGUACACAAUUUACGUAUAUUUCACUCCUAAUAGUUCCAAAAAUUAACCUCGGAUGACCAGUAACGCAUUGUAAUGCAUGGAUUGCUCGAGGUGCUACAAAUAUAGACAUUUACACAUUAAUAGCAUUACUAUAUAUAUACAAGUGAGAUUAGAGGCCCUAAACUUGCUCAUUUAGGAAGCUAUGACUAGUUGGUAUUGAAAACAUCCAAAAGAAAAGAGUAGGUUCUGCUAACAACUUAACAUGGAGAUUAAAAUAACUCUUACUCUAUUGGAUUCUAUGUCCAUAUAUCAUGGUUGUAAUAAUUAACAGGUUAUUUAUUUAAUAAAUUAAACUUAUUUCAAUUGACAUGAUUUAAAUUUAGUCCAAACUUGUUUAAUGUAUUCAAAUAUGUGAAUAGAAUCAUGUUAAGAAAUAGAAAAGAUAUUCUUUAAUGGUCAGCUGCUGAUAAGAAAAGUGAUGGAAGUGGACAAAGAAAGGAAAGAAGAAGAAGAAAGGCAGUUGUACAAAAUCAUAAUGUGGGGAAGAAUUUGAUCCUUGUCUCUUCCAUAUUGUAUACUCCAUUGCCAUCCAAGAGAUCACAAAAAACAGCUCUUAAUAAAUACAUUGUGAAAUAGGAAGAUAAAACAAUUCAUUUCUGGGUGUUAUCAACAAAAUUUCCAAAUAUGGAGGGUUAUAUAUUGAAAGCCUUCUGUCAAAUAAUAAAGGAAAAGAAAAUCCAUAUAUUUUUUUUGUCCCUAACACUUUUAUCCGUAAUAUCUUAAUACUAAUGCUCAAUUUUAAUGAUUGAGAUAAUCAAUUCAUGUUGAGCAAAAAGUUAUGGGAUAGUUACAAAUUUAGUAAUUAAAUUCAAAAUAAUUAAGUAUAUAAUAAUAUUUUUAAAAAAUUGCAAAUAUAGUAAAAUUUGUCAAAUUCUAUCAAUGAUAGAAGUCUAUCACUGAUAGGUCAUGUUGUAAAUAUUGGUCUAUCAAUGAUAGAUCAUAACGAGUCUAUCAGCGAUACAAGUUUAUCAACGAUAGUUUUGCUAUAUUUGUAAUUUUUUUAAAAUGUUGUUAUAUCCUUAAUUAUUAUUCCUCAAAAGGCUAUGCCAUUACAAUUACCCAAUGGACGGCCAGUUGAGGAAUAAUAAUUAAAGAUAUAUCAACAUUUAAUUUUUUUUUACAAAUAUAGCAAAACUAUCGCUGAUAGACUUGUAUCACUGAUAGACUCGUAUGAUCUAUCGGUGAUAGACCAAUUUUUACAACAUGAUCUAUCGGUGAUAGACUCUAUCAUUGAUAGAAUUUGACAAAUUUUGCUACAUUUGCAAUUUUUUUAAAAUGUUGCUAUAUACUUAAUUAUUUUGAAUUUAAUUGCUAAAUUUGCAACUAUCCUAUUUAAGAAAAAACUAACAAGAGCCAAGUCCAGUUCGACUUCUUCAUCCCUCUCAUCCUUGAUUUUUGAGCGAGUAACAUUUUAUAAUUAGAAUACAAGAAUUGAAUUGGGUGGUUUUGUUAAGGGUACUUUAUUGAUUAAAAUUGCCAAAAACAUGAAAAAGAGGAUUCCCUCAAUAUGAAGCCAAUAUAUCAUCAGAAUUGUAACGACGAGAACUUUUAAGCUAACCUAGUGUCAUUGCUCCAAAGAUAAAUAUCAAAAGAUAUUUUCUUGAAAAGGGAAAACUAAAAUUUUUAUAAAACGAAUAUCAAUAAAUGUUCGAAGACAUAAAAUCGACAAAACCAAUAAAAAUAAUUUGAAAACGUGACCCGCGGGUUCUGACAAUUAAUUCUUUAGAGAAAUAAAGAUAUAUAAAUGAGAUAAAACUUUAAAUAAAGCUGAGUCUCUAUAUGGCAUAUCAUGGACCCUUCCUGUCGCUCGCCAACUUUCUAGAUCCUCUACUUUUGUCUGAAAUAUUAAACAUAGAAAAUAGUGAAUAUUUAAAAUAUGCUCAAUAAGAGACCCACUGCUGGUCCUAUUAGGUGAUCUGUUAACUUUUUGUUUGUAACAUAAUAAUAGUAUCGUGUGUCCAAUGGAGCACACCAAGGUGAAUCGCAUGAGCAGCCUUAAUCGUGCGAGUGAUUUUGAAUGAACACCCCAAGUCGUGCGAGUGAUCGUAGAUACACCCUGAGCGAGUGAGACUUUAUGAACACCCCUAGUCGUGCAAGUGAUUGUAGGUACACAUUCCUAAAUAUGUCUGUGAUAUGUAAUGUUGAGAUUUUAGUCAAAAAGGAUUUAAUUUGAAUUUCUUCUUAUAUAUGAAAAGAUAUUAUUAAAGAUUCAAAUAAUUAUUUUGCCUAUCUUUUGGGAAUAUAGGUAUAUCUUUUAAACAAUCAAUAUUUGGAAGAUAAACUCGAAUAUAUAUAUUCAUCCACAAAAAUAUAUAUAUAUAGUUUUCAUGGUGAUUGUUGUGUGUGUGAAAGACGACUAACCAGGAUUUCAUUGAGACAAAUUUUUGCUUUAUCAAGUUAGUCUGUUGAAGGUAUGAUUAUUGCCUUUUGAUAUAUAUAAACUUACAGUAAAGAUAGUCAACCGAUGCGAUGAAAUAUGAGUGAUAAGAAAUAUGAACUAAAAUCACCUUAUCGAGGAUUCAAUCCAUUAAUUUACACAGACACCGUAUUUUGAUAACUCACAUUGUGAAUUUAUUUUAUUUGGAUCUUUCUAAAUAGUUUUAAUUAGUUUAUUUUACAAUGCUUCGAUAAUUAGUUUUUUUUUUUUUAAAUUCCAUCUUACUCUUAUGUAGAUAAUUUUUUAAUUUUAAGACUUUAUUACACUAUAAAUGUUGUAAUACUUAAGCUUAGGAGUUAAACUUGCAAUAUUUAUGUUUUUUUUAGCUUAGAGAGUAAAAAUAUAAGUUUAAAAACUGAACAAAUUUAAAAAUAUUAACAAGGAGUUUUUUCUCACCGGGAACAUCAAAUGUCUCGUAGUGAAUUACCUAUUCGUUUAUUUCUUAAUUGAAAAAUAAAAUUAUUUUAUGAAUAUGUCAUGUUAGGCUCUAAGUAUGUGACUCAAGUAGGCGACUAGGCUAGGGUCAUAUGAUAAAAGGGACACAAUCCUACUUAAGCGUUAGCUAACUUUAGUAAUUCAUUGUUUUAGUACAAGGAAAACUAAAUAUAGAGGUUUCUUGGGUAAGUCAAGGUCAAACACAAGGAUUUGGUGAUGAUAAUGGGUUAAUCACGUGUUCUAACUUUAUAAGUUAUCUAUACAGUAUGUUGAUAUGAAAAUAUAUUUUAUCCUAUGUAUUUACACUAUUGUGAGAUGGUAACAAGAUUGGGAUGGUGAUGAAACGAAACGAAACAUGAACUCAUGUAUUAAGUGAUGAAAUGAAAUGAAACGUGAACUCACGUUAGGCAAUGACAUGAAGGAGUGUUUAACUAAUUAAGUGUAACGCAAGAAAUAACUGACGCAUUUAAGUGAUACAGAGCAUUUAUUAACUUCAGAAUUAAGGUGAGCAACCUCUCGGUGUUGUCGUCAUACUUGCUCACCUUUUGGGACCCAAAUACUUAAAGCUAAGAGAUGAUUUGUAUCUAAUCUUUCUGACUGAAUUACAAGCAACUCAUCUUAUAUUAAGGCAAGCAACUUCUUGGUGCCUUCUUCGUACACACUCGCAUUUCUGGUAUGUAUGCUAAGGAUAAGUUCAACGACAAGAUUGCAAUGUUACAAUCUUUUUGUCGUCUGUUUAGCUAAAUUCAAGUCAUCAUGCGACAAGUGACAACAACUAAUACUUUGUCUUUUCUCUCGAAUAGGACAAGGCAUUAACGACCACAUUGAAUUGAACAAAACAAAUAACGCAGACAUCCAGAUUCUCUAAUAUUAAUUACGUCUUAUACUAUAUACACACAAUUACUUAAACACAGGUGAAAUGGCGAGAUAAAAAAAUGGGAGAGUAAAAGUAGAAAUGUAUUACGCUCAUAAUUAAAUCUUUAGGCCUUUCGGCCAUGGAUUUUUCAUUACAAAAUAAUACAGAAAAAUUAUGAAUGGAAUUACAUAAAAAUGAGGCGAGCUGCAGAGUAUAAUCUCUCAUACACGUAGCUUUGUUUUUGCCUUUUACACUGAGGAAAGCAAAGUGGGGAUCUCUCUCUUCUAAGCUCUCACCUAAAACAAAGGAAGGGGAUGAAGGUUGAAAGCGUGCUCUCCAGUAAAGAAUUUUCACACUUUUUGUUUUGAAGAUGCAACCACUGUUUAUAGGCGAGGUAUGAUAAGACAUGAAAUAACAUGGGCUUCAUUUAAUUUUUUGAUAAAGUUGCUUUGGCCACAUACAUCCUUUUCUGACAUUCAUGCCAACCAUUUUUGUCUGCUAUUAGAAUGUUGCUUGGAGUAAAAAACCUACUUGGGGGUUUUUGUUUUGUUUAUGCCAACCUUGCUUUCAUGAAACUCUCGCUCAAGAUGUGGGGAUUGUGAUUCAUAGGACUUAACAUUCAAACUAAUUAUAGAAUGACUGUUUGUUUGUUUUAUGGUGUGGAUGUGUCAUUAGACAUGGAUCAUUGCAUGCAUAAUGCUCUCUAAUAUUCACUUCAUCAUGCGAGUUGAUAUGAUCAUUGCAUGCAAAAUGCUCCCAAUGUCUCUACCACUUAUUGCUACGUUCGUAAGUGCAAGUUUUUAUAUUGCUUGCCCCAAGAGAAGAGACUUCACUCCUCUUAGUUGGAUAGUGUAAGCAAAAUAAUAGGUUUACUUGGGUGUGAUCCAGAUCGUACACAGGGAAUUGAUAUCAAAGCUUAGUUAUAGGGUCUACUUAUCAGCUAGGCGUUAUGGCAAAUGAGUUAAAAGAAUAUAAAAAGAAUCAAAACGACCUAACUAUUCUAGAGAUGUUGUAAAGUUAAUUAAAUGAGGUGGUUAUGCAAUGGAGGAAUGAGUGAACUAACUUGUAUGGGGAAGGUGGUGAAGGAAUCUCUAAUGCAAUCAAGCGAAAAAGCUAUAUGACCACUUCAACGUGAUAUACCUCGCAUAACUAGCUUUUUAUGACGACGUGCUCCUCUUAGAGUCAUUAAAUGUCACACUUGGUCUCCUUUCAGGAUCCAAAUGACUAAACCUAGUUAGACGAGUUAUAUCUCGUAGUGUUCACUUAUAAUACUUGGAGUGCUUCACAUUUAAGGACGACAACCUCUAAGCACCUAAUGUCUACACUUGUUCACCUUUCGGGAUACAAACGAAGGAAGUCAUCCUGCCAAAGUCAAGAAAACUCUUCCUUAUUUGUUUAGUCACAUCCUUGCUACUUAACCUCGCAGACAGUUGGUGACACUGGCCAAGUGUAGAAUGUAGCUCUACUAAUGCAACAAGCACUAAAGCUAGACUACCUGUUAAACAUGAAUCGUAAACCUAGACUACAAAUAUCAUACAGACAGAUGAGCAGUAAAGAGAUGGAUGGAUUGAAAAGUGUAAAAACAUACAUUGUAUUAAAGAAUGUAGGCAUUCAUCCACUAUACAAUAUAAACAAAUACGAUGUAAAGAAAUAAUAAAAAAAUGAAAAGAGAAGAAAGUGGAAAUACAAGUUAGGGGGAAUGAGAAUGGCAUCCUUCACUCAGACCACAAGCUCCCACUUUAGAUACUGAACAGAGAAUAAAAGAAUGAUUUUACAACCGGUAGUAAGGCUAAUCCUUACCAUCAACUCUCUAGAAACGAUCGAUCAAUCCAAGUGUCUUGCCUUAUGGCCCAUACAUGCCUUACAACUUCCUUGAUGGAGAUGGAGCUUCUUUUAUAGGCAGCUUUUGACGAAAAAUCUAUCAUUAUGACCAUGUCAGUGCCGAAAGCUGUCCUUUUCAUCAAGUCACAUCGUUUCAUCUACCACUUUUGUCUUUUAGCAAAUCUAUUCUCGCCUUAUCUCUUUUUGAGUUCCUCUGCCAUUUGUCAGUUUGUUCUUUUGUAAUAAUCCUACGUUUAGGCACUAAAAAUGGGGUAAAAGCAACUUGGAGUUCAUAAAAAGUACAUUUUUAAAUAGUUAUGUAUUUCCAACAUAAGUUACGCGUUUUGAAACAUUUAUCAUACGUUUCAGUCCCACUAUUCUACCUAAAGGCUAUAAUAACUUAUUUUACAAGGUAUGAAACGCCUAGCUUCAUUCUUUUGGUCGCCAUGUUGGUCGCGUUGUCUCCUCGCUUGAUGUUUCGCCGCCAGGUUACUCUUUUACUUUUUGCCUAAAAGUGCAUAAAGACAUGCAAAAUGCGAUAAACAAAGAUAAAUUUCUUUUGUAAUCAGGAUGCCCAAUCUAAUCAAUUUAUCUAUUUUUCUACAUGUUUUCUUCCUAUUUUAUAUGCUAGUUAUUCUACUUAAGAGGUUACAAUUUCUAGGUAUCUAUUUUUCUACACGUUUUCUUUUGUUGUUGGUUGAGCCGCAAUAGGAACUUGGAUCUUACCUUAACAACUCUUAAGAGUAAUCAAUCAUAUUAGAAUGUUUAUAUUGUCUCUUACUUUAUGACUUUUGUUCUUUUGGGUGCUACUACAUGAAUUCGAAUGUAGUUAAACAUGGUAGGCAUUAUAUAUUGCACAUAUAAUUGAAUUCAUGUCCGUGCAAACAAACUACUCUUUCUUUAGGUAAACUCAUAAUAAUAAUAAUAACCCUAUUAACAAAUUAAUUACCAAAAAUUAAACAUAUUUACUUGAAAAAAUUGAUUAAAUAUCAAAACUAAAGAAUAACUUAUUCUUAACUUCAUGAUUUCAAACUCUCAAUUACAAGAAUGCGAAAAAAACAACACUAUUAUACUAUUUAUAAAGUUACCAUCAAAAGAGUUCCAUCUAUGUAGUCUAAGUUCAAGGAAAACCAACUCCAAACAUGAAUCUUUGUGAAUGUGAAUACAAAAAAUCAAAUUGGUACAAUUCAUUAAGAAUGUACAUGAAUAUGAAAAUUCAUAUAGGCUGUCUCCUCAGUGGUCUUCAAGCUUGAAGGGGUGCAACUCUUCAUGCAAACUUGAAAACUUCACCUUAAAAUACACAUUAAAUACUCACGGCCACUUACUUUCUCGUCACAUAGUUAGUUUUAUAUAUAUAUAUGAUAUAAUUAUCAUGAAGAACAAGAAAAGGGUUAAAAUAACAAUCAACAAGGUACAGAAAUGCACGAAAAGAAAAGAUGAAAUUUGACAAAUUGUAGUGAUAGCCCUGAAAAUAUACAUGGAUUUGUAAAUUUCUCUGGUCAAUAAAGACUUAUAAAAACAUCAAUAGAUUUAAAUUAGAUAAUUUACUUGAAAAUACAAAAAGAAAUAAGAAAAAAAAGAAUGCUCUCAAGAUCAAAAAAGAGGGGAAAUCAAACUUGAAGUUGUAGUAAUCAGUAUUGUACAAUGAAUGAGACCUCGAAGUUAGUACAUGAAAAUCAGCUAUUUUACACUUCUCUCCUACUUUUUACCAAAUGAUCAACAGAAGAGACAUACACUCCUGCUGCCUCUUGCACCAUCUUUGUUUUCAAGACCUCUCAAGAAUGAUCUAAUUGCAAGAUGUUCAGCAGCAUAUGUCAUAAAUGAUGCCAAAAUUAGACCCCCUACAACCAUCAAACCUAACCUGUCACACACAAAAACACAUGUACAUGAAAUAAGGUUUUGUUGUUUUCGAUGUGUAAAUAAAUAAAUAAUACAUCCUUUUCAUAAAGCAAAGAUCCACAGACAAACUCUUGAGUACCAUCACCAUAAAUAUCAACAGCUAAUAAGGCAAAUCACCAGAAAACAUCUAUAAAUAAAGUAGUCUAGUAAACACAUGAAACACAAUUCAAAGUUUAGGGUCAACGUGGUAUAUUAUAAUGGUAUAAACACAAAAUGGAAAGUUAAGUGUCCUAUUAUUCUUUAUUUUUUAAAACAGAAAUAGAACUUUCAUUGAUGUAACAGAAAGAAACUAAUGCUCAAAAUAAAGUAAGCAAAUGAGCAAAAAUACAACGAAACUUGAAAGAAGCUUAUGCUUAUGUCAAUUCGGUUGACACAUGAUCCGCUUGAUAAAACUAGUGAAUACAUGGUUACAUAAAAAAACAAAAACACUCCAAUUAAGAAAAAUAUCUUGAAUAGAUUAGUCAAGAAAAAAAAAUCAAGUUUAGUGUCACGUUAUUUAAUGAAGCUUAGGAAUUUUCUAAACUUCAGAAACUAGAAAAACAUUCAUGGAACGCAUAUUUUUAAUACUCUUAUCCAAGUUUGUUCUACGUUACAAGAAAAUGCAAACCUAUGAUACGACAAGGAAACUUUAUGAGUCAAAUUUUCAAACAAAGCCAGCUGAUUCUGAACAUUGUUACUGUUUGUGACGAUAAAGCACACAAAUAAAUUACCUCAAAAACAGAGCACUGACACCCAAAAUACAAGGCAAAGUUGGAGCAAUAACAGCCAAGAAUGCCAUCCCUAGACCAUAAAACCAUGCGGUAACGUCACUGCUUGAUGCCUGCCACUGAUGAUCUAAUAUACAAGAGAAAGAAACACAUCUCAGAAAUUACGAAUCAACAAUAUUCAGUUGGUUGCACUACUACACAUUAGAAAUUGGGGUGCAGCAUAAUAUUAAAGCAAACCUUUAGAAGAAUAAUCAAACGACUCAGAAUCAGAGAAGGAUCCUGCUUGGGUCGCCAUUGAUUUACCCCAUUUGAAAAUAAAAUGGAGAUAACUUCCAAAUAAUAGAAUGAAAAUUGUGAAUAUCCACUCAUACAUCAACAGCAAGCCAGUCCAUGGCAUCACUUGCCUUGGCACAAUCGCAAAUGCAAGAGCAAGGGAAAUUACAGCAGCAAGAAAACAGACGAAGAUUGAUAUUCCACCCAAAAAAACAGGUAUCUUCGACUGCACAUCAUAUCACAGGAACUUAUAAUCAAAACAAGAUAUAAACUUCAAUUAGAUGAAAUAAAAGAGGCAUAUUAUUCUAGACUUUAAUAUGUUUAGUAUGAUUGUAACAUGCUUACUUAAAUAGAAACUAAGAGGACAAAGAGGAAACAUGCCUGAUGGUUCAAAUUAACAGCGUUUAGUGUAGAAAGACCAGUAUAAUUAAUUGUUCCAACAGACUUUAUUUUGUAGUAUAGAUGCCUGGCUUGAUCGCAUAUCAAGCUUCUCCAUGAUGUAUUAGAGUACCACCGUGUCUGAGAAGUAGAAGAGCAUAUUUAGAUCAUGACUAGUCCUAUCCUUGCAAAAAUUAUUUGAAGAUAAUUUACCAUGUUCCUUACCUGAAGACAAGAUUGAUAAGAACAAAAGAUUAAUGCAACAAGAGGAAGAAGAACAAGAAUUUUGACAAUAAGAUCAUCAUUAGGGUUUCUACCCCCACCAGUUCCAGGAAGGGAGUCUUGUAAUCUUUCCCUGACAUUCUGCAAUCAGCUCAAACAAAAGAAAAAGGUUACAACUUACAAGUGGUACAAAAUACUACUCCUAAACCAGACAAAAAUGCACAAACAGAUACAACUAUAACAGUAGUCAAACUCAGCUGCUGGACUCGUGCACUGUUAACAUGGAAACAAUAAUUUAGUGUAUGCUUCCAGAUGUGCAACACUAUUGACAAAUGAUGAACCAUACGUGUAACAUAAGCAGCAUAGAAAUAAAAGAACCCAUAAAGUAAAAUUGAGAGAAAGACCUGCCAGAUAUCAACAGGUUUUAAAAGCCAAGAUGUCCACCAGUCCCAAGGUUUGAGGGGGCCCAGUGUAUAGUGGAUAACCCGGAGUUCACUCUCAUCGACCAUCCACUGCAAAAAUAUACAUCGCUCAAAUAAGAUUGCAGGAACUGAUAUAGAUCGAGAGGAAAAAUAAAAGCACUUUCUCAAUCCAAGGAGUUCUACUUCAAAGCACAAACAUAAAUAUGGCCAUAUUAAGAGUGCAGUUCUUUCAGACUGAAAUAAAAAUGUAGCGAGAAUUUUCCUAAAUAUAUGUCAUGUAAAAAUAUAAUGAGGGAGUUUUAAGGUCUAGCCUAAUGGUUGAAAAUGAAUGCAUAAAAGAAAAGCCUCAAUUAACAAUAUCCCAAACAGGAUGACACUCUUCAUUAAUAGUCCACGGAAAGCAAGAAUAAAAGGUACAAAUUAUUCCCAUGGCAAGUAUUCGUAAAUUAAACCUCAAGACUAAGUAUGUAUGCAUGUGUGUGUGUGUGUGUGCACACGAUAUUGAUAAAAUGAAAUCAUAAAUGAACAAGAUUCUAUCUUCGGAAUUAUAAAAAGAAAUUAUAAAAAAAAGCCCUUCUACUUGGUUAUUAGAGUAGGAAAACUAUAAGUACAAAAGAGAGCACUUAAUUUACACCAUGAGGCACAAGACAAUAAUCGCAGUGAAAAAAGAUUGGACAUCUUGUUUAAUGUUCCUUAUCAGUUAAAGUACAAGAGUUGUGCUCAAGCCCAAUUAGACUACCACGAAUCCUAAUCAGGUUUAGACAUAGGAUCUUUCCCUUCUAUCUUGAAUAAUUGUCCAUUGAACACAAAUAAAGUGGAAAGAAGUCCAAAAUGCAAAAAUAUUGUUUUCAAAAUUUGUAUUGUGUGAAUCACAAAAUCCGAGAAUAGUUUUCAACAACAAAAUCUCGGUUGUCUAUCAAACGUAUAUCUGCUGAACUCAGUGAGUCUAAAAACAAAAAACAGAAUUUGGAUUCUCUACCAAACAAGCCCUAAGAAAUUUUAAAAUCACCAAAGUUCACACUUGCGUAGGAAUUAGGAACUGAGGCGGUGUUUAGGCGAUGAGUUGGUUAUUAUAGUUAAUGGUGGGUGCAAGGAUUCACAAACUCCUACAAGGAAGAAUGGCACAGUACACACAAAGAAAAGUAAUAGGAGAAAAUAUAUUGAUAGUAUUCCAGCUCAAAAGGUUACACUUAAGAACUCUGCCUAAUAAGAGGGCUGUACUCUCCACAAUGAACUAUUGUUCAUCCACAAAACAACAUAUCAAUCAAGAUCACUAACCCUAGCAUAAAACACUCAAAUAUAUACUUAACAUACCCCCAGCCCUGUCUAAACAAAGGACCACCCCAGCUACCCUUUUGUCUUGGUUGAAAACUCAUUUUUACGCUUCCUCUUAUAUACUUUGCACUAAUGGGAGGCCUUGGAAUAUCCCAUGAAGAAGAGACACCUUGUCCUCAACGUGGAAAUCUGGGAACUGAGUUCUGAGAACAGCGUAUGCCUCCCAAGUAGCUUCAUGGUGUGGCUUUGUUCUUCCAAGAGACUAAACACUCCCAGUUGCCUUCUGCCGCAUUCCACCUCACCUGGGUUACCUUCUCCGGCUCCAAAAUACACUCCAAAAAACACACACCGCUUUCCUUAGUCGACAAUGAAAACAAUUGUACAUUCGCUGUUUCAACUCUCGCUAGGAUUUAAAUUUUCGGCAGUUCUCAACCCAUCAAAACCAACCCAACCCCCUUCCCUUCAAACUCACAACUGCAAUCUUCAACUUCUCUUGUUCGUUCAAUAGGUGUAGUUGAAAGUAGUGUUCUACCCUAUAGGACCACCCAUCUGGAUCUUCCCCAUUGAACACCGGCAUUUUAGUUUUUUAAACUUGAUCUGAUCCUGCCUCGUUAUAGGUUUUCAAAGCUAGGACGACUCACCCUCUUCCAUUCCUUCCCCUGUCUCUGGCUCAUCCACUGUUCUUAACUUCCUCUUUCCCUUGCCUAUCCCCGUAACUUCCAAAAUGUUUGUCGCUUCAUUCGAUCCUCAUAACAUCUCCACUAAGAUAGCGACAUUUUUUCCACCAUUUUUUCCAAUGCUGGUUCUUUGCAUCUCUUGCCUUAUCGCUCCGACAUCCAUCUCCCAUUUGAACCACGCAUUCACUUGAUGUUGCCUAUGCACUGUAUGUGUGCCUCAAACGCUUGUGUGGUUUGUGCGUUUGUGGUACACAUGCCUGAUUGUGUUGCGGGCCUAUGAGCACACACUUGGCACUCUCACGUGUGCCAUCUGCACAUCAAGUACCAUGCGUCUCUUAGCACACCAUGCCCUAUGUCACACUAAACUCCUAUUAACUUGUCAUGCAUCUUUCCACAUGCCUCGAUACAUUGGGCAUGUUUCUGGGCUAACCUCAUGUCAGCCUCGAGUGCACUCCUUGCCCAAUCUAUAAGGCCCACUUGACCAUGUCCUAUGAUUCAAAACUUGGGGGUCAAACAGUUCGGCAGUAUCACUUUCAUCCGUAGAGCUUCCUUUUCAUCCUUCUCCUUUGCAAGGAGGGCUUUGUUAUGUUGUUUUAGGACACUCCAGAAUAUCCUUUUUCUUUUCAAAUGGAAACAAAAUUUUCAUUGAUAUAAUGAAAAGAGACUAUUGUUCAAAUACAAAGUUUAAAAUGCAAAGAUACAAAUUGAACAUAUAAAUUCAGAGAUGUAUCCUAUUUAAUGAGGCAAAUGCCAUGUUGAUAUCUGACCAAAGAAAUUUCCAAGAGAUCCUCUUUGUAGAGGGCAAUUCUGUUAGGCAAAGGAAUGAAAGAUAAAAAGUGCACACGAAGAUCUGAAGGUAGAAGAAAGCUUGAUGAUAUAGUGCCAAAGGACCCCAUUUUCUUCUUUGAAAGGGUAUCCCGCAGUAAACACAUAAACAAAUCUUGAGCUUUUGGCAGGAAGGUGAAGAUUCAACCCAAAGUUUCCUUUAGAAAGCCCUAAAAUAAAUGUGUAAAAGCGUCGGUGCAAAACACCGAUGAGAAUGUGAUUUUAGUUAUCUGAAUGACUUUAAUAUAAACAGACCAACUUGGGUAUGAACAAUGACAAGGUAUCCUUCUUUGUAAUCAAUCUACUUCUUAGGGAGGCUUUCUAUCCACAUUUUAAGAAACAGUGGAGGUCCUUUUGUUUCCUGAAGUCACUAAUCAAAAAGUGGUAAGAGUUUUGAUGGCACGUUGCAAAAGGGGCCGAGGAGCCCAAGCCAUCUAUCCACUUCUUUCUUUAGCUCUACUUCAGAAAGAAGGUUUGUUAGGGAUGCCAUUAGGACAUCUCCAACUCUUUUAGAUCUAUAUUUAAAAGCCCACGUCCCAUCUUUAAGUGGUAGGAAUCAAAGUCUACAAUAGGAGCCUUUUGCUAGUUGGUUAACCAGCAGCAAUAAUCAAAGACAUUUAAAUAUUGUAUAAAAUUGUUUGGUCCUUGACAUAACCUAUACCCUCAUAAUUUUGUUAUUUAGACUUAUAUGCUUCGUUUGGAUGUCACAGUACGGUAACUAUAGCAAGUGGAAGUCAAUAAAGAAAGGGAUAAAGGAACACUAUUGAAAUAACUUUAAAGUAAGUAUUACCAACUACAUUAACUAAUGGGAUGAGGGUCUAAACUUAGAGCUCUUAAAUAAAAUUGAAAAGGAAAAUGAGCAAUGUAAACAAUGAAGCAAAACAACUACUUAAAUAGUCGGUAGACAUACCUUGUUAGCAAGCAUGUAAAGACCAACAUCCGCAUUAUAAAGAGUAGAAAGUCGUUCCAUUUCUGGUGUUGGUCUAGAGCGAAGCACUUCUUGUGGUAAGUUUGGCUCAAAAACAUGUGCAUUGGGAAAAUUCGAAUAGUAUGAAUUCAAAAAGCCUUGAUCCCCUGGUAAAUCGAAACAAAAGUGUUCAUCAAAGUUUGAGACUUCUACAUCAUCCAGUUACCCAACCAAAAUCAUAAUUUAAUUUUUCGUUUUUUUUUCCUUUUUCCUUCUCGAAUAGUAUAAAUAGAUAAAUCUAUUUAGAAUGCUUCUCCAAUGUAACAGCAAAUUUAAUAAUCACCCAUAAAAGGAAGCAUAAAGUAUUAACAAAAUUUACGAAGAGGAUCAACUACCUCCUGUGUAUGAGGGCAAAGUAUUAACUUUACUCAUCAUGUCGUUGAAAAUAGUUUCAGACGGUUCCACAACCAUAACACCAGAAUUCAGUCUUUCAGAAUGCUUCAAGUUGGCACAAAAUUUGCUACAUUUGAAAAGAUCUUCUAUAUUUUUUACCACAAUUGUAUCUGCGUCUAGAUAUACCACUGCAGAGUAGUUUAGUACAGAUUAAACAAAGAGCAUCAGGACACUGCUUUUGAAAGGUAGCUAACACACAAGAACAAUGAUUUAUCCAGCCAAAAAUCGCCACAUUUUAGCUUUCCUUACCAAAGUUUUAUCAACAAGAACACUAUAAAACCAUGUUUUGUAUGAUCUGCACAUUAAGAUCACAAAGUUUACCUUUUUUAUAGUCAGUCAUGUUAAAUAUUUUCAGCUUUGUAUAGACACCCCAAAAUCUUGAUGGACGAACUUGAUUAGGAUUUGCCAAUAAACUAAUCUUCUCCACUAUCCAUCCAUCAGCCUGCACAAUUAUUUUCAGCAGUAAAACAUGUUAUAACAGGAAAGAAAUCAUUGUAAUGUAGUAUACAGAAACACAUGCAUGCAGGCACACAAUCUUUAUUCUCCUUGAUCAAUAACAUAACUUCUAUUAAGAAAAAGUGUUAGAAAUAGUGGGCUUGGGCCUCGAUGAAAGCCUGGGGAUAGUUCAGAUUUUCUUUACCCUAAUUCUUUAUUCUUUUUAUUAGGCUCGUAUCCCCUAUAAAUAUUCCCCUUUUGUACUUUUUUUAUUAUCAGAAAAAAAUAAAAAAAAUAUCGUGGUUUUGCUCCCGGUACUCUAGUUUCCACAUAAAGUUGUGUGUGCUUUGUCCCUACUUUCAAUAUGGUAUCAGAGCGAAACAUUGAACAAACCCUAAACAACAAAAUCAGUGAUGGAAAUCACACAGUGGAGACAGCCGCCAGUUUUAGUGCCGCCGUCGAUGCUCAGAUCAAUGCUGCCAUGGAUGAAUGGCUCCACCACCUUCAAAAAUGCCGGAAAACAUAAUUCAACAGAUCUUCUCAUCGUUCGCCCCGCCAGAAAUUGCCCAUGCACCUCCAUGCGCCGGCCCAUCCUAUUCAAACGCCGCCGACCAAUCUAACCGUGCCACCCUCGUCUUCAUCUGCUGCUUGUAGUGUUCCCCACGUGUCGAUUCGUGUUCUGCCACCUAAUUCUGACCAGUGAUCACCGCUUCUGCGGUCAAGUCUGUAUGCCCUACCACCCAAUAACCUUAGUUAUUAGCAUGAUGAUAAGAAUCCUCAAAUCCACUCAACAUUUGAGGUUGGUGAAUUUUCAGCACAUUCCAACCGUAUCGUACAAGCUUCCUCAUCGGGAAUAACUCAGUAACAACUGGAAGGGCUUCAACAACAGAUUGCAACAACUGAGGCUACGUAGGAACGAUAUUCACACUCCUGUAUCGAUGUAUUCUGAGAAUUUGGUAACCUCGUUCCCUACCCUAUCUUCUUCCUAUGUGAGUGAGAAUGCUAGUCCAACCACACUUGGAGCUAUUUUCCAGCAGCUAUACAUCAGCCCUUCUCAUUAGUAUUGAUGGUAAGAAUCCUUGGAUCCUGGACUCUGGUGCCACAAAUCAUUUAACCGGUUACUCUGAACACUUUGCGUCCUACAUUCCGUGUGUUGGGAAUGAGAAGAUAAGAAUUGUUGAUGACUCAUUGGCUCCCAUUGCUGGGAAAGGGUAGAUUUCUCUUUUUGACGAGUUCUCAUUACACAAUGUGUUGCAUGUGCCACGAAUUUCAUAUAAUCUUCUGUUGAUUAGCAAAAUUACUCGUGAACUAAACUACAAAGCAACAUUCUUACCUGAUUCUGUUUCUUUUCAGGACUUAAGCUCGGGGAGGAUGAUUGACACUACCUACCCGAUACAAUAGGGGUCUUUACUUGCUUGAUGAUGAUGUCCCCUCUAGUAGUAUUUCUAGGACCAGUCUUUUAUCUUCCUACUUUACCACUUCUGAAAAAGACCUUAUGUUGUGGCAUUUUCGUUAAGGCUAUCCCAACUUUAAAUAUAUGAAAUACCUUUUUCCUCAUCUUUUUUCCAAAGUUGAUGUCUCUUCCUUAUCUUGUGAUGUAUGAACACAAGCUAAACAGCACCGAGUUUUGUUCCCUUUGCAACCUUAUAAGCCAACCCGACCUUUUACUCUUGUCCAUAGUGAUGUUUGGGGACCAUCCAAGGUCUACCUCCUCUGGAAAACGAUGGUUUGUGACCUUUAUUGAUGACCAUACUCGUCUUAUUUGGGUUUUCUUGAUCUCUGACAAAUUCAAAGUUACCUCCAUAUUUUGGAGCUUCUAUCACACCAUAAAAACGCAAUUCAAUAUAAAGAUUGCAAUCCUGCAAAGUGAUAACGGUCGUGAGUUUCAAAACCACUCUCUUAAUGAGUUCUUAUCCUCUAAAGGAAUUGUUCACCAAAGUUCCUGUGCUUACACCCAACAAAAUGGGGUGGUCAAACGAAAAAAUCAUCACCUUUUGGAAGUUGCUCGUUUCCUUAUGUUGUCCACUUCUCGUUUUUCCUAUCUUUGGGGUGAUGUCAUUCUCACUACCGCUCACCUCAUCAACUGCAUGCCUUCCCGUGUCCUUCACUUCCAGACACCGUUAGAUUGCCUCAAAGAAUCCUAUCCCUCCACUCGUCUCAUCCCUGAUGUUCCCCUUCGGGUGUUCAGUUGCACUGCCUAUGUCUAUAGCCAUGGUCCUAACCAAACUAAAUUUACUCCUAAGGCUCAAACUUGCGUGUUUGUUGGAUAUCCUCUGCACCAACGAGGCUAUAAAUGCUUCCAUCCAUCUUCACGUAAGUACUUUGUUACCAUGGAUGUCACUUUUAUUGAAGAUCGUCUCGUUAGCCUACUUCAGGGGGAGAAUGUGUGUGAAGAGUUUAACUAUACGCUUCCCUUUCUUCUUAUCCUAAUAUGGUUACCUUACUUAACCCUAGCCCUCACAGUACCUACUAUAGGAAGAAUCUCAAAAAGGAAGUUGAGUCCCCUGUUGUGCAGACGACUCCAGUCCAGGAUUCUGAACCAGUAAGAGAUCAAGGUAUAACUGAUUCAAUUAAUUCACAUAGUAAUAACAGAAUGAGUGAGAAUGACAGCUCUGAGACGAACUCAACUAACUCACAUACCGACAGUAAGUGAGAAUGACAGGUUCGAGACAACUAUUCUGAAAGAUGUGGGCGAGUAGGGCAGUAUUGAUGAGGCCAUAAUAGACAAAGAGGACAGGAUUAUUGAGAACGAGGUUGUUGCUGAACAUACUGAAAACAAAACUAAGUCAAACCAUUCUGGAAAUAGUAGCAGGUAUGAUCCAUCUCUUGAUCUUCCUAUUGCAGAAAGGUACAAGGUCCUGCACAAAGCACUCCAUAUGUAAUUAUGUGUCAUACGAGAAUCUCUCACCACAAUUUAGAGUUUUCACUGUCAACUUUGACUCUACCACAAUACCGAAAAAUAUUCACACUACUUUAGAGUGUCCUGAAUGGAAGAAUGUUGUCAUGGAAGCCCAUGGGUAGUUAAGAUUUUCUUUACCCUAAUUUUUUAUUCUUUAUAUUAGGCUUGUAUUGUCUAUAAAUAUUCUCCUUUUGUACUUUUUUUAUUAUCAGAAAAUAAUCAGAAGAAAAAGAUCGUGGUUUUUCUCCCAGUACUCGAGUUUCCAUGUAAAGUUGUGUGUGUUUUCUCUACUUUCAAUAAAAAGAUUAAAACAGAAAGUACAGACAUACAAAAUGAGAGCCCACGAAAAGGGACGAAAACUCCAAAAACGGCCUCCAAUCAAGAAAAAUAACACCUAACGUAACAGUACAAUUGUAAGUAAAGCCCACAAGGGUGCAUAGAAUCUAAAAACGGAGAAAACUUCACUCGAGAUCUCUUGUUCCUCACACCCAAAAGUCUCCACAAAAUGGAACACACUGUUGAUUGCCACAAAAAAACUUCCCUUCUCGCAAAAGAGAGGAUGGAGAAGGUGCUCUUCCAUCAUCUCUUUGCAGCCUCUCUGCAACCCUGCUUGGGCAAGCCUAGACCAAUUCUAAACUAGGUAAGCUAAAACACAAUCCCAAAAGGAAAAUCACCAACCCUUCCACCCCAAACUUUCCAUAAGCAAUUCUACGCCAUGACCAACGCCGGUCCCACCACCUCAUCCGAUCAACCGGAAACUUUUCACCUUACAAUUUGAUGAUCCUAGCAAUGGCCAACUUGUGAAAUUAUUAGAGAAAGGGAAAACUUCAUCAUAAUCCAUUUGUAUUUCUUGGAAAGCCCUUCCUUGGCUGUGUUCCUCCUUCCAUACAUUAUACUAUGAACCCUUCAACUACAAGUUCUUCAAAAAAUUCUUGGAUUGAUAAUGGAGCAACCUUCUAGCUAGAAAAACUACACAACAAAAAUGGAUACAUUGUUGAAUUCACACUCCUAUACCACUCUGGAUGGCGGACAAAACUCUUUAUUCCAUCGGAGGAAAAUGAACAAGGAUGGUUCUUCUUUUACUCCCUUCUCUCAGAUUAUAUGACUGCCCCCUCCCCACCUCCAACUAAAACUUACAAGGCGGCGGCACAAUCACAACCCAACGAGCCAUCAAAAAAUGAAGUGGUCAAGUCUAUUCCCAACAAAACUGAUCAAAGCUCCCCCCCCCCCACAACGCCAACAACUCUUGGCUAGAAAUAUGUGAAGCUAUACAAUCGACAUUCUCAUCUCGGUGCACAAUCAAUCCCUUCCUUGACAACAAGACCCUCAUACAUGUUUAUGAUACUACGGUUGCUCAAUUCUUAUACAACCAUGAGGACUGGGAAUCGAUUCGGAAAUUCAACCUACAUUUCUUGGAUGCAUCUCUUAUUUCUUCAUAUCUUUGCCAGCAAACUGCAUCUUAUGGAGGUUGGAUUGAUGUUUUUGACCUCCCACCAAUUUUAUGGAAUGAGUAAAUUUUCCAGUUCAUUGGUAACCAUUGUGGAGAUUUAUUGGAAGCUUCAACCAAACUGAUAGAGGAUUAAAUCUAUAAGCUGCUAGGUUGAAGGUUAAUACAAACAAUCAUGGUCUCAUACCCGCCCAUCUAAUUCUACCAAAGAAGCUUGGUGGAUCAGAAAUUAUAGUGAAUAUUUUGUGGGGUCAACGUUCCGACAGCACAAACCAAUUGGGACAAUGGCGGCGAAAUCUAAUGGGGUGGUGAAGGACUCCACAGAACCGGCAGCAGCACAUAUGGAAGUUAAUUCGACAGUUAUGAAUUUAGGGCAUCCACAUGAAAAAAAGGAAAGUCAUCUACUGUUUCCUUACUAAACCAGCCAAUUUACUCACAUUCCCCUGAUUCUCAGCCAUUUGAACUUUCAACAGAUUUUCCUAAUCUGGUGGAAAAUAAUUCUUCUCAUGACACAUUUCCCUCCCAUACACCCGCAUUGACCUUUCAUAAUAUCCUCUUGGGCCCCACAAAAUCCCCUUCACCUUCUUUUAAUCAGCCAUCAAUGGCAAUGGUUACUUUUCAAAAUGGUUUUUCCAACUUGCGGGAAGGACCAAAACACAUGGCAACUCCUAAAAAUCAGCCACAAACAUUUUCUGACUUGGAAGCCUACCUUACCAGCCCAUCUCUCAAAAAGACGACUUUGUCACUCAUACGUUGGAAGAAGCUGUUUUGGGGGAAAUCCCAAAGAAUCAAAUCUCCCACUUACUAUCCUACCCUAGUCCCAACUGAUUUGCACAGUCCAAUACAACAAUCUAUCCCUUUGACAAAACCAUCACCUGGUGACAUUCCAUCUUCAUCUACAGCCAACCCAAUCAGCCUUCGUGAUAUGGCUUUUAUUUUAUUGCAACACGGUUUAUGUGUCAUGGCUGUCCCUUCUCUUCCCCUAAAAAAGGCUAAGAAGCCUUGCACUGACAACAACAAACGAAAUAAACUUCAAAGGAAAUUACAAACUCUUCAAUCAUCAAUUUGUUAUGAUAAAACAUCAUCUUUAGACAAUAGGAAGGGUUCCGAGGCUAUCCAAUCAGGAUCUUCUCUUGGAAUGAUUGUGACUUGAAUUCCUAGAAGAAAUGUCUUGGGAUCUCAUUUUGGAAGUUUUUGGUUGGCCUACAGCUCUUUCCAACAAUAUUUUGACAUGCUCAAGUUUUUGGUUGCAAGGAGAUUAUUUUGUAUUCAGGCUUACUUUUGGAUAUUAUAGGGCGAUCAAAAUAGGCGUCCCUUUCACAACUCCUUUUCCUCUUUUAUUUCUUUUUGACAUUUAUUGUCCACAGCUUUUUAUUGGUGCAAAAUUGGGCACCCUUUUAUGAACUUUAGCUUGACUGUCUUAGUUUCCAAUUGAUGUUUUUUUGUAAUCACCUUUAGGUGCUUAGAGUUUCCCCAUAUUUCAUUUUAUCAAUGAAAUGUUUCUUAUAUAAAAAAACACAACCCCAAAAGAUGUGAUCAGAUCCUCUAUUGUCCUCAUGUAAAGAAUACAGCAUAAUAAAUCCACUAAGUUUGGCACCCUCCUCGACACCUAUCCAAGGUGCUACCUUGCUUAAUUUUUACCUUCGUCUAAAUUUUUACCUUUCACAAUGAGGCAAGGACUAAACCACUCAAAGGAGAAGGAUUAACUACAGAAAGAUAAAAUAACUUACAUGAGAACCCUUCCUAUGGACAAUGGUUCCAAGUACAAAUAUUUUUUCUUCCUUUUUUUUUUAAUGAAAACAACUCUCAAUUGAGAAAAAAAAUGAAAGGAUACACGAGCAAACAAAAACCUAAGCCCACAAAAAAGGGAAGCUCCCUCUGCAAGAAGGGGCAUCAACUAUGCAACAAAAUGCACUACAAAAAUCCUUCCAAACCGAAGCCCAAAGAGAAACAUAAAUAAAAACAAACAAAGGACCAAACAUCAGAAGGAUCCCUAUCCACAUCCCUAGACACUCUCCUAUCCCGUUCACCCAAGAAAACCUAGAUGAUUGCCCCACAAAACUCAAACGAUUGUGCCCACCCCAGCAAACUAUAGAAAACAAUCUUUCCUCCCAAAAAGGCAAAUUGAGGAGGAACUCCAUGAUCAUAGCACUAACAUCUUUAUGUUGGGUGGUCAUUAGUUCCAAGUACGAAUAUAUCUUCUCCCAAGAUCAUAGUGAAACUACCAAAGCAAAGGAAAAGGGUCGACAAUGUUUGAUGUUUCCCCAUUGAACAAAGCACGUUGUAACCUCAAUAAACGAUAGGACGUAAGUUAAGCCGAAAUCAAAACAACUACUACCAAGUGGUUUGUCAACAAGGAUGACUAGAAUAAACAAGGAAACAAAGAGGAAAGAAGAUUAUCCCCCAACUGCUUAUUCUCCCAGAAAAAAUUGUACCUCUCAUCCACAACCGAGCAACUAACAAAAAGAGAGGACCAAGGAAACUCCUCAACGAUGCCUUUUUAAGGGUUUUUAUUGGAUGUAUUCAAGUUAAAAAAUGAAUUUUCACUGCGAACUAUCCCUACCAACUUUGUAACCUUCAAGGACAUUAUGUUCCUCCCCUCUAGUAUGAUUCUACUUAACAUGCCCACACCGAUCAGGAAGAGACUGGGCAGGGACGACAUGCACACCUGAACUCUUAAAGAAAAUCAGAUAAAAUGACGUCAUACAUCCAUUAUUCACAUCGGACAGAUCACGGAGGAGAGAUUUAAUUCAACACUUUCAAAAUUCUUCUAAAUUUGAUACUUGUAAAUGUUUAGGAUACCUUGUUCACACUUAAACAAAUUUCAAAGUUAGACCUGUCAACUCCACAACAACUUGGUCGUUAGAUUACACUUCAAAUUAGAAUGUUCUAAGUAGGCGUUCACCACAGACUUCUACUAUCAAACUAUUUUUCAUCGCAGAUACUCCCAUUUCCAUUAAGUUAUCAGCCAGUGGGGGGAAAGUGCUCGAGAAAACUCCCUUUAUCUCCAUUCAAAGGAUCGCUAAUUACUCUAAUUACAUAAGGAUCCACACACUUGCAGAAUAAAUCAACAUAUAGGUUGAAUUCGAAGUAUCCAACAAAUUUAACUUCAAGACUACAAUUUCAGAAGAAAAGAAAAAAAAACAAAGAGAAGUACUCGUGGAUAAGUUGUAGUAAUAGCUCGAAUUUGUUGGAAACAAAAAAGCAAAGUAGAAGGUAACCUCUAGUAGCUUCUUAGCAUACUCAGAAACCCCAUCAGAAAUCAAGGCCACCAUGUCCUUGUUGGAGCCAGUGUCGCGAAUCGAUUUCCCAAGAACUCGAACACCCAAAAGAAAUUCAUCGCCAUACAAAAGGGUAACAUAAGCUUCAUCGGAAGACUGUGAUCCGGAAGAAGAAGAUGAAGAAGCUGCUGAGACUAGAGAUUGAAUCAAAACCAAGGCGAAUGGCAGGAAAAUCCAAGCGAUUGGUUUCAUUAUAAUCUAAAAAUAAAAUUAAUCCCCAAAUUUCGUGGGAAAAUUGGGAAUUUUUGGGAGAAUAUCAAAAGGGGAAAAUCCUUUUGAAGGUUUGAUGAAUACCGCGAUCGAAAAUUGAAAAUUGAAAAUUCUUUCUCUGCAUGUCGCCGCUUUGACACUUUUUGUCAGACACAUCUACUUUGAAAAUUAUAAACCGCGAUCUCCUGCGCUUGAUUCCACCCAAGUUUUGCUGUAUCCCAUGUGAACUUUAUUUAGAUGCCUAAUCAAUUAUCCAAGUUUGCUCUCAAUUUGUAUUUUGUAUAAAAUUAGAUUAAAUAAAUUACAAAAAACGCCUCAUAAUAUCUAUUUUUUUUGUAUUUGUAUAUUUGACAAAUACGACGGUAAUUAGAUAAUAAUCUGCUUUUAAAUUUGCUACUUUGUAAUUUUAAAAAUAUUCUCUAUUAUCAUCAAUUGGUUUGCUAUUUUUGCAAACUCCGAUAAAGAAAAAUACCUAUAAUUUUUAAAAGUUGUAUUAAUAAAGUUUUUUAAAAAUUAAUAUUAGUUGGUUUUAAAAGUUUUAUUUAUACUCAAAAAAGGUUUUUGUAUAGGAUUUUUUCCAUAUUAAUUUAUUGGCAUCUUUUUCAAAUAAACAUUCAGUAAAAAAAAUUAUAAAUGAUAAAAUUAUUGGUAACAUUAAUAGAAACUUAUAAAUUUGUUUAGUAUCUAUCAUCGAUAGAAUCUGAAACUUUUUUAUAUAUUUUUAUUAUUUUGAUUCAUUUUACUAUUUUUUUAAAUGCUCCAAAGAUUUGAUUUCACAAAAUAUUUUUACAUCUUCUUUGCUUUAAAAUACAAAUAUGUGUGUAUGGAUGUAUAUAUUUCUAUUGAUGGUAAAAUUACUAAGGUUUAGGGUAAAAUCACAAAUAAGGAGAAAAGACAAUUGAUGGUAAAAUGAAUUAGACAAGAACCCUAAACCCUAAUUUGGACUUAUUAAUUUCGUGUGUGUAAUGCAACUACAAUACAUCAUCGAGUCAGGUCAUCGCACCUAAUGCGCUUAUCGUAACUCUCUAUAUAUCAUGCUUUGGUUCUAGGCGAUGAAUCAUGAGUCAUGAUCAUUGCACUCGAAGUGCUCCUAUGUGCUUCUUCAUUGCAUAGUUUCUAAGACCUCGUUGAGUACAAGUUUUUUUACGGCUCGCCCAAGGGCAAGCGAACAAUAGGUUUACGUGGGUGAUCCAGGGUUGAACACAAGAAAUUGUUAUAGAUGUUAGCUCUAGAUUCCAUUGAUCGUUUAGGUUUUAUAGUAAUUAAAUUGAAAGAAUGUACACUAACUACAACUACUUAUUUACAGCUCGAAACUCAUGCAUGGAGAGCAAUUUAAGCUAAGGGAGGAUGAGUUGAAUUAACUUGUAUGCAAAUGGCGGGUGAAGGAAAUUCUACAUACUAUUAGAUGGUUAGGUGUUGCGAUAACCUUAACGCACUAUAAUUGCAUAAUUUGCAAAUGAUUAAGGCGACAUUCUCUCGAAGUGUUUAAAUGCCACACUUGUUCGCUUGUUGGGAUACAAAUGACUAUGCUUGCUUAGACAAGUUAUACCUAGAGAAGGUGACUCAUAAUACUUAUAGGACUUCUCAUUUUAGAACAACAACCUAUCAAUGCAUGUCCGCACUUGUUCACCUUUCGGGAUACAAAAUGUUCGAAGUUUCCUCGCUAAGGCAAAGUUUGUCACCAAACUCCUCCAUGCACGUAUCAGUUUUAUCCUUACUACUUACCCUUUAAAGCAGAUGACGAUUUACACUGGCCAAGUGAUAAACAUAGCUCAACUAAUAUGAUAGAGUUUAUAAGUUGAACUCCUUAUCAAGACUUAUCACAACUCCUCCCAUUUAAUAACACAAAGAUAGAUGAGAAGUUAAGAAUGGUGGAUUGAAAGGUAUAAACAUGCACUUUAUGUAUAAAGAAUAUAAGUGUUUAACCACGGUACAAUAUGAGAAAUAUAUAAACUAUAAUGAAAUAAAAAAAAAUGGAAAGAUGGAAUAAUGAAAAAUAUUACUACAAGUUUGGAGAUCAACAACAAAUAAUCUUUUCUUUUAUCACGACUUUUUAAUCUUCGUUCAAGCACUCUCUCUUUCUGUAACUUUCUCCGGCCAUUUUGAGUCUCUCUUUCUCUUUGGCCUAUUCAAGCUCUAGGGCUAUUCAGUCUCCCCCCCCCCCCCCCCCUCUUUCGGUAGGGAUGAAGUGCUUGUAUAGGCCGCUUUUCGAUGGAAAAACUAUGUUCCUCUGAGUGUGCCAGCGUUGUCAUUUGCUCUUGUGAAGUCACAUCAUUCAAACUACCAUUCUUGUCUUUUUAUGAGCUUUUCUCGCGUGAUGUUUAGGUUCUUCACCUGAAGUUAUUAAUCGUCAGACACAAUCCAUUACAUAGCCUUCGCGUGAGAUGUCGUGUGCAAAUUGCUCAUUUUUGCUUUGUCCUACUUGUCCUGCAUUUAAACAUGAUAACCGCGUAAAACAGGAACGACAUUUAUGUAAGCCAUAUUUCUAAGUAUUUAUAUCUUUACAACAUAAGUUAUUCGUUCUGAGCAUUCCUUAAGCGUUUUAACCCCAUUAUUCUAACAAAAAGGACUAUAAUAACGAUCAUUUCCACACUUUAUCAAAGUCACUUUCUGUGACAACAGAGACAACGUUAGCAUCAAUCUUAAAACUUUUUUACAAACCUGCUCUGUUCGAAUAGUUCUUUCUCAUAUGUCCAGAUUGUCCACAUUCCCAACAAACCAUUUUUUGUACGAACUCUUUCUUCUUCCACUUUCUAGCUACCAAUAUUAAAUUCUCUUAUGAAGUAUGCUUUUGACUCUUUAGUCUUUUUUCUUCUGAUAGGAGUUUAUUAGUAACCUCACCAAAAUUUAAAGUUUCUUUAUUGUACAUCAAAAUUGGCUUCAUAUGUCGAUAAGAAAGAGGAAGUGACCAGACAAGUUUGGAGUGACUUAUCUUCAUCUUCUAUAUUCACUCCUACUACCUCCAACUCAAUAAUGAUGCCCAUUGGAAGCACUCAGAUGAUCUGAGAUUUUUGUACCUUCUACCCAUUAGUAACAGGGAAACUUGUUCUUUAAGUAGAACUGAUUUGACAUGCUUUUUGUUUUUUGCUUGAGACAUUAUUUCAAGCAUCUCCCAAAGUUUUUUGGCUGUCGAAAUUCCAUGCACAUGUACAAGAACAUCUCUUUAUCCAAAUUUAACAUGAUCACACUUAGAACUUUGAAAUCCAUUUCUUCCGAAUCUUCACCGUUUAUGCUGGACUUCUUGACUCUUCUGGAACAUCAUUACCACUAUCUAGUCUUCCCUUCAAGACUUUGUGUAACUAAGCUUCUAGUCUUCCCUUCAAGACUUUGUGUAACUAAGCUUAACAAGCCAAAAUUGAUCAUUCCAUCAAACUUUACUAAACUCAUAAGGUUUAACGUAAACACUAUUCACAAACAUUGCAGCAUGUUUCAAGAAUACACAAUUCACAAAUAUUGCAGCCCGUGAUGUGGAAGGUUAGACUAUGCUACAACCACAUACCAUACUCAGAAAUUCAAGAAACUAUGAAAUUUGAUACCACUUCUUGGGACUAAACCUCCCAAUUUUACGAUAAGAAUAAACAGAAAAAUAACAAAGAAAUUUUAAAAAAUAAAAAAUAAUAAUUAACAAAAAAAUAAUAAUUUUCUAAAACUCUCUCGAACCAAAUUUAAUUAGAGUUAGCACACUAAAGUUUAAAGUGCUUUUUACCGAGACACUUAUAAACGAAGGAUGUGAUUAGCUUCUUUUAUAGACUUGGAGUCACCUAUCUUUCUACAAAAUAAUCGAUGUAGGACAACUACACUUUUAAUAUUUUGUCAAAAAAAACUCAAACACUUUUGUAGUAGCUGAUAAAGAAAACCCAAUAUCAUGCAUGUUAACAUUUAGAUACCUAUUAUGAGUCAAUUCCAUAUUUCUUUUGAUAAUGAAAUAUAAUUGAUUUUUCUUUAAACUUUGCCCAAAUCUUGAAAUGGUUUCAUUAUACAUGGCAACUUGAAUUUGGGUUCCUUAGAUUUUUAAAAUAUUAGAAUAAUGGAACAAAGCUAAUUAUUUUAUAUAAAAGCACUAAGUUGUAAAUAUUUGUGCCAAAUACUACAUAUCAUAUAGUAACAAAACAAACAAACAAAUACUUUCUCGUCAACAAGGAUAGACUUCAAUGUUAGAAUAUGUUUCCACAGCUCCUUUUUGAAUAACUUUAAAUUUUACGAUCCACUUUUUUAAAAGGUUCCAAAUUUGUUAAGAAUCAUAUACUUUUUAAAGACGUGUUGAUUGAUGUAAUAAUUGAAAAUAGGAUAAAGGGGCAACAAUUGCUUGGUGUCAUUAGAGAAUAGAGAAAGGUGGAAAAUGUUGAAUGCUUCUAAAAUAUUUGGUACCUAUAAAAUAUGCAGUGGUUAACAAGAAAAGUGGACAGUUUGAGGUACAUUAUAAAGUUUUGUAACAUUUGAAAUACACAUUAACUUAUUAUUUACGCAUAUGUUUUAAUUUAAAUAUUCAUCUUCUAAACAAAUAUAACAAAGUGAGAAAAUAUUUAGAACAAUUUCGAAAACGGAAGAAGUCCACAGGCUCACGAUGGAAAAUUUCAAAAAUGCGUCAAUUAAUUGACAUCUAAUGUAUGUAAUAUAUUUAGGAAACGAUCGUUUAGUAUUUGAAAAAUGAUCGCUUAGAUUUGACUAUUCUUUCCUAGACGAUCGUUAAAUCUAAACGAUUUUUUUAUAAUAAUUGUUUGGUGCACAAUCGUUUACAUUCGGUUAAAUUUGAGUUGUCAAAUCUUAACCAUUUUUUUUUCUCAAGAUUUUUUGAAAAACGAUCAAUUAUAUUUGGUACACGAUCGUUUAGAUUUGGGUGACUUUUUUAAGAUUCUUUGCUACAUGAUGGUUUAUAUUUGACUUUUCACCAUGUUUUAUAUUUGUCACAUAUCUAAACAACCAAAUAACAGUUUGAAAAAAAAAAUCUUUAAAAAAUCUUUUAUAUUUGGUAUACGAUCUUGAACCAAAUAAAAAGUUUGAAAAAAAUUAUAGAAGAAGAAGAGAAAAAGACGAUGAAAAUAGGAGAAAAAAUCAUAUAAAGGUCGAGAAGAAAGACGAUGAAAAAGAAGACAAACUUGAAAUAUUUUUAAAAAAAUGAUCUUUUAAUUUAAUGUAUUUUUUUUCAUUUUGUUACCUUAUCGUUAGUUUGUUAUAUUUAUAAAAACAAACUUUAAAUAUGGUGAGGUUAUUAUAAUUUAUGUUUAAGAAUAGGGAAUUGUUAAUGAGAGAGAAUUUGUGAGCUUAAAUCCUUCUAAUUGCUCAUAAAUUGAAUUUAAAGUUUUUUAAAAUGAAAAUGUUAAAUAAUACAAAUUCAACUAUGAUUUAAUCUUAAAUUAGAUAAGACAUUUAUAUUUAUAAAGCUUUUUUCUAAAAUGUAAAAUUCAGACUGCCUCUUACGAGAAAAAGA